GAUAUGUUAGGUAGUGGGUAAGUCAAGAAUAUUGGAAGGUUGAUACUUGGAUUAUGUAACAUUCAAUUAAUGUUAUUGCUAUAUUAAUCCUAAUACCUUUGUUUUUUACAAGAAUUUUUCAAGAGAAAGAGUAAAAAAAAAUCAUUAAAUUUCUUAAUAAAAAAUAAAAAAUAUUGAAUGCGGGCUGGCCUGCAAACCUGCGGGCCAACCCUUAUGUGGAGAGAGACGAAAAAUCUAGCCCGCACUCACUUUGCGGGAUGGGCAAACUCGACCCACAUUUUGUAGGCCAAGUGCGGGGUGGGCUGGCCGCCUUGCCAUCCUACUCUGAGGCACUGGCUAUGGAGUGAUCCUGACCUAGCCCUAGGUCUUGUGUCAUGCUCAUGAUCAUUCUUCUGGAAGGUUAGGCUAGCUUAGUGGGUCUUCUAUCUCUCAGGGCUUCAUCAAAUCCUGACUCCAUCUCAAUAUGUAUUUUAUGACCAAAAUAUUGUGAGAGUUGGCCUCACACAUAAAUAACGUGUCAUCCGCAAACUGUAGUAUACUCACUUCUAGUUUUUCACUCCUCACACUUAUACCUUUAAAUAAAUGUCUCUUACACAUUUGUCUCACCAUCCUUGUUAACUCUUUUUCUACUAUUAUAAAAAGAAAAGGAGUCACAGGGUCACCUUGUCUAAAACCACAUGUUGGUUUUAUUUUCUUUGUAGGACCAUUGACUAAAACUGAGAUAAAAAAUGAUUCCAUACAAGCCCUUACCUGUUUGAUCCAAUCACUACAUAAUCCUAGAUGACCCAUUUUAACGAGUGCCAUGCUUUCCUUUUUCCAUAUACACCCAUGUACAACUUCAUUAGCAACUAGGACACUAUCUAAUAAACCCUUGUCAUUUAGGAAUGCUGACUGUGUAAACUCAAUAAUCCUAGGCAACACAAAUUUUGAGUCUAUUUGCUAGAAUCUUGGAUCUUAGAAAUGCAUCCAACAAGAGAAAUAGACCUAAACUCAUCCAAUCUUAAAGGGUUUUCAUUUUUAAGCAUUAAGGUUGUGAAAGAGAAAUUAUACCCUAUUGGUAUGUGGUUGGAAUGCUGGAAAAGCUUAACAACCAGAAUCAUGUCAUGCUUUAAUGUCCCCUAAUUAUUCUUAAUAAACUCAAAGUUUAACCCAUUUGGCCUUAGGCUCUUAUCAUUCCUACAAUAGUCAACUGCCUCCUUGAUUUCCUUUCUUAUAUAGUCCUUUUAAUCAUCUGAUUAUCCUCACGUGGUAGAGAAGGGAAUUCUACAUUAUCUAAGUCUAUAGGAUAAGAAUAAGGAGUUAUGAUCCUGCACCUCCUUUUUCACUCUAUUUGGUUCUUCACACUAAGUCCAUUGUAUUUCAACCUCUUUCAGCUCAUUUUUCAUUCUCCUCCAUCUAAUCCCAGAAUGGUAGUAUUUAGUUUUAGCGUCUCCUUGCUUCAUCCACAUAGUUAUAGCUUUUUGGUUUAGAAUUAAUAGUUCUUUAGUUCGAAAAUCGUUUAAGUCGCUUAAUAAUUUGACGUGUUUCUCUUUCAUUUCGUCACCUAGGUUACUAUCAUUACCAAACUGAUCGAUAUGUUUUAGUUUUCACUCCAAUAAUGGUUUUGUAGUACUCAUGCUCCAAAAUAUGUCUUUGUCCCAGCUUUUUAAGUCAAACUUCAAUAUUUGAAGCUUUUGUUUGACCACCACUAGAGUAUUCCCCCUUUCAUUGUACGAAUUUCGUUUAUCCUUGAUCAUGGAAUUAAACUCUGGUUCUUUAUUCCAUACAUUGUGAAUCUCUAGUCCAUGUGAGCAACCAACAUUCAUCUAAGAUGACCUCAACAACAUAUAGGGUCAAAAGAGAUGUCCUUAGAAAACUUCUAAUUGCACUAUAGUAUUUUCCUUUAAUUGCAUCAGUAUCCCUCCCUUUUUGUUUGAGCCUAGGAAUGUCUUGUUGUUGUUAUCAUUUAUCCUACAACACCACACCAUAAACCUUCAUAGCUAAUUUGGGCUACAUCUUGGUUAUCUUGCUUAUGGUCUAAUUAGUGCAUGAGAAAAAAAUAAGAAGUAGUUCUAGAUAGGUAGAGAUAGCUAACAUAUAUGACCAGAUAAAGAGAAGAGCAUAGCUACAUAAGUUAUUUUAAACACUGACUCAGAUUCAAAGACUAAUCAGAAAAGAAAAACGGAUAGCAAAAUAAUUACUCUUCAACCAUAGCCAAGACAUAAGUUGGGGCAUAUGAAAAAUUUCCUCAACUAUCUACUAUCCAUUGUUGAAAGGCAAUUGUAUUUCUAUAACCCAUAAAGUCCAAACAAUUGGUGUCUACUUACCUUUCCAUAUAAGAUUUUGUUUAUGAUUUAUAAGGGGGAUAUAAAGUUGAUCAAAAUGAUUAUGAAUAUUAUUGUGUCGGACAAACUGAAUACCAAUCUAGCUAAAGUAGGAAUCCCAGAUAGCCAAUGCUAUUUCACAACCAAGAAACGAGUGAUUUACAAUUUUUUGUUAAUUUUUUUCACAAAAGUCACUUCAAAUAAGUUUUUCACAAAUAAAUAAUUGCUACAGUAUAGUCUAUAUAUGUAGAAUUUUGUUUGUAAUUUGAAAGUGACAAAAAUACUUUGUAUUGAAUCUUAUCACGUUGAGAAUAAGAAUGACAUUUCACCUACUCAGGCCUUCCUAUUGGUGAUAAUCCAUCUAGGUAUUCCUUUUGGGAGCCUGUGCUAUCAAAGAUCAGACAUAAACUUUCGGUGUGGAAAGGGAGAAACCUAUCCUUCGCGAGAAAAGUUUGUUUUAUAAAAGUUUUCAUUAAUGUCAUACCUCUGUUCUUCUUAUCCUUCUUUAAAUCCCUAAUAGGUGUUUGCAAGGAAAUUGCAUAGUCUAGCUGGGAGAACAUUUGUAAAUUGAAAGAGGAGGGCAACCUUGGUAUUAGGCACAUUGAUCUAUUUAAUAAGGCACUUUUGGAAAAAUGGUUAUGGGAAAUGGGAUCCCCUGAGACUGGCCUUUGGAAGGAUGUUCUAGAAUCGUAGUACGGAUCGUGGAGGAAGGUAAAUUCAAUUACAUCGGAUCGAAAUAAGUACAAAUCUAGAUGGUGGAAUGAUUUAUCCAAAGUAAGCCUAUCAGAUAAGGGAAGUAGAUGGUUUGCUUCAAAUGUGGUUUUUGGCAAGUAGGAUCUGAAUCAAAGUUCAAAUUAUAAGAAGACAAGUGGCUAGUCAACACUCUACUCAAAGAGAGAUAAUCCAUAAUCUACAAUAACUCAAUGCUUAAAGAUAAACCUAUUGUUAGGUUCAGAAGAUGGUAUAGAAAGGGUUGGGAGUGAAUUUUUUGUUGGAGAAAAGAGUGGUUCGAGUGGGAAAAAUCUAUGGUAGAAGAUUUUAUGGCAAGAUUAUCACAAGUUUCCCUACAUAGAGAUAAGGAGAAUUUAUGGUUAUGCAACAAUCCCCUCACUUAUAGAUUCUCGGUAAAAUCUGCCUAUACAUAGUUAGAAAAUCUUGGAACUAGGGGUGUAUCUACAUCGUUUGCAUAUCUUUAGAAUCUAAAGGUUAUGCCCUCAGCUCAGUAUUAUGUGUAGAGGGCUUUAUUGGAUAAGAUAGCAACUAAGAAGAACCUGCAUAAAAGGGUUUUAUAUUGAGGGAUAUAUUAUGCGCCCUAUUUGGGAGAGAAGAGGACUUGACAUCACACAUUCUUAUUUCGUGUAAGGUAUCAAUUACAGUUUGAAAUAUGUGCUAUGGCUUGGGAUUAGUUUGGUGAAUCACAAUGUGUUGGUUAAUCAUUUUGAACAGUUUUCAUGCAUUUGCUUUAAUAAAGAAAGUAAUGGUUUGUGAAAAGUUCUUUGAGUCUCUGUCAUUAUUUGGAAGCAUAAACAAAGAUAAAUGCUGAGGAAAUUUUUACCAUGGCACAAGUCUAAUCAUGAACAUGGAUGAAACAUAAAGUUUGAAGUCCAAAUUCUUCUUAAUCUGCUUUAACAUGAGAAAAAAUGAUCUUUGCUUGAGUAUUAACUUAUUGUUUUUUGGUGGUUUUGAGUUUAAAAUCUGUUUUAAGUGUUAUUUUGUUGUCAAAAAUUAUUGUUAUGCUACAUUAUCUUUGAGCUGGCUAGAGGAGUGGAUGGUCGAGAGAUUUUUGGUGUAGGUUACGAUGUAGUGGUGCAGGGUGCUUUGGGGUGAAUGAAUGAUGCAUAAUAAAAUAUGGAACAAGGCAAGAUGGUGUUUGGCUUACCUUUGGCAAAUUCUGCAAAAGGGCAACAUAGGUGAUUAUAUUGAGGUGCUGGAUUAUUAAGGACAGUUCAACAACGUUGUCUUGCGGCCAGUGGAGGCAAUUCUGCUCGUUCCAAAAAGUUAUCCUUAUGUGGAAACGGAUGUAGGGACAUAUACGAGGGACUUCAAAAGCGUCUUCGUGUUACAAUGUUUUUUGCUGCAGAGAUGUAACAGUGGUGUGGAUUAUGCAGAGUAUUUAUAAAGAGCUCAAAACUUCAUGCUUUUGGAAUAUUAGGCAGCAAAGGCCAUAUUCUUGUUUAUGGAAGCAAGCCAGAAUAACACUGGUUUAGGAGCAGCUACUUUUCUGGAUAUUUUAUAUUUUAUAAUUAUUUUCAAUAAUUUCAAUUUCAUUGUUUCUCUUCAAUAUCUUUAUUUUUUCCCCAUCCGUAACUUUUAAAAGAUCAAACUUAUUUUAUAAAAAUAAUUUCAAUACAAUUAAUAUGUUUAGUAAAAUCGAGUUUCUUGGAUAUCUAAAAUUAAUUUAAUACAAUUAAAUUGAAAAUGUACACAAAUUACUAGUCUAAAUAAAAAAGGUUCCAAAUAAAAUAUAAUUUCUUUUUUUACUGCAACAACUUUAUUAUUUUAUUAUCAAAUGUUAUCCAAACUCAUAAUUAUUAAUUUCAAAUAAAAAAACGAGAGAUGGUGAAUUUUAAUAAUUUUAGAUGUUGUAUGAAUAAACCUUAUGAUAGAUGAAGGUAUAUGCAUCUUAUGGUACGUAUAAUAUCUUGAAUAUAAAACAAAAAAGCUAUGUUUAUACUUAAAAAAAACCUUACUUGUAAAUUGAAUUUUAAUUCAAAAUAGAAAUAAUUAAAAGUAAUUUUAUAUCAUAAAACAAACUAUUGCUGUCGUAGAUCCAGAAAAUAUUUAUUUAAUCUUAAUUUUAAUCAUAAUAUAAUUUAUAUAUAAAAAAAUAUUUUUAAUCUUGAUUUUAAUCAUAAUAUGUUUUUAUCCUAGAUAUCAAAUAGUGGACAAUAAAUUCUUCAAUUAGAAAAAGUAGAAAGACCACCGUUUUUAUACUAUCUUAAAGGCAAUUCUCUUUCAGAAAUAUGACCUUAAAUUGACUCACUCAGUCAUAGUGAGAAACCAAAUAUCUCAAUUCACAAACACUUUUAUUUCUUACAUACUUCUUCUACAACAUUCAAUUCAUAUAUAUUAGGUUAAGCCACCUUUUGGCCAUGCACAAAAAUCAUGCAUUCAUGAUUAUGUCAACAUCAUGCUUAACAACACCCACUCAUUCUAAUAUAGAAAUUGGUAAAUGUAGGACAAUAAAGAAAAUGCUUUUCAAUAUAAUUUACAUGAUGUAGAAGAGAAAACAAUUUUUUCCAUUAAUGAAAUUAGUUUAUAUGUAUUAAUUAAUUUGUAAAAACUCUUAUAUAAAUAUGUCUAAGGAAAGUAAAUUUUAUAAUAAUCUUGUGUGCAUGAGCGAGAUAUGUGUGUGCGUGAGUGUGCAUGCGUGUGGGAGUUUGUGUGGAUGUGUAUGUGUACGUGCAUGUAUGUAUGUGAGUAAGUGUGUGAGUGUGCGUGUGUGUGAAUGUGCGUGGUGUGUGUGCGUGUGUGUAUGUGUGCACGUGUGUACGUGUGUAUACAUGUGUGUAUAGGUUAAUUUCAUAAAAUAGAGUCAUUAGUGGAUUUUUAAGAAAAAGAUAAGUUACUUAAGCAAAGAAGUAUCAUAGUUAGUUAAGAAAGAAGUAUGUAACUAUAAGUUAGUAGGCUAAUAUCACUACAAAAAAAAAUCAGUAUUAUUUACGGAUAUUACCUAUGAAUAUUAUCUAUGGACAACAUUACUUACAGAUAUUAUCCACAAAUCUGAAUCCAUAAGUAAAUUCAGUAUUAUCUAUCAACUAUUACCCACAAAUCUCUAUUACCUACCAACUAUUACCUACCAACUAUUACCUACGGAUCUCUAUUACCUACCAACUAUUACCCACAGAUCCCUAUUACCUACCAAUUAUUACCCACGGAUCUCUAUUACCUACCAAUUAUUAUCAUAAUUAUAUACAUACACUACAAGAAAACAAAGAUUUACGUAGGCAAAAAAUGGACGCAAAAGGCCAAAAACUGACGCAUAUGCAUCGGAUUUUCGUUGGCCACAGUCUCGACGAAAAAACCUUGGAAGCAAAUGGAAACUAGCGUGGGCCAGCGAAUUGGACGCAAAUCGCAUAAUCUGAGUGGACGCUCAAACGACACAUAUGCAGCGACUUAUGCGUGAGCCAAACCCACGCAAAAUGCCUAUGCGUCGGGUUCCGCUGACGAAAAUGAAAUAUAUAUAUAUAUAUAUAUAUAUAUAUAUCAGAGGUUGCGUGGGCCUAACUCACGCAAAAGCCGGUGCAUAUUAAAAAAAAAAGUUGGCGUGGGCCAAAGGCCGACGCAUAAAGGGAAGAAAAAAAAACAAUUUAUUUUGUUUUCUAGCCAGUUUAUCUGUAAAGAAUAAAUAUCAACCAAAUCACAUUCAGAAAAAUUACUAUCAUUCACAAUACAUCCACAAACACAUCCAAAGUACAAAAAUAAUACAAAUAGUUAAACAAAGUAUUUGAUCCAUUCAAAUAUUCAAAAUUAUAUGAAUACUUUAAAAAAUAUUACAAUUAAAAUUGUACUUUACAAAUUUAACUAAAAGUAUCAAAAUGAAUCACAUAGUGAUGUGAUAAACCUGUAAAAAAAUACAAACAAUAUAAAUAAAUAAAUGAAAUAAUUAAAAUACUUAGUAUAUAAUAAAAAUGUCAAAUAGUUAAACUUACACUAUAGGAUGCACUUUAAGGAACAGGUUGAUCAUCCUGCUCUGGAUCAUUUAAACACCCCCACGUCACUAAAUAAACUUUAUUCUUUGCAUCAUCAAUAUUUUUUUUAAACACUACAAAAAUUAAAACCUUCAUAAUAUAAUUCAUUAUUAAAACAUAAUUAGUGGGAAAAGAAUAUCACAUAACAUCAAAGAUUCUACCAUAGGAACUAAUCUACAUUUUCGUGUUAUAAUUGAAUUCUUUUCUAUGUAAAUUACAAAAGCUUACAUGAAAUUGGUGGAGUUGCCAUAUAUAUUUAUGGAAUCUAUUAUCAAUUUACAUUCAUUUUUUUCUCUGUAAGUGGGAAACCAUGGCCUUCCCAGCUACUAUUGUUAUUCUUCCUAUUGGCAUUCUUUUCAUCCUUUAGGUAAAUAUUAUUCAGAUAACAUAACAUUCACAUAAAUAUAUUAUUAAUUUACAAACUUUUAAUAUUUUUUUCAAAAAUUUUCUCUCUAAAUAGUAUGUUUGGCCUAAACAUUUAAAUUUUUCCUAUAAAAAUAAAUAUGUUGAAUAUCUUGUAAUAUAAAAUAUGUUAGAGUAACUUAGAGAUUAUAUCUUUAGAUUAGUUUUCCUUUUUGUUUUGGAAAGAUAAAAUUUAAAUCAAAAUCUAAAAUAAAUAAAAUUCCUAAAUUAUUAAAAAAUCUAAAUAAAUAAAAUUUAAAUUAUUUAAACUAUUACAUGGAAGUUAGACUUACCUUUAGUUGUCUCUACUGGAAGAACAAUUUAGUAUUGACAAGGGUCUAAAUCUACAACUACAACAAAGAAAUAAAAAAAAAAGAGAAUCGAGGUAGCAAAAUUGAAGCGAAUUAGGAAAACAUGUGUAAAUAUGUUUAUCAAAAUAGAUAUAAUUAAUUCUUGUUUAACAAGUUUAGGAUCUAAUAUCAAUUUUACUAACGAGAAAGAAUUAAUUCUAGUCAAUUAAUUUGUUUUGAUGCAUGAGAUUGGGUCACACUCAAUAAUCCAAACCAGUAAUCAAUAUACCAGCAACCAAUAUACCAGCUUAAAAAUCCAAAUAAAAGAUCAAAAAAAUCUGAACCUUUAAAUGGAGUGACGUGGAGGAGGCGGUGACGCCCAACCAGUGACACAGAGGAGGCGGUGACACCCAACUAGUGACGCAAAGGAGGCAGUGACGCCUAGAUAGUGACGCGGAGGCAGUGGAGGAGGCGGUCACACGCAGGCACACGGAGGAGGCGGUGACGCGGAGGAGGUGGUGGACUCUCCCAGAGCAGUGACGACCUUGGAGGCAGAGCUGAAGAACGACGAAAAUUUUAGGUUUUCAAAUUUGGGGCAAGUUCUGUGAGUGUUGGGAGAGCGGGGACACAUUAAAUUUUAUAUAUAGUCCCAGUAUGCGUCGGCCACAUCCGACGCAUACUUUAAAAUAUUUAAUUUUAACUAAAUUUAAAAUCGAAUUCAAAAUUUAAAAAAUAAAUUAAAACUUUUUUUAUAUAACAAAAAAAUUUAAUUUAAUGUAUAAAAAAAUUUAAUUUCAUUAUACAACAAAAACUUUUUUUAAUUUAUAAAAAAAAAUUUAAUUUAAUUUAUACAAUAAAAAAUUAAUUCAAUUUAUACAAAAAUAUUUAAUUUAAUUUAUAGAAUAAAAAUUUACUUUAAUUUAUACAAAAUAAUUUGAUUUAAUUUCUACAACAUAAAAUUAAUUUAAUUUGUAAAAAAACUUUAUUUAAUUUAUACAACAAUAAACAAAUUUAAUUUAUAUAAAAACUAAAUUAAGUAUAAUUUGUAUGUGACAUAACAUCUACUACCACAAAUAUCAAUGAACCUUAUUAUUGAAAUUGCUCAUGAUACCCUCAUCAUCCCUUCUAACUUAUAAUUCAAAAUCUAAUAAUCAACUACAUUCCAUUAUUCUAAGUUAAUUCUAUAUACUAUCACAAAAUGACUCAUAUUUCUCAAAUUGCUUAUGAUACUCUCUUUGAGCCUUUACAAUGUACUUCUUAGUUCAACUCUUACCUUGACAAUGGACUAGGGUUAUUAACCUAUAAUCCAAAAUGUAAUCAUGAACUCUAUUCCAUGAUUUAAAGUUCAUUCUAUAUCACACCCAGUCAAAAUUUACUUAUUUAUGUUACAUUUAUUAAGAACUAAGUCUACUAAAAUUACUAUGUCAAAUACCUAUUAUAAGGAAUAUUGCAUAUGUGUCAUCUUGUUACUUAAAACUUACUACAUUAUUAUGUGCUUCAGUUGGAAAAUAUCAAUUUCUUUUCGAGAUCAUACUCAGUAACUAUACCAAUGGCAUUUAUAGAGCAUGUAGUCAACUUUGGAACACUUUGGAUAGUGUAGCAAUUUAACAAUUAAGAAUAAGUUACUUACUCACACACUUAGUCUUUAUGUUUGUAUCAUAUACAUUUUCGCUAAUUCUUAUGCUUCAUUUAUGAGAAGUGACAUCUUUAAAAUUAUAAUGAAUAUCAAAACAAAAUUCCUAGUUCAUUCAUCCAUUGCACACAUAUAACAUUUAAAUUUAUUUAAGUUACUAAUCAAAAGUUUUAUCUAACUUUUUUUUCUUAAGCCAAAUAAAACAUUUUUAGAUAAAAUUGACUCUCUAUUUUUAAAUACAUCCAUUACAUUUUGAAUUAAUUAAUUACUUCAUAUUAAAUUUAUAUUCUUAAAUUUAUGUAUAUUUUAUAUAAUAUUUAAAAAAUUUAAAUACACAUUUUUUUUACUAUUUUUUUCUCAAUUAUUAUUUUUCUACAUGUUUUCAAAUCUUUAUAAACCUUUUAAGAUAACUUCUUUUAAAUAAUUUCAAAAUUAAACACUUCAUCAAUUUAAUAAAUUUAAUUUAACUAAUUUAUAGUAUAAUUUCAAAAAUAAAAUAUUUAUGACAAUAAAUAAAUCAAAUAAAUUUAAAAUAAAUAAUCUUUAAAAUAAUAAAAUAUUUUAUAUAACAUUUAAAUAAUUUAAAAAUACAUCUUUUCUUUUCCUCAAUUAAUUUUAAAUCAAACACUUAAUAAAUUUAAUUUAACUAACUUAUAUUAAAAAUUUAAAAAUUUAAAAAUUAAAUAAUUAAAUAAUUUAUUAUAAUAUUAAAGAAAUAAUUUUUAAAUAAAUACAAUAAAUAAUUAAAUAUUAAAAUAUUUUUUAUAAUGUUAUACAUUAAAUAAAUUUAAAAACCUAAUAUAUAAACAUGCGUGGGCCGUGGCCGACGUAAGCCGACGCAUACAUUAAACUAUGCGUGGACCGCGACCGACGCAAAAUGAUUUUUUUUUUAAAAAAAAAUUAAAUCUGUUUUGCGUCGAUUGUCUUCAAAAUUAAGUUUGCGUGGGUUUUACGUCUGUUUAGCCGACGAUAUUCGCGUUCACAGUUGGCCCACGCAAAUAUUUGGCAGCUAAAUCCUCAUUUUCUUGUAGUGAUAAUAUUAAAAAUAUUAUUAUAAUAUAAAUAAAUUAUAAAAUCAUAACCACAAUCAUAAAUAAUAAUAAAAAUAAUAAUAAUCAUAACUAAUAGGUAUACAUAUUAUUAAUAUUAUAAAAUUUAUAAUACUAAUAUAAUAAUAUAAAUAUUAUUAGUAUUAUAUAUUAAUAAUAUGAAUAAUAUUAUUAAUUAUAAUAUUAAUAAUAUAAAUAAAAAUAUUAAUAUCAUUAAUAUUAUUUAUAGUAUUAAUAAUAUUAACAAUAUUUAUAAUAUUUAAUAAUACUAAUAAUAUUUAAUAAUAUUAAUAAUAUUUAAUAAUAACUAUACCUAUCUGGUGCUACUUCCCCCCAAAGAAAACUAAAUAUAAAAGUUCAGAGCUUUUAUGGCUCUGAUACCAAAUAUAAUUCAGUAUCAUAUUCACUAUCAUAUGGAUCAUAAUAAAAGAAGUAAUAGAAGAAGUAAUCAUGAAGCAUGAAAUGGAAGAACUUAACUUAAUAAAUGAAUAAGAGAUAUUGUAUUGGAAAAAACUAGAAGAAGAUUGUAAAAGACAUACUGAAAUCAUGAAGAAAGUUGUUCAAAAACAAGUUUAUUUCAUAAAAUUUCACACAAGCUUCGAUAAUACUCACUACUCAAUUCUGUCAUUCUCAUCUUGAAGGGCUUCCUUAUAUAGGCACACUAUAUUACAUACGACAACGAGUGCUACAUUAUUGUUCAGACAAACAAACAUUCAUAUUCAAAUUUGAAAUAAUUAUUAUCUUGAAGAAUCUUCUGGUCAAUGUUGUUUUCUUUAAAAGUCUUCUGACUUCAGUCACGUCUACUGUUACUAGAUGCUCCUUCACUAUCGUCGGAUGCUCCUUCUACUGUUUUUUAUUUGCCUGAGCGAGUUGGACAAAAACCAGUCUAACGUCUUUAGAGUGAUCUCGCCUAGACGUAACUGAGCUUGCUUGGACGAGAUCCUCUGGCAACUUUUAGCUUAGACGAAUUGGGACGAGUGUUUACAGCUUUCAAGCUUUAUCUUUUAUAUAGUUGUUGUUGCAAUGCUUCCAUAACAUAGCAUGAGAGACAUAUUGAUAAUGGAUAUUUGAAUAAGAUAUAAGGAUCAAACUAUGAUUUGCCAUUUCAAAAUUAUUUAUAAGUCUCUCUUAAGAUGUGAAAGCUUCGAAAACUAAGUUGUGGAAGGAGCAAGAAAAAUAGGAUAAAAGAAAGAGAGAGAAAUAGAAUAGACAUAAUAAAUAAGUGUGGCAAAGGCUUGAAUACAAGAACACGGUAAGGUCCAAAAUGGAAUAGAUGACAAUAUAUAUAUGCAUUCAUAUUGGGGAGGAUGGGCUAGUAACAAAUGUGGGUAUGUAUUGUCAUCUAGUCAAGAAAUCAAUGAAGAAAACAUUGAGUAAACACAAUAUUUGAUAAAACAUGAGAAAUUCCUAAUACAUUACAAUAAAAUCAUGAAAUAUAAACUAAUUUUAGAAAAAUAAUAAUAAUUAGUUGUUAUAGUAACUAAAUUAGAGACAUUUUAAAAAUUAAAAAGAAAAUUGGUAUUUAAAUUAGUUUAUAUUAUUGUUAAAUAGUUUCUAAAUUAGUAUCUAAUUAGCUAUCNNNNNNNNNNNNNNNNNNNNNNNNNNNNNNNNNNNNNNNNNNNNNNNNNNNNNNNNNNNNNNNNNNNNNNNNNNNNNNNNNNNNNNNNNNNNNNNNNNNNAAAACUAAUAUAUAUAUAUAUAUAUAUAUAUAUAUAUAUAUUCAACAAUAAGUUAAAUAAGUUAAAUUAAAAUAAAACACUUUAAAGAUAUCUAUAUUUCUUAGCUAAAGCUAAAACCUACAUAAAAGUAUUUAUAUAAAUUAUUUGGCACACCUCAACUUUCUUGAAAAAGUAAUAGUUUAAAUUUAUUAGACAAUAAUAUAUAUAUUCAAUCACCGAUAUGAAGUAAAAAAGGGAAUACAAGUCACAUUUUUCAUUGUUAAGUUUAAAGUUUGUGUGUAUAUUUAUGUUCCUCACACUUGUUUUUGGGUCCGUAAGAAUUAAAAUUGAUGGGUGCAGCGUUGGCGUGAUCCCCUGUGAAUAGCGUGGAACAUGAUUAGUUAUAUUUUCCAUUAAGUUAUGAUACGAAGUUCUUGAAAUUUGAAGUUGAACAUGUUUAGUAUUAGUGAAGAGCGUGAUUAUGCUAGUUCCAAAGAGACCUUCUCAAUCAACACUUUCUCUAAAAUUCUCCUACAUUUUUCAUCACAGAUAUAUAUUAAAUUUUUAAUGUAAAAUAAGUAAACUUUAAAAUCUUCAAUUAUAUAAAAAUUAUGAUGAGACUUACCGAGUAAUAAAAUUUAAUACAGCCCCCAAAAUGGAUGGCAUGUGUGAGAAACAUUCAUACAAACAGUGAACAAAGAACAAGUCAAUGAUUAGGCCUUUAUCUUAAUUAAUUACCACUUUCCAAUCAUUUCCCUUCCUUCUCUCUCAUGCUACCCAAUUUCGAAUCAAAAAAAAUAAAAAUCGACUUUCUAUAGAUUACGGUUCAGUUUAGAUUCAAUUUUUUAAACUCAUCCAUGUAUGACCUAAUCAAAAUAUUGUCAUUUGAGAAAUGAUAUUGAAAUUCAAUAAAAACAGUAUGCGUAAAUUUUAAAUUUUAAUUUUCAUAUAAUCAAUUUUACUUCAAAUUUGGUAAUAAACCACACAAAACUGUAUAAAUCUAUUCUAAAAAUAGUUAUUGAAAUUAUAUAGAAGUUUUUUUUUCUCUAAAUGGUUAAUAUAUUUAUUUAUUUAUUCAAAAAAAAAGUUUGGUCUAAUAUAAAUCAAAUUCAAAUAGCCUACUCGCAUUAAUUUGCAACUCGAAUAAUUUAUAUCUACUACUAACUUGAUGAAUCAAAAUAGUAAUUUCAAGAAAUUCAAUUUAAAUUAAGUCGGAUUGGUCAUGCUGAAUCUAAAUUCAAACCAUUCAAACCUUAAAUUUAUAUAUAUAAAAAAUAACUUUAAAGUCAUUAACAAAGUUAUUAUUAAUUGUUUGACUAUGUACAUGUUUAUUCUAUCCUUACAUACAGUGAAAAUAAAUUAUAAAUUGAUAUAUUUGAUUAUAGAAUUGUCAAAAGUAAUAUUUUUUGGAAAAUUUUUUUAGCUAAACGUUGUGAAUAAAACAAAUAUCUUCUUAAGAAAUAGAACCUCCAGAAACAAAUAUAUAUUGGUUUUUUAUCUGUUGUAAAGAGAGUUUCUUUUGUUUUACACAGUCCGAGCAUUUCAAAUAUUCUGUAUAUAUAUCGAUAAAAAGUAUUCCAUAUAUAUAUAUAUAUAUAUAUAAUAUUUAUGGUAAAAAAACUCAAAAACAAAUAUUACUGGUCUCUUUAUUAAAAGAACCGUUUGUCAAUUGAUUCACUAUAUAUUGUAUAUUACUCUAUUAUUGUAAUUUAUUAAGUACAGUUUAUAAAAAUAAUUUAAUAAACUACAAAUUUACUAAAUAAUGCCAAUGACACUGAUUCAUGAAUAUGCUAGAUAUGAAUGGAAAGGCAUUGUAACCACAACUGAAUUAGGGUUCUGAAGAUGACUUCAUCUAAAUGGAUGGAUUGUAAUUAUUUGAGUAAAGUUUCUUUUACACUAAGAAUAAAAAACAAUGAAUUUACAACAGUAUUUAUUCAUAUGAAACACAAAUCCUUUACAUAAAAAAUGGUGAUUUCUGAGCUGUUCUAUACAUUUAGUGAUGCAGAUAAGUAUCUAUAUACGCAAGGCUUUGCCACCAUGAAUGGAUCUCAUGGUUAAACAAGUAGCCUCUGGAAUAGUCUCGAGCACAGGCAUCCACAAUCCAUGACGCCAUUCACGAUCUCUGGCCUUUAUUAAGCGAAGCAGAACUAGUUCUGCAGAACUUCUCCCUACUUGCUUCUUCUUACAAACCUGUUGUGGCUUCUCCAACAGUUCAGCCAGCUCUUUCUUUGAAAUCAUUAUCUUCACCUUCCCAUUCGCAUCAGGAGAAGCUCUCGCCGCCUCCAUAAGCUUCUCCUUCUGCACUUUCCCUAAACUCAACACAUUACCACCGUUUUCGUCAAUCACUUUUCUUGGGCUGCUCUUCUUCGAUGUCAAAUCACUCCAGUCCUCUCCGUCCCACUCCAUUGAUGAUGCCGGCUUGCAACAGUUUCCCAUGUUUUCACAGAUUAUUAUCAGAUUGAUUGUGAUGAUUGAGAGAUUGACGAGGUUGAAGCUGAUUCCAUUUGAUAGUUCUCUAUAUAUAGGGAUAUGGGUGGGGCAUGUUUUUCUUUCUACUCUUUCAUUCUCAUCACACCUCAACGUGGUCGCAUUCUAAGUCAUUGUAGCACAAAGGUGGCUUCCUUGACCAAAUAGUACAAUUCUAAUCAUCACGUGUAUGGCGUGUACGUACGACUAAGCUUUCAACCCCGUUUCGUUUAAUCUUAACCGUUUUUACUAACAAACUGACCCUCAACUUACUCAUCAAAUCAUGGAAUUCGAAUCUUUGAACUUUAAUUAAUUACUGUCACUGUUGGAUAUUAAUCAUAGGGGUCACCUUUGAAUAAACAGAAUGUUCCGCUUUAUUACUUAAUUAAAUUCGUAUUGGAAGUCAACAUUUCAAGCUGCUUACAAAAACGAAAUACUUUUUCUCUGUUUUUUUUUUCUCUCCUCUUAGCUGUAGAAAGAAAUCUUUAACAAACUAUAAAGAAUGGCAAAAUUAAUAUUUCUUCUUAUAAUAUUAUUAUGACCUACCAAAAUUAUAUUCAUCACGGAUUCUUAGAAAAAAAACUAUCCUUUUUUACCGGCAAAUUUUAAUAUAUGUAGAUGCAUAUAUGCACAAAGGAAAGGUGGCAAUUAGGUUAAUAUUUUCACACUUCUUUUUUUAUACUUGAAUGAUUGAAAAUUUUCAUACUUGCAUCGUCCUCAGAUGUCGUGAUGUGCCACUUAAUUUUCACGUAACCAAAUUAAAUGGAGGAGAAUGGGUAUGAGAUUUAAAAUGGAGAAGAAAUAAAGUUGAGGGUGAAAAAGUACAAAAAGAAUUAUUAAUUAGUAACAUAAACAAUGUUACUCUUAAAAGGGAUGUACAAUACACUUUCUCAUGACUAGGUGAUUCUCAAGGUUUUUUUUAUUUUUUUAUAGUGAGAUCAACAUACAGGUUUUUAAGGAAUACAAACAACAAUGGUAAUAACAACUAUUUUAAAUAUUUAUAGUUUGUAAAAACAUUUAUUAAUGUGUUGACUCUAACAGGAGGGUUAUGAUAGGAAAAGUACCUACAAUGAUAAAUCUUAUUAAAAGACGGGUAAAUUUAAUUAGCGUGAUAUGUUUGUUUGUGUUCGCAAGUAGAAGAAUCUAUGUAUUAUUUAUUUUUUGGGUUGUGACAUAGCUAUGAAAGUUUGGAAUUCUAGUCUUAGGUAGGCAAUCAAGUUGUCCAACACAAUAACUUUUAUAAUCAUUUCGAACAAUUUUAUCUACCUCGGCUUAAUAAAAAAGCAAAACCUAAUGUGGAAGGCCAUGUGGAACGUAAUAGUAUUAGAAUUGUGUUGUCUUCAAACAAUUGGUAGUUGAUGCAAAUUUUGCAGAUGGCUCAACUUAGAACUUGACUAUGGUUGAAGUGUAAAAUCAUAACACUCUCUUUUUAUUCUCUUAACCCAUUCUUGUGUUUAAAAUCUCUCAAAUAGGUCCCAGUUUUUAUCUUGCUAUAUCAUGAUGGUUGGGGAAGGUUGUGUAUCUGUUUUGAUUAUGCAGGUUAUGAUUGAUAAAUGAAUGAUCUGCAAACAAAAGAGGAGGCUUAAGGUAUAGUAGGAGACCAAAGUAUUUGGUUUAUGCAGUGAAGGAAGCCACAUUUUUUUUCCAGCAGUAUAACUACAUCAUAGCUACAUGAAGGUUAACGAGAAUGGAUUAUGCAGUUGGGAGGCUACACACAUACAAGGUUGCCAAUGGAAAAAAUAUUUCUUAGAGGUUGUUGCUAAACAAUUGAGCAACCUUGGAACAUAACAUGUCUUGGAACCACAAGUGCAAAACAUGUCACUCGCUUGUAUAAUGGGGCUGCCAUGAGGCAUUUUAAUGAUUGUUUUGCUUUUGUUUAUGUUUGGAAUGGUUUCAAAAGCAUGGUAUGCGGAGGGUAGUGGAGGUGUUUUGUGUGUGUAGGGUAAGAUUUUAUAUGUAUACCAUAUGUGAGGUUCUAUUUUUUGGUUAAAUGUAGUACACUCUUGUUCUGGUUUUAUAAGAGUGUUAUGGCUAGGUCUAGAUAGUCUAACUAUCUUUGUGCAUAAGGAUUGGAACACUCCUUCAGUGUUCCAUGUUCAUUUUAAUUUAUUAAUUAUUAGUCGAUAAAAAAAUGUAACCAAAUUAAAUGACUUUCGAUACAAAGAUUCCACACAAAUCCACUGUUAUCUUAUGCAUAUAACUAAUUACUAGGUCAUAAGACCAUAAUCUCUCUAGUGUAUAACUAUUUAGAGAAAAAGCCUUCAUGCACAAUGAGAAUUAAAGGUUAAAACUCACAAUAAAAACAAUAAAAGAAUGUAAACUUAACAUGAUUUAAUAUCUCUUCCAUGUAAACAUCUUAAUAUUAAUUUAUUCUCUACCAUUAAUGAUAUUAAAAUUAUUCAAAAUAAACUUGAUAAAAUCCUACAUCCAAUUACCUCCCUCAUGGAUAAGGUGGUAACCUCCUCUUUUUCAAGUGUAGCGAUCAAGAACUUUAUUUUAUAUACAUCACUCAAUCUAUUAAAAGAGGAAACAAAGUGCAAGAUUAUAUAUUGAAUACAAGGGAGAACCUAAAACUUAAACAAUACUAAGUUUUUUACACUUCAAAGUUUCACAUCACUUACCACUCGAUGUUAAGAGUGGUUUCUAUAUUCUCUUAGAGAUGUUUAUUGGGUUGAAUGACUUGAUGAUCAACCUCAAUUCAAUCUAAACAUAGUAGAUCAAAUUCUUUUUGUGAACUCAAAGUGUCUCAUUCUUGGACAGGUUGGGCAUGGGUAACCCAAGAUCUAAUGUUUUUAUCUAUGUAUCCUCCUUUUAUCUCAUAACAUGAUACAUCAGUGUGUGAAAUAAACCAAAAUUCUUACAAUCUUACCAUUAUCACAUCUAUUGUUCACCUUCAUCAUAUUUGCCUCUAUUGUUUUUCAAGUUGUCCAUUUUUAGAGUUGUUACAUCUUAAUCAAUAAUGGAUGAAAUUUUUGUAACUUUUGGCAUUAAUCAUAUUGGUUACUGUAGUAUUGUUUACUGCAAAAUCUGGAAGUGAGGAACAGAUUGCGAGGGUGGUACUGCUGAAAAAUUUCUUUUCAUAAGGAAACUAACAUUGGAUAGGGAUUGUUAAUGUCACUAAAGCUGCUAUCUUUUUUUAUUUUGUUAUAUUGGAUUCAUUAGCUUUUUUGAAAUCAUAUAUUGUUCAGACUGAGCAUCACAAAGUUAGAUUCUAUGUUGCUGGAAUUAUCUUUGUUUGGAUGGAAACUAUCAUGGUUAAUCACUGUUAAGAAUGAAGAAAAUAAAUAUAGGAUUAAUAUCCCUUGUGUAAAAUACACACAUAAGGGUCUUUAUUUAUAAAUGAGAAUAAUAACAUAAUCAAUAACAUAAUAACAGAAUAAUAUAAACUAUGGGCUAAGCUUGUUACAUUCAACAAUCACCUUGGAGUUUUUAGAUUGUUUAUAUUGUUAGAAUGUGUGGCCAAAACAAGAGGGGGAUGAAUUGUUUUCACAAGAUUUUCGCAAAGAUUGAAAGUAGAGUGAAUUUUUUUGAAAAAUCAACCAAUUGAUUUUUUGUUCAACUAGAUAAAAUUCCAGUUUUGUAAUUCUUUACAAGCAAAAGUAAUUAGUUGUUUUCUUGAAACAACAUGUUGUUUAUACUAGAAAACAAUGAACAAAUUGCAAAAUAGUGUAUAAGAGAAGGGAUAGAGAGAUCCACACAAAGAGGUUUAUACUGAUUCACUCUUAACCAAAACCUACAUCCAAGCUAACCAUUGAGAAUUCACUAUGCAAUCAAAUUUAGAUAACAAAACACACUAAGAAUGUUGACCUUGAAUCCCUCAACAACACGCAACACUUCUUAGCCAAAACCACACCAAGAAUGUUGAUCUUGAACCCCUCAAUAACACAACACUCUUUGGCAACACCUCAAUUUCCAGAAACCCUUCUUGAAACUGAUUUACACAGAUUUACAUUAUUCAAGUAAAGUAUAUAGAAUACACCUAGGUUUUACAAAGCAGUAGUACAAAAGAGUAGAAAACUCAGUUCCUAUUUCACACACAAGCUAUGAUCCAAAGGCUCUUGAUUCUCUUGAAAACGUUUUUAAUAAGCUCUUUAUCUUAGGUUCUUGAAAAAAAUCAUAAAACAGUCUUUAUAUAGACUCAAUGAAGUGGUUAAAACUGUUAGAUCAUAAAUCAAAAGCAAUUUGAAACAUUUAAAACAAAUUUGGAACUCUUAACAAAAUUCUGUUAGAAAAACAACAGAUUGUUUUACAAAACAGCUAAUUGAAAUUAUUUUUCUGUUAAGAAUUUCAUAUAAAAAAAACUAGUUAUUUUAUCGAAAUAACCAGUUGUUUCAGUUUUUUAGAAAAGAAAAAAAUAAAGCAAAGCCUUUUCAAAACCUUUUGAAAACUACUAAGUGUUAAACAAUAUUGAUUUGAAAAAAAAACUGACUAAAAUUUCACAGCUUUUUAGAAAACACUUCUUUUAAAAGAGAUAAAGAAUCAAGUGAGCUUGGAUCAAUACAAAGUGUGAAUUAACAAUUCAAAAGCUACUAAACAACACACACAAACACAACAGCAGGUUCUUCAAGUCUUCAACUCAUAUUUGGAGGCAUUAAAGCAUCUUGUUCAACAUAUACAUCUAACGAUCUCUUGUUCUAUGUAUAUGUAUUUACAGAAUACAUCUUUGGGUGGUUCACGUGAUUAAUUGUAUGGUCCUAGUUUGAUUUUGGGUAUGUUUUUUUUAAGGUUAUACAAGAAUCAUAACCAUUUUUGUGUAAUAGGAUUGGAACAUCCCUAAAAGGAUCCAUAUUUAUUUAUUUAUUUAUUCUUUUUAUGAUAAAAAAAAUCAUAUUUAUGAAGACGUUUGACUUGAAUAUUAUCUUUGUGGUAGAAAUGAUGUUUUGAAAUAAAUAAUUCGACAAGUGAUUUGAGAUAGAAUGUGGAGAAUAUUGUUCCUAUUUCAUAUUUAGUUCUUUUAAUAAUUAUUUUUCAUUGUUAUAAUUUUUACUUUGGUUAGUUGUAGAAUUUUUCAGUGUUCAAAUAUAUUCUUAAACAUGAAUGGGGAUAUGCUAAAGAUUAUAUUGAAUCCUUCAAUUAUAGUUAAUGAAUUGUAUUUAACUAAAACAAAAUGUCAUGAAGAUGCAUUUGUGUUGGAGAGGAGAAGACACUAUGGUAGGUGGGUGGUGACAUACUUCAAUUUUUGUGGCACCAUAACAAUAGGAGAUUCUUGGCGUACAAUAUAUUUUAACAAUAAUAUUUCUUUUUAUUCUUUACUCAGACGGUACUAUCAUAUUUUUAGACUCUUGUUGGAAUAAGAAACUAAUCUAUACUUAGUUGGCUUAGGGAAGGAAAGGAGAUUUAUGUAGGAGCCAUGGUUGAGUUUUGCAACAUGGAACGAAAGGAAGCUCGAUAUAUGAAGCAAAAUAAGUAUUGUUUGGAGUUUCAAGUUACAAAAAACAACCUGUCAAUGCGGAAGAUGUCCUACAGAAGAGGAAAGUUGUGAGUAAGACUUAUGCAUAUGUGUAAAGUUGUCUAGUCUCAAAUGUUCAUUCCCAAUCUGGACCGAAAUUAACACUUGUAAUUGUUGAAAAUGUCUAAGGUAUGCUUUGGAUUCAUGUUCUAGAGAGAUGUUGUUGAACAUAAAAAUAUAAAGAGUCAAGGUUUUCAAAAUGUACACCGACAAGACACAGUGAUUUUUUUGGCAUAAUGUAGGAUGUGCGGUGUUAAAUGGGGUAAAGGGCCUCGAUAUGUUUUAUUAUUGUCAUGGAUUUUAUGUUUGGUACACGUUACCAAUCAUGUGCGUCUAAUCUUUGAAGAUUUGUUUCUUUGAUCAUUUUGGAUCUUAUUGGAGUUUUAUGCAGGAAUUUUGUGGAACUUUGUGUAAUUUUGUGUACAAUGAUUGAAACAUCACUUAAAUACUUUUAUUUAUUAAUUUUUUAUUUGCCGAUAAAAAAACUUGAUAAUUUAUAUCCUUAUAUAAAUACAUUAAAUAUUAUUACUAAUUUUUUUUAAUAAUUUCUAAUUGUGCUCUGACAUCUACACAUGUAAAAAAAAAUGUUUACAUUGUCUACCAGUAACUUUAGAAAAGUAUGAAAAAAAUUAUUAAAGAAAACAAAGAAUCUACUACAUAUGUGUUUCUAGAAAAUAAAAGUGAUAUUUUCCGGUAAUCACCGUAUGUUACAUUAAUUAUUUAAAUAUAAAAAAUAUAAGAAAAAUAAGUUUUAAUAAAUAUAUAAAAAGUAAUUUAUGAAAAAUAAUCAUCUUAUCUCAUAACCUAUAUAUAUAUAUAUAUAUAUAUAUAUAUAUAUAUAUAAUAAUUACGUUACGNNNNNNNNNNNNNNNNNNNNNNNNNNNNNNNNNNNNNNNNNNNNNNNNNNNNNNNNNNNNNNNNNNNNNNNNNNNNNNNNNNNNNNNNNNNNNNNNNNNNUACUACUAUAUAUAUAUAUAUAUAUAUAUAUAUAUAUAUAUAGAAAAAUUUGUCACGAAAUUACUAUGCUCAAAACUUGAGAUCUAAAAAGUAUUUUAAAUUUGAAAGUUAAAGUCUUCUCUUAAUUUCAAACUAUUACUAUGCAUUCAAGUUUGUUUAUUUGCAUCAUAUUAUUCGAGAGUUUGCCUAAAUUAUAUAUUAUUCUACAAUAUGUUAAAAUUACAUUAUCAUUUUUUUCAGAAAAUUUAAUAAAAAUAUAUGUAUAUUGACUUUAAAAUAAAUUAUCAUGUUAAGAUUUUAAUGAAUUUCAAAUUAUGAACUUAAAAGUCAUAUCUAAAUAUAAUUAUUUGAACUAUUAAUUUCUAAUAUACGUGAAAUUUAGCAUUUUCUUAUUAAAAAAUUAUACUAUACUUUAUUAAGAAAAUAACAUUUACAAAGAUAUAAUUCUAUGAACUAUAUAGCCGAAAUUCACAAGAAAAAUAAGCGAACUCGACCUAAUAACAAAGAUUUGAAGUACAUAGAUUCUAUGUUCAUACCUUAGUACCACCGUUUUACAACAUUAAAAAAAACUCCAUUUCUUCUUCCUCUAACUUCUAAAUCUCUAUAAAGGGAUUUCGAAUAUUAUAUAAUGGAAAAAUUAACAUGGAGAGGAAAUAAAAAAAAAAUGCUCAUUCUCAUUAAAAUAGACUUUUUUUGUGACAUACAUAUAUAUGUUUUCACAAAGAAUUUUUCCUUCAGUGAUGAUAUUUUGAAUAAGUCUGCCUCUAUACAUAUUAUUCUCUUCUUGGGAGAGUGUGUAAUUUAUUGGAGUACAAAUUAAAAUUUGAAUAAGAAUAAUUUUACAAGCUUCAAAUUUUAUCAAAUAUGGUUAACAACCAGAUUCAACAAAUCUUGAUCUCAAUAUAAAUGGAUAUAGUAGCCACAACAGGAAUUUACCUGUAAGGAGAAUUAGGGUUUAGAACCCUAUAUAUCUAAAACCGAUUCUAAUUUAUUGAUAUGAUAUACAAAUCUGGCAAACUCUAUCCUACUAUUGUACAUGAAAAAUAUUGGAUUCUUACUGUUCUAUACAAUUACUGAUGCAAAUAACCUUUUGAAUACACAAAACCAUUGAGCAGCAUGAUCUGAUCUUGAAUCAACUAACCUCAGGAAUACUCUCUAACACGGGUCUCCACAACUCGUGACGAGAAUCCUGAUGAUAUCUUGCUUUUAUCAAGCGAAGCAGAACUAGUUCUGCAGAACUUCUCCCUACUUGCUUCUUACAAACCUGUUGUGGCUUCUCCAACAGUUCAGCCAGCUCUUUCUUUGAAAUCAUUAUCUUCACCUUCCCAUUCGCAUUAGGAGAAGCUUUUAGUGCUCCCAUAAGCUUCUCCUUCUGCACUUUCCCUAAACUCAAUCCACGACCACGAGUUUGAUCAAACCCCUUGCUUGAGCCUGUGGUCUUGGACGUUAAAUCACUCCAGUCCUCGCCGUCCCACUCCAUUGAUGAAGCUGGCUGGCAACAGUUUCCCAUAUUCUCACAGAUGAAUGAUGUGUGUGAUGAAAGUUGGUUAUAAUCCUUUGAGUGUGAUGUGUAUUGGUAAUGAAGAUUGUAUCAGCAGUGAUGUGUAUUGUUGUUGAUAAUGAAGAUUGUAUCAGCAGUGAUGUGUAUGUUAUUAAGUGGUAGGUAUUAUAAUGAAGUUUUGUGAGGGAUGAUGGGUUUGAAUUUGAUAGGUAUAUAUAGAGGGUGGUGUGAGGGGAAUGGAUACGUUGGUAUUUAUAAUUUAUAAUUGCGGUGACGGCACCUAGAAUGUGGUCUCGUUCUUGGUCAUGGCAGCUGCAGGUGGCUUCCUUGACCAAAUACUAAACACGUGUCUGUUAUAUAAGUCGACUAAGUUUUAUCUUUUGUUAGAGUGUGAAACUAAUGGGGAAUGAAGCAUCCUAAGGAGUCACUAAGUGAAAAUGUCACAAAUCUUGGAUCUUCUCAAACUAUUUAUAUCCAAAUAUCAUUCAUAUCAUAAAAAAAACCUAUAAAAAAUUGUUAAAUAAAAAUUACUUUUUAGAUAAAAAAUAAAUAAUUAAUCAUAAUUAAAUUAAAUAUUAGUUAGAGAUUAAAAAAUUAUUAAAAUUAUUAGUAUUUAAAGUAGUUUUUAUUAUUAAAAAUUUAUAAAUUAAUUUUUAGAUUGAUAUUUAAUUACUUUUCAACAUUUUAGCUAUCCAUCAAAUCAAAUUAUAAAGUUGAUAACUAAAAUUUUGAUAGUUAAUUAGAUACCAAUUUAAAAACUAGUUUAUAAAUUUUAUUAAUAAUAUAAAUUAUUUUGAUGGAAAAAACGCACGCGGAAGUAACACAAUCACAAACUAUGCAACAUAGACACUGACACGAAUACCGAUACGACAGGGACACGAACACGGAGAUACGUAAAAUCUCUAAAAUGUAGGACACGGGACACGAAUCUAUAUACAAUAUAAUUAUGAAUUAUAUAAAUUGACAAUAAAAAUUAUGUUCACAAGUAUGUUUCAGAUUUUUUUUUGGAGCAAAAAGAUGCUUUUCAGGAGUGGUUCACAAGGAUUUGUUUCUUAUUUUUAUAAUCAUAAUAACAAUUUAUACAAUAAAGUUUGAAUUUUUAGAAAAUUAAUGUAUUUUUCCUUUUUAAAAUUGUGUUGGAACUGUAUUAGAAUUGUCAGAAAUCUAAGAAAUACUUUUUGAAUUGGACACUUCACGGAUACACAUCUUACCGGUGUCAUACGAGUGUUGGUGUCCGAUACGAGUAUCGGACAUCAACACGCCAUUUAAAAGGAGUGUUCGAACUUUAUAAAUCACGAAUCAACGGUCAAAAGUAAACAACACACCCAAUUGGUCCUGCCUUCACACUCAACAUAUUUUAAAUAUCAUAAUUUUUUUAAUUUUAAAAUAAUAUCUAAUUUAAUUAAUAUAUUGAAUAAGUCUCUAAAAUUAAUUUUUAUUUAAUUAUUUAAUUACCGUGAAAUACCUUGUCAAUCAAGAUUUCCUCUCCAAUUCACCCGGUACAAAGUUGUUUAUUUUUAAUGAUAUUUAUUUUCCUUUCAAAAGAAUACCAUUUGAAUUACUAUUUGUCUGGGGUUUCAAUAGUUUAACACGUUGGUGAGAUUUUGACACACAUUUACCAUUUUUUUCUUCCAUACAAGUUCCUACUAUUCUUAAUUUUUCUUGUAAUGAUAUUGGAAUAGAUUUCAAACAGAGUUACCUCCCUAAGGUUGAACAAGUUUGAAGAAACAGUGAGGCAACAUAAUGACAGUGAUAGAAGUGUGUGAAGAGAAGUUAGGUAUUAUAUAUAGUGUGUAGCAUGACUAUGUGUUGAUUGAGACGCCAAGUAGGAAAAAGGAAAAAAGAAGAAAAAAAAGAGUGAAUAUAUAUUGGUCAUUCAAUAAUCCAUUGUUAUUCUUAUUCUUAUCUCAAUCCAAACCUCAUUCUCCAUUUGGCCAUCCAAACAGAAGAGGUAUUACAUUUUCAACGCAUAUAUAAAUAACAGAGUCAAAAGUUUUUUGUUUUUCAAAGUUAUAUCAUGUUUGUAUCGUGAUGCAGUGAACUUUAGUAUUUUACAAAUACUCUUUUCCUUGUUCGUAGAGGUCAUGCGGCCUGGCCUAAAAUAAUUAUGUAUGAAUACUUUACGAAGAUCAACGUAAUAAAAAAUGGAAAUGUCUCUAACAAGGACCACUUGUACAAAAACACGUGAAGUUUCACGUAUUUUUAAUCUUUUUAGAUUUUUCUUUCCCAAUGACCCAAGUGAACAAAUACUAAAUAACCUACACAUUAAGACAUCAACAUAAAUUAAUUUAUUGCUGGAUUCAGGUUUUUUUUUUAUCAGCAAUAAAAAAUAAAUAAAUGGGAACCACUUUAGGGGUGGUCAAACCCUUAUACAUAAAUAGCUAGCGUUUUAUCAACUUUCAACCAAGGAACACUUUCUAACUUAAAUAAGGAACAACCAAAACAACUCAAAAAAGCGUUAAACAACCAGCCUCAUACAAUCUAUUGGGUUCAAAACUCAGUUGGGAUACGUAAAGGAAUUACAACAGGACUUUGCAAAAAUCCAAGACCAACAUUUACAUGUACCCGUGCAAAUACCUCGAGCGCAUCUAUCAGUCCUGGAUUCAGGGUAAGGACUUUAUUUUAGAGUUGUUUUAAUUAGAAAGGUAAUAGAUUUUUCAUUUCAUUUUUUCAUAUAGAUGCACGAGAUAACAGUAAUGCAUCCAUUUAACGAGAUAAGUUAACUUAGGUUGAUGCGUUGAGUUGAGUUUUUUUUUUAUAAUUUUAUAAUUUUAAUAUUUUGAUGUUUAGUUAUACUACUAUAUUUGUUUUUGUUUUAUGAUUGACAUAUAUAAUAGUUAUUUAUUAUUUUUUACAUUUUUUUGUUUGGGUUGAAAUUUUUCACUUGAUGAGAAAUGGGCUCUGUUUAAUCUACAACAUAUUUUAGAGGGUCAAGAUAUUAAUUUGUUUUGAUAUACAAGGGAAUAAAGUGGGAAGAAGAAGGAACAAAAAAAAGUUAGAGAAUUUAUUAAGUUUCUUAGAAAAAAAAAUUAAAUGUGUACAUGAAAUACCAUAAAUACUCCUAAUAAGAAAAAAUAAUUAUAGAGAAAGAAAUUUAUUCUAGGUGUUUAACAUCAAACCAUCUUAUCCAUAUUUAAUUAAUUAUUUAAAGUUAUUAUUUUAUUUUUUAGUAUUAUUUUAAACAUGAUUUUUUUUUUUAAUUCAAAGAAAUAUAUAAAUAAUAAUAACAAUAAAUUAAAAGUAAAUAUUUUUUCAUUCAAUUCAAUGAACUUAGAUAAAAGAAAGUUAGUUAUAAGUUAUAUUAUUAUUUUAAAACUUUUCAAGUAUGUUUAUAUUUAUUUGUGUUGUUAUAUAGUAGAUGAAUGUCUACAUAGUUAAAAAUAUCACCUUGGAGUACUAGGAUAUUCAUAGGUGAAACUUGGAACUAUAUGUACCUGGAUGCUCGAAAUUGUCAAUGUUAGGUAGUGAGUGUAUAUCUCUUUUGUAGGGUGAUAAAUUGUCGAUACUCUCCAGAAAAAUAAUUUUAAUUGUAUCAAUGUUUUUAAUGAGAAAUAUUCAACUACCUAAUCACUUCCUAAUAUGAGUUGAUUUGAGAAUUACACAUUUUUAAAGAUUUCACUUUGAUUGAUUUUGAUUAGCAAGAUAAGGUGAUGACUCAGUGUUGGACACGAACUUAACCAAGUGGUUAAGUAAGUGUGAAGGUUCUCUUCAAAUAGAAAAAUAAAAAAGAACCACACAAGGAAUGACAAUGCAAGCAAAAAAUUAAGAAAUAAAAAGAUACUAGAAUAGAAGUUUGCGGAAAUGAAAGAGAGGAAUUUAGAGUCUAAGAAGAAAGAACUUAGAUGGUUGAAGAAUUCCAUGGAGGUGGAGAGAUGGGGGAGUCACGCCACUUGGAGGCGGAGGAGCCCAAGAUAACUGAUGAAGGGAGUCGCCACUUAAAGCAUAUUUGCCAAGAUAAGACUCAGAGAAAACUAGAUACUCAUAAAUUCACUCAAGUAGAGUUUCUUUACUCAAAAUGUGUUGUGAUUUACAAGAGGGGUGAUCAUCUAUUUGUAGUGACAGGUGCCAUGUGAUUAAGGCAUGGAGGGAAAUUUUAAAUUCAAAAUAAGCUAUCUUAACUCCUAAAAAUCUGCCACUAAUUGUAGAUCUAUAAGAGGUCAUGCUUUUCACAUUUAAGUAUGGGCUUAAUGUGAAAAGUGUGAUUAGGGCUUGCACAUGGGAGAUGAUGCACUCCAAACUCUUGAGUGCAUGAUUGAAUGGAGAAUGCAGUGGAAUGGAGUGGUGAUGGAGGCAUCGAACGAUUGAGAGGUGCUAGGUUUGGGAAGUUUGAUGGUGCAAUGAAGCGGGAUGAGGUUUGGCCAACCUUCCUAAGUUCACUAGGCCAAAGAGGCUCACUAGCAAGAGAGAUUUGGGAGGGAAUGAUUGUUCCAAUUCAGAACUCUUCAUUCAAUUAAUUGCAAAUCUGAAUACAUUAGUGGAUUUGAGUAUAGAUGAAGGCAGUUUGCUCCUUAAGCUACCAUAACUCUAGUUAAGUGAACUUAAAUAUAGUGAGUAUGGUGGCUUAAGGAAGUCGUAUGUGCUCUUCUAAGGUGCUAUAGAAGCCCUUACUUGUGUGACAAGUUAGGGUUUCUAGAGUAUACUUAUUUAUCUAUAAAAUACUCUAGAUAAAAGUAUAAUACAAAUCUUAUACAAAUUAUUUUUAUUAUUUCUACAGACAGUUCAUAUGUCUUUUAUUCUUGUGUAUGGUGGCUUUGGAUGGUCCUCCAUCGGGAGACUUUCAAGAUGUCAGGGUUUCUCUAUGGCCCAUGAACAAGCCCAAUUUUUAUGUUUUUUUAACACCUCCUCUUAAAAAGAUUAAAAUAAAGAAUAGUUUGUAUCCUGACCCAUGCUUUGGUGUUCUGCUCUUGAUGAUCUUCUGAGGGAUGGUGGGGCCUUGAGUCCUAGCCUGAGAUGCAUGACCUAGCCUUGAAUAGUCUUUUUCUGCUCUUGGUCAUCUUCUUGUAAUGUUGGACUAGUUUAGAUGGUGAUGCUCCUUUCAUGGUUACAUCACUUCCUAAGUAACUUUUCACGUUCAUAUUGCGUCAUCAGAAAUAGAAUAUGAUUCCAUAUCUUUGAUAAAGUGAGAUUUAGUCAUAUAACUGUAGAUUAAAUUAUAGACCUUCAUUGUUUGUAUUGUAUGUUAACUUUAUCAAGAUUGAUAUUUAAGGUUUGCAAAGACCUUACUUUUUGUGUGUUUUUCUUUCAUAUGUACAUGCGGUGCAAGUAGAAGAAGAACAUGCUCAAUAAGAAUUGUUUAAGAAAACUUUAUGAGAUCUUCUCUAAGAUGUUGUCUCAUGGAAAACCUGGUUUUUAUAUCUUUGGGAUAUAUUAUAGAUAGUCCUAUAUUUUGAUAUAGACUCUUAUUAUUAUACAACACAUAUAUGUUUUUGUAAUAUACUAUGAAUAAUUAUACAAAUGUAAAAUGUUGACAUAUAUAUAUAUAUAUAUGUGUGUGUGUGUGUAUGUAUCUAUGAGGUUAUGAUAUGAUUAAUGUUCCCAUUAAGAAAAUCUUAUUGCACACAAAAAAUUACUCCUAAUUUCUAGUUAAAUAACAAUUACUUAUAUAAUAAAUUACUUAUACAAACAUGGUGGUAAAAAUUGUUGGUUUGAUUGUUAUCGGAAAUUCUUGGAAAGAGAUCACCCCUUUAUAAGAAGUAAGAGGAGAUUUAUGAAAAAUAGAAAUAAUCAGAUGGGCCUCCUUAUAUGUUGAAUGGAGAGAAAUUGUGGGAAUUUAUUUGAGACUUUCCAAAAGUUGUUGAUGGUUCAUUUGAUACCUUACCAGGGUAUGGACAAUAUCGUAAUUGGACAAAAAGAUUAUUUUUUUGGGAUCUCCCAUAUUGGAAACACAACUUGUUAAGACACAACAUUGACGUCAUGCACAUAGAAAAAACUUUUUUGAUAAUAUUUUCAAUAUUGUAAUGGAUGUGAAGGGUAAAACAAAGGACAAUCACAAAGCAAUAAUGGAUGUUGCUGAAUUUUGCGCACGUGGGGACUUAGAGUUGGUACAAUUAGGAAAUGGGAAGUUAACUAAGCCAAAGGCAAACUACAAUUUCACAAUAAAAUAUGCAAAAUCAUUUUAUAAAUGGAUUACAAAGUUGAAGAUGUCAGAUGGUUAUGCGUCUAACAUUGCAAGGUGUGCAAAUAUUGAUAAAAGGGGUAUGCAUGGAAUGAAAAGUCAUGAUUGCCAUGAGAUUAUCAUGUUUUCAUGGACUAUUUACUACAAAUUGCAUUUUGUUCAUUACCAGAAUUUGUCUGGAAUGUCAUUGCUGAAAUAAGUCAAUUUUUUAGAGAUUUAUGUUGUAACACUUUGAGGAUGGAUGAUUUAAUUUGAAUGGAAGCAAAUAUAUCAAUCAUUAUUUGUAAAUUGGAAAGAAUCUUUCCACCAAAAAUAUACCAAUCAUUAUUAUGCUAAAGACUUUGACGAUCAGCCUGUGCAUUAAGUUCAUCAUGAAUAUAAGUAAAAUUAAUUGUAGUAUCAUCUGAUGUAUAUGUCUAAUGGCAGAGCCCCCAGCCACACACAGCCACACAAUAAGGAGGAUGAAGACUUAGAGUCUGUUUAUGGACUUAUUUGAAAAUAUGGGUCCAAUUGGGCUUUUGUCUAUCUUUGUAGACCCAAUCAAAAGAACAACUUUAGGAUGAAGGAAUGUAUAAAACAUGUCCAAGAAGACCUCCAAUUCAUCAAAACAUAAACUAGAGAUUUGGUCAGAAGAACACAAGAAGACUGAGUUUCGGCUGACUAGUGAAUAUUGUUUUUGGGUCAAGCUUUAGCUUAAAUAAAUUGUAUAAAUUUGUUUAGGCACCUUAAAACCAACCUAGAUUAAAUUAGGGUUUUUAGAAGACUUCUAAUUUAACCUAGGUCGAUCCUAAACCUAAAAAGAGUCACAUGAACCACACCUUGGUCAUGCUUGCCUUGUGACUCUAAAAUAGGCGCCAAUUUCAAACCUCUAACAUUUGAAUUUUCCCACCAUUUGCUUUGUACAUUGGUCGGACCUCUACCUAUAUAAAGAGGUGUUUGGAUCAUGAAAUUCUAAGAUCAAAUAUAUGAGUGAAUAGUUGCCAAGUUUGCAUGUUUUCUCACUCCCUUGUCUAAACUCUCUAAAAUGUGACCUUGAUCUUCUUCUUCACCUUUUCCAAGUGAUAUGGCAUAACCAAUCACUCUCCCUACUUCUCAUGCACCUUCAAGGAAUCCAUAGCUCCAUUGGAGUCAUCUUUGUUCGCGACUUCAAUUGAGCUUCCGCACACCACCUCAAAGUUGCAAAGAAAUCCAAUCGGAAUGAAGGCUACAUGCAAAUAUCCAUUAAAUGAAGUUUUCACAAACCCUAAACUACUAACUAAUCAACACAUACAUGCAAAUAUUUAUUAUAAAACUAAUUAAAAUUUUUAAAAUACUAACCUUUUAUAGUGGAGUUGUGGGUGCAAUAAACUCUACGAUGGAAGCACCAGUCUAGCGCAGUGGGCAACGAGAUGUUCAGCGCAGUGGAAUAAGUGGUCUGGCGCGGUGGUGAGGUGAAAAAGAUGUAUGGCGUAGUGGAGAGGUGAAAAGGAGGUUCGAGAGGUGCUAAAGGCAUGCGAACGUCCCGGUAGCAUGUGGAGGUGCUAGCGGCAUGCGAAAGGUGUUGUCAGCAUGUAAAGGUGUUGCCAACAUGAAGGGUUGGUGGCAGAGGCAGCUGUUUGCGCACGUAGAGGUUUAACGUGCGAAGGAGGGUUGGAGCAACAGAGGAGGGCUAGAGCGACGUUGACUAUGAUGGAGAGGGAGAAAGGAACGAAAGAGAGCUUAGGGUGCAUAGGGGGUAGAUCGGAGGCAGGGAGUUGUUUGAGUGUAGUGGAGAGGGAGAGAGGCACGAAUGAGAAAAAGAAUGAAUGAGAGCGUGUAAUGCGAGCUGAGAUUUAAUUUUCGCUCUUUUAACGACGGUUUUCCACUUAACUGUUGCUACUUUGCCACAACUCCUCAUUAACGACAGUUUGAAAAAGAACCAUCAUUAUUUUUCCUACAUAUCUUCAUCAACGACAGUUUAAAGUCCAACAUUCGUUAUUUAUCAACAUUUAUUCACCAAAAUGCCACUGUGCUUCUUCCUAAGAUGGGUUUCUAUCAAAUGUUGUUAUUCACAAUCGUUUUUAAGGUGUUUUGCACUAGUGUUAUGGUCUUUUUUUCAUUUUAAGUGUGUUUUUGGUCCACCUAAAUUCUUGUAGUGAUGGAAGAAGGUCAAACUCAAGAUCAACCACUAGGUCAAUGGCAAGAAAGAUUCAAGAAGACUAGGACUCUGCUACUGAUGGCAGAGACUUUCUUUUAUACAUGUUCAAAAAAUGUCAUAACGUAGUGUAGUUUCUUUAGAGUAGAAUUUAUUUUUCUUGCAAAAGUAAAGUAAGAAAAAUAGUUGUAAAUUUUCUUAAUUGUAAUUUGGGUUGAAUUAGGCAUCUAAAAACCAACUUAUAUUAAAUUAGGGUUUCAUUAAGACUCCUAAUUUAACCUAGGCCAGUCAUUUAACCUAAAGAGAGUCACAUGAAGCACACCUUGGUCAUGCUUGCAAUGUGACUCCAAAUAGGCGUUAUUUUCAAACCUAUUUCUUUUGAAUUGUCCCACCCUUUUUCUUGUAACCUUGGUCGGACCUCAUUACUAUAUAUUGGGAUGCUUGACUCUCAUUUCUAAGAUCAAUAUAUGAGUGAAUUGUUGCUAAGUUCGAUAGCCUUCUCACUCUCUUGUCUAAAAUCUCUAGGAUAGACACAUUUGGUCUUCUCCUUUCACCUCUCCAAGUGAUAUGACCCAACCAAUCACUCUUCCUACUUUUCAUGCACCUUCAAGGAACCCAUAGUUCUAUUGGAGUCAUCCUUGUUCCACUCCUUCCAUUGAACUUCCGCAAACCACAUAAAAAAUCCAAGAAAAUAAAUCGACAAUGAAGACAAUGCUAUCAUGUAAUGUACAUAAAUAGAUUAAUAUAUUGUAACAUAUACAAAAUUGAAUCUUAUUUGAAAUUUCUUGAUGUUUUAACAAAAAAAUUUAAGUUCUUAUCCUUUCUAAGAUUGGAAUGUAGGAUAUAUUGGAGAUAUAUAGUACGUAAUAUAUUAUAUUAUGCAUUAGAAUUUAUUGUUUGUUAAUUUUUUAAAAUUUUCUAAAGAGGGUGCAAUAACUUAUCUUGUACAUUCUUUUGUAUAACUUUUCAUUUUGUUUGAUGGAAGAAUGCCUAGUUCCUAACUUUUUUCUCUUAUAUUCUACUUUUUCGUAUGAUUUCUUUUGUUAAUUAUAUAUAUAAGUGAUUCGAUAACGGUUCGGUAGCGGAUGAUUUAAUAAGUUCAACAAACACUUGUUAGGAUAGACUCGAAAUACCGACUUAUAAGGUGAGGUUUGCACCCACUUAUAUACAGUGUAUGGGUGGUCCGAUAACGACCCGAUAGCAGGUGGCCUAAUAAGCCCAACAAACACUCGUUAGGAUAAACUCGAAAUGGUUCUAAUACCAUAUUAAUGGUUCGAUAGCGGGUGACCUGAUAAACCCAACAAACACUCGUUAGGAUAAACUUAAAAUGACUUUGAUACCAUAUUAAGAAGUGGACUUUAAGUCUAACUCAAUUUCAUAAAACUGACUUAUAAGAUAAGAUUUGCACUCACUUAUAUACUAUGAAAUGUCUUAAUAUCUAAUUGAUGUAGGAUCUCCAAAAUGUUCUCUGUAACUUUUCUACUCACUGUUGUAACUUUUCUACUCACUGUUGCAAUACACGAUAGACUAAAAAUUAUCUUGUAUGAAGGUAGACUUUGACAGAGAAAGACUUUGGUCAAUGGCGUCUCUUGUUUGGAAUUAAUCCUCACGCAUAUCUUCUUUGGACCGAGGGAAAUAAAAUUCAUAAUCUAAUGACUUGGAACUUUUUAUGUGAUAUGAUGCUUACUUAUAUGACAUUGAUGAAAGGUUUAUUUUGUUCUUGUGGAGGUGCAACAGGUUACAUCAUAAAAGGAUCAAUGGCUGUAUUGGGCACGUAAAGAUGAACCUUAUAGCUUUGUCACUGUCAAGGAUUUUGGUGUCUCAAAGGACCGUGACGAAGGAGUUAAUUUUAACACAAUGUAGCAGUUGUUUCUGCAUCAGAAAAGCUCUUCAAUUUAACUUUCUACCCACUCCACUACUCACUACUCUACUAAUGAUAGUUAUGGUGAGAAUUAAUUGAAAUAGGCACAAUUAGGAGAAAGUAGGUGAAGAGUGAGAGGCCAUAUACACACAAAAGCAUAAUAUCAAAGAGUUAAUGCCAAAUUUGAUUAGGCUUGUUUAGUUGCCUUAAGGAGAGAAAAGAAAGAAAGAAAAAGUACACAUGUUUUACUCCACUCACCCACUCACUCCAUGUCUAAGACAUCUUCCCAUCCUAGCAAAAGUCAAUAAAGACGCAUUUGGAAACCUGCUGCAAUAAUGAAAUAUCAGUGGUUACCUUACCAUUUACCAUUUACACUUGCCAUCAGAGUGAGAGAUAACAUAUCUCUGUCACAUAUGGGCAAAUUUCACCUAAAUGGUAAUGGUGCACUUUUUUUUUUAGAUUUACCUAAAUGGACAAAUUCUGAAAAAAAUAUAGAAAUGGGCAUUUUUUUUUAAUUCUCAAUAUCAAUUAAAUUUAUUAAUCCAGCAACUAUUGUCUUUUUAAGUAAAGUUGUCCACUAAAUAAAAUUAGAUAUUGAAUUGGGAACUGCGGUAUAUUUUAUCUCAAUUAAAGUUAUCAAUUUAGUUGUCAAGUUUAGGAUUUAAGGUUUAGGAUUUAGGGUUUAUAAAUAACACCAAAAUUUACUUUUGUUUUAUUUAAGAAAAUGAUAUAUAAAGUUGAAGAACUAAAAUGAUUUUUUUUUUACAAUAAUUUUAAAUAAAUUAGGUUAAAAAUGAUUUGUUUGAUAAAUUAAAAAUAUUUAGUAUUUUUUAAAUAUUGUUAAAGUUAAAAAUACACUUAUAAAAAAAUGUGAUAUGAUUUAUGUAUAAAUUUUUAGAUUAUAUAAUAUAUGAAAGUAUAAAUUAUAUAAUAUGUAAAACGUGAUAAUAUACAUGUAUUUAUGUAAAAUAAAUGUAUUAAAAAAUAAAUUAAAUUAUUGAAUGAGUCAUUAAAAGAAGAUGAUAUUAAAAUAUUUGAUGGGAACAACAUUACCAUGACUCUACUGUCUAAAUAGACAAUUUUCUCUGUUGUGACCUUUAUUGCAAUAGUAAAAACAUUUUUUGGUUUGUUCUGAAUUGGUUGAUCCAUUUCAUUAUGCAAACGAAUUGUAAUUGGUCGUUCCGAGUUUUUACGUCACAUGUGGGGGUCAGGUAUGAAAUUUGGCCUGGUAUAAGUAGAUCAAUAAUCCUCUUUUCGAACGGGAUAGAAUUCAACUUGAUAUGUCUUUCUAAUCGUGUGAAGGUGUAAAUUGGAUCAAUGAAUGUCAUAAUUUGUAAAUGACAAGAGGGACAAACGACAAUAACGUGACGACAGGGAAGUGGCCACAAUCACACCACCAAUCAUUUAAUCUAACUGUGUAUAUGACUGAGACCGUCAACCAUGUUGGGGGUGGUUAAUUCUUGGACAUUAAAUUCAAAAUUUUCUGCAUUAAACCUUUCCACAAAACACAUAGCCGAAUCUUGUUAUUUUUUCUAAGGUUGUGAUAUCUUCUGGAUAAUAGUGACAUGCGCGUAACAUGGUGUCUAUUUUGAAGGCUCGUUCAACAAACCAUGUUUUUGUUUUUUCGAAAGUUGUCUUAACCAAAGCGGAAAUCGGCAAAAAACGAGCUCCCUUAAGCACAAAGUUAAUGCAUUCCGCUAGAUUUGUGGUCAUAUGACCAUACCUUUUUCCACCAUCGUAUGCUUGAGUCCAUUUCUCUAACGGUAUAAGAUAUAUCCAAAAAAAUGUUUGCUUGAACUCAGAUCGCAUAACUAAUAGUUUUGCAUGUGCUGUGGGUUGUUUCAUCUCAUAAGUUGUCAUAAAGAAGUAAAUAAAACUAGUUAAACGGUAAAAGGUCGUAAUUAUCUAUUUAAUUUUAAUUUUUUAAAUAUUAUUUAUCUAUAAAAUACAAUUUUUCACAAUAUUCUUAUUCUUAUUUACUUCAUGUAAUUUUAAACAGUUUUUAAAUUAUUAUUAUGUACAUUUUUUAAUUUUAAAAAAAUCAAUUGAACUUGCCAACUGAAUUGACAACUUUAAUUGAGAUAAAAUAUACUAAAGUUGUCAAUGUCCAAUUUUAUUUAAAUUGUCAAUAUGAUUGACAACUUUAAUUAAAAAAAAUAAUGAAUUAAUGAAUUUAAUUAAUAUUACCUACAUCAUUAACAACUUUAACAAAAAAGUUAUCCAUUUUUAUAAUUUUUUCAAAAUUUUUCCAUUUACAUAAAUCUAAAAAAAAAAAUGCACCAUUUUAGUAAAAUUUCCCCAUAUGCCUUUACAUUCAGAGAGGGAGAUACAAAUUUACUACAGAACAAACAUUUCAAUUUAAUCAAGACUAAUUUUACUCGAUUAUUAUAAUUAAUAAAGUUAUUAUUUAUACAUUCCAUCAAAUUUAUUAUUAAAUAAGGAUCACAAUUUACAGUCUGGUCUACUGGUGGGGGUAGAAUAGGUUAGUCCAUAGAAUUCAUAAUAAAAAAAUCACUAUAUUUUAGUGUUAUUGAAAUAGAACAAUAAUAAUGUUGUUUUUAAGUGAAAAUAAUAUGAUAACUAACUAUUAUAAUUUUUUAGUAGUUUACCCACACAAAAUUUAUAUUUUAUUUUUUAUAAAAAAAAAUAACUUUAACAUAUUUAUUUAAUAUAGAUGUUAAUUUUAUAUUUAUUUACCUUAGUUAACAUGUUAAAAAAUGAAACGGUGUGAAAUAUUUACUGAUAAUUUGUGUUUCAAAAGAAUAAAAUGUUGAAAAAUCAUUCCUUAUAAGUUAUAGAGGAUUACAAGAUCACAUCUUAAAUAUUUAGCUUCAUUUGUUUCUACACAUCUUAGAAUUUCAAAUGCUAAGAUAUCAGAUUUUAUUUUGUUUCUUAGCACUUAAGACCAAGCAACUAUAGCUUCCUUUUUGGAUCACAUAAAAAUCAAAUUGGGUCCAAAGAAAUAUAUUUUUUGUGAUAAUGUUAGAAGUUCAAUAUUUAUAGUAAGCGAAUAGAUUAUACUUGUCACGAGUAAAUGGUAGGUGAAAUUCGUGAGAAGUCCUCUAACAAAUGAACUGAUUUCUUAGUACUAUAAUCAGUCUCAGACCAGGUUAUUAUUUUAUGCUGUAAAACACCAACAAAAUAUUCAUAUAAAGCAUCAUCCUUCAUGCAUUCAGAUCCAUAUUUAGAAAGGUUGAUUCUACCUUACGUAUAAUAGAGAUUCUUUUAGAUUCUCACAUUACAACUCUGUUAAAUAGUUCAUGAAUAUAUUCGGCUCCAAAAAAAAAACAUCAAAUAUUCAAUAUCACAAAUUUAAAAAAUGAAAUAUACAUUAAACAAAAUUGAAAAAUUAACAGUGAUAAAAACUUAUUACUGAAUAUAAUUUAAUCAAUAUCACAAAUUUAAAAUGAAAUACAGGCCUUUUAUUAUUAUUUUUAUUUUAGAAUAUGGUUUUAAAUGUAAUUAAAUACUAAAAUUAGCGCAUGCAAAAGGGUGAGGGGUGUGAUGAAAUUUAUCUAUUGAGACAGAGAGAUUCAUUCUGCAACUAAACCAAACAAACAAUGAACAACACUCGCAAACAUCCAAUUUGUUCCGGCGACUUCCCUUCAGCUACUUCUCCCGUCAAUUUCCGCCGCCCCACCCCCAAAAUUCACCUCUCCGCCAGGAAGCUCGCCGCGCGUUUAUGGCACUUCCGCUUCUUUCACCGCUCCUCUUCUCACAAGGUACAUUUCUUCACUUCACAAUACUCAUAUUCUCUCCUUUCAAUCUCCAAACAAUUCAUAUUCAUUCCCAAACCUUAUUUUCCGUGAUCCCUGUCCUCAAGCUUCAAUCUUCUCCACCACCACGUAUCAAGCGCACCGAGGAAGAGGCUACACAAGGUGAUGGCAGAAAGGUUCUCAGAGACACUAAGUUAAUCGGUGGCUCUGUUGUCUCUGUUCUUCUCUCGGAGCUCCUUCGGGCUCAAACCUGCAUUAACAAGCUCAAAUCAGAACAAAAAUCGUCUAAGAAAAAGCUUGAGGAGGAAAAGUUCCUCUGGAAGCGUCGGGAACUCAAGAAGAAGGAAUCGGUGUUGGAGGACUUAAAGGAUAAGUUAGCCAGGGAAAGGAGAAGUAAAGAGAGGAUGGAAUCACUUAACUCCAAAUUGGUGCAUGAUUUGGCCGAAGCAAAACUAUAUGCUGAGCAAUUUAUGAUUAACUACAAGGAGGAAAGGAGAAAAAGAGAAAUAACAGAGGAAGUGUGCCACGAAUUGGCGAUGCAAAUAGCAGAAGACAGAGCUAAGCUGGAGGGGAUUCGUGAGGAGAUGGAGGAAGAGAGGAAGAUGUUUCAUAUGGCAGAGCUGUGGAGAGAUGAGAGCAUUCAAAUGAAGCUACUUGAUGCCAAACUUGCCCUGGAAGAUAAGUAUACUCAGAUGAUCCACUUGAUUGCGCAUCUGCAAAGUUUCUUAAGGUCAAGAGGUGAUGAACUGGGUGCAUCUGAACCACCCAAUGUUGAACUUUCAUGUGAUUUCACCAAGUCAAACUAUGUUUUCGACACUUUUGAUGAGAUCAAAGUUAAAGAGAGGGUGAUUGGAGUUGAGUCCUGGUUCCUUUCCACUCUUACUGCUCCCUCUUCCACCGUCCACAUUGUAAGUCUUGAUGAAGAUCAUUGCCUCAACAAUAAUCUUCAUAAUGUUGACCAAAACGUGAAUGGACUAGGGAGUGAAGCAGAAUGCUGUGAAAAUUCACAGGAUGGUUGUUACAAACACUCUGACUCUUCUAUGGCACAACAAAACUCUCAAGAUCCUACUUUUGGUGAGUGUGAAGGAAGACUUCCAACAAGUUCGGUUAAGAGCCGUGGGUUCAGACAAUGGGAAUUAUUGAGACCACGAAAUUUUGCAGACUCGGUGAAUCCGCACAUUACUCGUGGAAUGAAAGGGUGCAUAGAAUGGCCACGAGGCAUGCCCAAAAUCAAUUCCAAGAUAAUUCCAAUGGAAGAAAGAGUGCGAAAACAGAAAUCUCAGUUGCAACAUCUACUUAAGCCAGUGGCUUAAGACCUUGUUUGAAAGAGAACGAGUAUACAAACAGAUUUGAAUAAAAUUCCAUUUAUUUAACUUUGUCUAAGGUGGCUUGUGGACCAAAUUUGCAGAAGAAACACCACCUCAUCACAGAUUUUAGCUUAUAUUUAUCGAAAACAGCAUUGUGUUAUUCGUGAAUUAUGAGUGUGGGUGGUUGAUUCUGUUGUAGAGAGCCAAACCAUUUCGAUAGCAAGAGGUAUUAUUAUUACUAUUCCAUGACAAGUGACAUUGCGGAUAUUACCUUGAAAUCAUGUUAUGUGUGUAAACUUUUCAGUGAUCUCUUGAUUGAGAAUUUGUUAAAUUUCAUGAUUAUUGUGUACUGAGGCUAUUGGUGCUCUUACUUUCCUUCGGGCCCAAGCUGAAGAAUUUAUGAAAUGAUAAAUUGGUUGCCUAUGAUUACAAUGGUUAUCACUGUGGCAAUCAUAACCUGUCUGAGUAAAAACGCAGAAAAACAAAGCAAUCAUGAUAUGACAUGAUUUACUUUUCUAGUGCUACAUUCAGUGUUGUUAACCUAAAUGCAAUGCCUGAGAUGAGAUUAAAUGAUUAAGAAUGAUUGGUUAAAGUGAUAACAAGAAUGUUGGUGGAGAAGAAUCCGGCGCGCCUGAUGAUGCGCCUAUAAUUUUUGGUGUCUUUCUUUGCUGGCAGAUAUUGUUAGCUAUCUUUAUGAUGACCGCCCAAUCCACGCCACCCUUCAUUAUACCAUAAAUACCACUCUUCUUUGGUUAACACAAUUUCUUGCAAUUUUUUUUACUAAAACUUUAAUUAACAAUAUAAUAUUAUAUAUAGAAUUUAGUUGAAGCAAACUUUUAAUAAAACAUCUAGUUUUAAAAAAAAAGUAUAGUUCCGAUAUCAAGUUCGAAAGAUAGCAUCGUUAGGGUCAAUAAUCAUAUCCGAUUUGGAGGUUGGUGUUCCAUCACAAUUUUGUCGUGUUUCGAUUGGGGAGUAGAUAUGUAAGGAUUUGAGGAAGUGCAUAUGUGAGGAUGUGAGAAGAAAGUGAGAAGAAAGUGAGGUUGUUUGAAUUGUAGUAUGUAGAGUGAAUCUGUGAGAAAAGUUUAUGGGAGUUGGUGAGUGAUAUGAUGGUUGUGAGGGAGUUUUAUUUUUUUUUUAAAUUGUUAAAUGUUACUUUACAAAUUUAUCCCUACCUAUUAAUUUUUUUUAAUAAUAAAAUGAGUUAUUUUUGUUUAGAAAUAAACAACUUUCACAUAUUCGUAGAUUUAAAAAUUAAAAUUAAAAAAUAUAUAUAUAUUAAAUAUAUAUAUAUAUAUAUAUAUAUAUAUAAUUUAAAAAUUAUAAUUAGAAAAAAAAAUGUAUUCGACAAAUUAAAUAAAAAUAGAACUUCAAAUAAUUUCUUAAAAUAUUAAACAUGUAUUAUAAAAUUAAAAAAUAAAUCACAAAGAUAACAUUUUUUAUUAUUAAAAACCAUAUAAUAAUAAAAAUUAAAAAAAAUACUAAAAGAAAUAUAACGUAAUUAACAAUAAAAAAUAAUUUCAUAAAAAACUAUUAUUAAAUAAAUUAUAAACUCAAAAACAUAAUAAUUAUAAAAAAAUAUAUUAAUAUAAACGCAACAAAUUAAGUAAAAAAGACAACUUUAAAUAAUUUCUUAAAAUAUUAAAUAUAUACUAUAAAAUUAGAAAAAAAAAUUACAUUUUAUAUAAAUAAAUAAAAAUAUUGUUUUUUAAUAUUAAAAAUCAUUGUAGAUGAAUAAGGGUAAAUUCAUAAAUAGUAUAUGCGGAUGUGGUUUUUCCUCUACCUCUCCUCAUCUUGAAAGAAGAGGACAUUUACUAUUCACAGGUAUAUCAUUUCCUCUUCUUCCCUGCAAAACCUUAGAUCCAAACUAUUGAUAUUCUCUUACUCCUUUUCUUGUGUAGAGUAGAUCCAUAAAAACAAAUAAAAUUUAAAAGAUGUCUCAGUAAAUUAAAAAAGGUUAAAGUAUUUAAACUAUCUUUAACCUAUUUUUUAUCAAUACUCCCAAGACUAUAUUCUAAACAAACAAAAUAAAAAUACUGCACACUGAAGUACAUUCCUUUGGUCCUGGUGAGGACUAAACAUGUAUUUGUGUGACUGAAGUGAAAUUCGCAGGUAAGUUGUGAUCCGUUAUAAGAAGAUGAAGGUUGUCUCAGACACUGUUUCCUGUGUCUACGUCAUUGCUUCCAUGCCGUGUGAGCCCCCCAACAAACAACUUUCCUUUCAUUCAUAUCGCUCAUUUCUUUUUCAUCUUGAAAUCGGUGAUUUCAUCAUUACAUUUUAUUGCAUAACACCUAUUUCCUUCAGAAAUUUAAAUUAUUUACUCUAAUUUAUUUUUAUCCUUAUCAACAUAAAGUGUUCAUGAAGAAUCUUUAAAAAAUAAGGUGUGUGGACAAUGAUUAUUAUCAGAUCUCUCCUUGAUUUAAUGAUUUUUACUUGUUCUGGUUUAAAGACUUUUAAGUAUUGUAGAGGGUUGAGUUUUUUCUUUGAAAGCCCAAAAUAUAUUUUUCAAUUGUUUUUUUUAAUAAGGUUUAUUUUUAUAAACAAUCCAUGACUUCAUUAAUUCUAGAAAAAAUAAUAUUAAAAUAGAUUAAUUAUCAUUAAAAAGUUUGGUCGUGAAUAUUUUAUUAUAAUGAGAAGGAUGUUAUUAUUCAGUAAAUAUAGUGAAUAAAAAAUGAUUAAUUAUAUUUUAAAGGUUAGUUGUAAAUCUUUUACAACAAUCAAAAAAAUUUAAAGAGUUAUUUGGGAUAUAGAUAUAGAUAUGAAAAGUGGUAGUAAACAUGAAGGUGUAAUAGUUGAGCAUAUUGAUUGAUGAUAGCUGCCAUUGGAUUUGGUGGACCUAUGUUAAAACUCUCAAAAUGACACAUUUUUGUGAUGGCUAACUAAAGGAGCCGAAAGAAGGGAUCUCAGGGCCCAAAACAAAAAGAUAAUUGUGAUCUUUUUUACAAUAGAAUUACGAGUAACCACAAGACAAAAGAGAGUGUAAUAUUUCUAUUAUCUAUACCUAAUGCAUUCGUAUUAUAAUAUUUUUUUUAUAUAAAUUUUUUUCAAUUCUACCUUUAUUUAAUAUAUAUUAUUUUAUUAAUACAAUAGAAUAUUUUGUCAUUUCAUACGAAUUAAUUAAAAAAUAAAAUUAUUUUUUAAUUUUUAAAUUAAUAUUAAUAUACAGUUUUUAUACUCAAACUGAUUUCCUCACUCUUUUUUUAAUUCUUUAUUUUAAGGCAACAACAGGAAGAAAGGGAGAAUACUCUCACACGUUUUUAAACCAAAUCUUAUAUAUCAAAUAAAAUAACAUUCAAUUUCAAUCACAUCAAUUACAUCACUCUCUCCACUUCAUUUCAAGCAAUUAUAUUUUUCUGUAAAACCAUUAUUUUUUUGUUUAUACCAUCAAAUCAAUCUUAAUCUUUACGUGAAUUACACUCUCCGAUUUCAAAACUACUAAUGAAAAAAGAAGAAAAAAAUUGAAAAAGAAAGACUUAAAAAAAAAAGAAAAAAGGUUAUUUAAUCAAUUUAUUAUUUUUUAUUUACAUAUUAUUUUUUGUUUAUAUAUUAUUUUUUGUUUUUUAAUUUUCACUAAUCCAAAAUUAUUUGUGUAUGUAUGUUAAAUUUUUAUUAUUAUAAAAAGUUGAAUAAAAGAAAAAAAAAUGCGGAUAUAUAGGAAAAAGAAAAAAGGCUUGUGUUUCCGUAGGAAAUAAUAAAGGUGUUAAUGCAAUGGGAUAUGAAAGCAGAAUAAAAUUAAACUAAUUUUACAUGGGAAUGGGAAAAAGUGGUUCAAUUUAAAUUCAACGCAAAAAAGUGAAUGAAAGUAUGGAAACAGUGAAUUUAAAAAUGGGUUAACUUUAAAAAGAAACAGUGAAAAAUGGUACGCUUGAUGCAUAAGAUGAGUAACGAAUUUCCAUUUAACUCACAAUGGUAUAUUAUAAGUUUUCUUAUUAUUUCACUAAUUUAUAGUAACAUAUCAAUUAUUUAUUCUAACAUGAAAUAACAACAUUUAGGUAUGUUUGAAAUUUAGACAUGAUUGUAUCAAGUGAAGAAAGAAGAUGGAAAGAAUAAGGAGAAAGUUAGAAAAACGAAAAAUAAAUUAUUGGAAAAUACGAAAAACAAUAUGUUUUUAACUUUCCUCCUUUUUAAAAUGAUUUGAGAAGAAAGGAUUUUUUUGAAAAAAUUAAUUAUAUACAUACUGAUUAUAUAUAAAAAUUCUGUUUUAAUAUAAAUGUUCAUAAACUUAUCAACUAUUAAUAUGUAUUUUAAUUAUUAUUUAAUAUUGAUUUUUAAUAUAAAAUUUUAUUUUAAUUAUGAUUUAUAUUUCUAAAUUUUUUAUAUUAAUUUUUUUAUAAUUUUUUAAAGUUUAUUUUGACUUUCUCCUCUCUAUCCAAAUCAUGAUAUAUCCAUGGCCCAUAACGAAAUGGAAUGUUCGGUGGACAAGUUCUCCAAAACACCUACAUUUACUUCUUAACAUAAUAUAUGGAAAUUAACCAAGAUAUCUAGGAUUUUCAUUAAAAAAAACCCUUAUUUAUCUUUCUCACAAUGUAAUAAUCUUAAUUUGCAUAACUAUAUCUAGCCAAACAAUCUUAUUAUCACAUAAUUUAUAUAAUUUCUUGAUACUCUAUUUUUGUUACAUGGUAUUCUGAUUUUGUUACAUGAUUUUUGUUACAUGAUAUUAUCAUUAAAUCUAAUUAUGCAUCAUAAAAGCUAUUAAAAAUUAAUAUCCAUUGUCCAUAUUUAUGAAGACGUAUAUGUUGAACCAGGUAAUGUUCAAGCUUUGAAGAAUCCAAACCCUUUGAAGGAUGUUGAAGGCUAGGUUGUGUUUGCUGUUGUUGAGUUGCCCUAGAUAGGAUCUAUGGUAGAUUGUGUAUGUAAUCCACUCUUUGAUUGAAUCCAAAGCAUAGGCAUUCUCAGUCUUUUUAAAAGAAAAGUGUUUUUCAAACUAAGUGAAAAACAACCGAUUGUUUUAUACUUCGGUGUUUUUAGAAAAGGUUGAAAACUAUUUUUCAAAUGGUUGAGUUGUUAAAACUAAAACAACUGAUUGAUUCGUGAAAACAACCGAUUGUUUGUUUUGGUACCAUAACAGAAAAACUGUUUUAGCUUUGACUGAGCUUUAAAUGUUUUAACUGAGCUUUAAAUGUUUUAACUGAUUACACUCCAGUCUUUAAUGCUUUGACCAAUCUUUUAAAUGCAAUGAAUAAGUUUGUUAAGAUUUGAUAACAAACAAUAUUUUUGAAUAUAUUCAGAAAAACAGAUUUGAGUAAUAAGAUUUUUAACACAAGUUUUUGAGUUUUUUGAGAAGUUGAGAUUGCUUAGAGAUUGAGAUUGAUCAAAGUGUGUGAGAUAGGAUUUCUGCUUGUAUUGAUUUCAGAUUUGUUUCUGUAACAAAUGUAAUCCUUUUAUCUGUUAAACAAGAAUCUUUGUGUGGUUGCUGAGAAGUGUUGUGUGUUCUUGAGGGGAUCAAGAUCAACAUUCUUAGUGUUGGUGUGUUGGCCAAGAGAAGUGUGUGUCUUAAGGGGAUCAAGGUCACUUUCUUGGUUGUGUUGUAAGUGAUCUAGGUUUGAUUGCUUAGUGGAAUUCCUUAGUGGUUUAUGAGAAGACUGGAUGUAGCUCUGGGUUUAGAGUGAACCAGUAUAAACAUCUGUGUGCAUUCUCUCUAUCCUUAAUCUCUUUAAAUUCAAUUUCAAUAUUUGUGAACUGGUAUAAACAACCGAUUGUUUCUGUGAAACAACCGAUUGUUUUUCUAGUGCUGUUGUUUUUGCUUUGUGUUUUGGCAAACUGAAUUCCUUAUCAUUUGUUUCUCGAAGUAAUUUCAUUCUAGGCUUAAAAGUUUGCGAAAACCCUCUUUAAACAAUUCACCCCCCUCUAGUUUAAAGCCAUAUAUUCUAACAGUAUAAAUAGACCACCACACUCAUGGAGUAAUCUCAACUCAUAUUUUGACACCAUACUCAUUUUAUACACUAUAUUUUAUGCUCCUACGGACUUGAACGUUGGAGAAUCUUCUACAAUUGGAAUCCCCUCUCCUUCUUGUAGCCGAUCCACAAAGCUUGCAAGGAUAUGAUCCAGUGACCAUUUCAAAGUUUACCUAACCUCAGAUCUAGAAAAUAAUUUGAGUAUAAGGGAUGUAUUUUAAAUGACAUCUCAAUAUUUUAUUUAUUAAAUUUAAAAUAGUAUAUAAAUAAAAAAUCAAUUACUUAGGUUUCAUUUUAAAAGAACCACCAUCUCUAUAAAAUUCAUCUUUUUCCUUUCUUUAUAUUCUCUCUAAAUUUCUGAACUCGUCUAUCACCAAACUAACGAUCAGAAUCCACCAUUAAACUCCUGUCAGCGAUUACUACAAGAAUGUUCAAUCAGAAUCUUACUUAGAGUAAGUUCAUUUUUUGUUUUUCUUCUUUUGAUUCAACUUCGAGUUUUUAAGUUUGAUUGGUUGAGAUAAGUUGCAUAUGGUGUUUUUAAUUUUAGGAUUAGUCUCUACUAGUUUAGAGUCCUGAUGAUAUGAUUAGAUCUAGGGAUGGUAAUGCGGGGCUGGCCAUGCGGGUCGGCCCACAACCUGCUACCAAAAAGCGCAGGGCGGGCCUAAUAAUCUAGCCAGCUGAACCGUUUAGGCUCACCCCGCAUAACCUGCAGCCUGAAAAAUUUGUUAUCUUCAUUAAAAUAUUUUGUAGAAAAACUUUUAUAAGAUACUUUGACAUUUACAUAUACAUAUAGAGGGAAAAUAGAUAAAAAAAAAAACUUUAAUUAUUUUUAAUCAAUUCUUAUAACAAUCCUCAUACUUGAAUUUCUUUUUAUUUUUAUCUUAAUUGAAUGAAUUGAAAGAUGGAUGAAAUUUUAAUUUUGUAGCAACAGAAAUAGGUUUUUUAUAAUUAAUGAAAUUUUAAUAUUUUUUAAAAAUAUAUUUUUCUUAUGCUGGCUAGCCCGCAAACCCGCAUGUUACCUCUUAUGCGAGGCGGGCCAAUGAAACAUUCAUUGCACAUGGCGGGUCAACCCAUCCCGCAUUUUACGGGCCAAAACACGGGGUGGGCUAGCCCGCAUUGCCACCCCUAAUUAGAUUAAUUAUUAAGACUUUGUGGUUUAUGUUAAGCUAUCCUUGGCCCCGGUUGGAUUAGAGCUCUUUGUGACUAUACCUAUUCAAACAACUUAUGUAAGGAAAGGUGGUUUUAAUUUUCAAUAGAACUCUAAGUUAGAAGAUCUGGAUAUGCAGACAAUCUCUGUAAUUAAUGCCCUACCCUCUUUAUGAGGAGUAAAUGGAAUCUUUUUUCAACAUUUCCAGAGAUCGGUAUGAGGUCUUCUUUCACCUAAUUAUUGGGCUCGACCCAAGACGUUCAUAACCACUAUUUUCAUAGAUUGGCAUUGAGAUCGUUUCACCACAUGAUUGAGCUCACUCAGCCCAUGACCUCACAGCCUCCAGCCUCAGGCAUAAGCCAAUGAGGCUGAUAAGCUCAUAACCAUUAUGUCCAUAGAUUGACAUUAAGACCGUUUCACCACAUGAAUGGGCUCAGCUUAUGACCUCACAACCCUCAGUCUCAAGCAUAAGCCAAUGAAACUAAUAAGUUCAUUGGUAUUGCUUGGUCGGUCUUUAACCUAUCAUUUGGGCUUGUGUCCUCGUGCACUUUAUUGGAGCUCGCACCCCAUCAUUAUUUCUACCACAUCUUUUCAAGCAUUAAAUUGAAACUCCUUCACACGUAUCCACCAUUGAUUGGUCAAAUUUGAUUAACAUUCUAUGCCCGUACACAUUCCACCUUUCAACUGACUUCCGAUAGAGAACUAAAUUAAAAGAAAAAAAAAACCUAAAGAAAAAUAAAGUAGAAAAAAGGAAAUAAGAUAAUAUAUAUAUAAUAAAAUAUUAAUAAAAUAAAAAUUAAAAAUAAUAGUUGAAUUGUAUAAAAAAUAAUAAAACAAUUAUUACAAUUAAAAAAUAAGCAUAUUAUUAAUAUUAAUAGUAAAAUUAUAAAAAUAAUAUUUAAAAAUUAAUAAUAGAAAAAUUAUAAAAUACUAAUAAUAUUAAUGUUAAAAAUAAAAAUAAAAAUAAAAUCUUAAAAUAAUAAUAAUCAAAAUAAUUUAUAAAAUAAUAAUAAUAUAUAAUAAAAAAUCAUAAAUCAUUUUUAUAAUAAUAAAUAUAAUAAAAUAAUAAAUAAUAAUAAUAAUAUAAUUGUAAAUAAUAAUAAUCAAAAUAAAUUUAUAAAAUAAUAUGUAUAAUUACUUUAUUUGUCCCUACAUUUUGGGGCAAUAUUCAAUUUAGUAUAGUGGUUUUUAAAAAAAUUAAUUUGGUCCCUAUGUUUUUUAAAAUGUAACUAAAAUGGUCCUUUUUGUUGAGUCGCACCAAACGGCGUCAACUGGUGCUUAUGUUGCAUAGAGAAGUGGGAUUGGGUUUAGUGUGAGGUAUGAGGUGUCAAUUGACGUAGAUGGUUAGAUUAAUUUAAUGAAAAAUGAAUUGGGGGUUAGGGUUUGUGGAAUUUGAAUUGGGAAUUUUCCACUUGCUUGCCAUGGUAACUAGGCGAUGGAACCACCGACUCCAUAUCUGAUCUCCCGAACGAGUGUCUGGCUUCGGUGUUUCAUUUUCUCAGCUUCGGUGAUCAAAACCUCUGUUCACUCGUUUGCCAGCGGUGGCUCCAGAUCGAAGGACAGAGUCGACACCGUCUCUUGCUGAAUGCAGAAGCAGAGCUGCUCUCAGCAAUUUCAUCGCUCUUCUCUCGGUUCCGAUCAGACCUGAUGUCCAUUUGCUUGUAGGAGCUCUACAAUGGACAAUGUUUCAGAAUGCUGAUUCUCGGCUCAUAGAAUCUAAAGACCUUGAAACUUUUUCGGUGCUCCGGGGAUUGGGAUCGAUUGUUUCAAUUAAUGGAUGAUAGAAUUACUAAAAGGAUUGAGAUUCACCUCGAGAGACUUCAGAUUAGCGACAUUGGAUUGCAAGCCAUCUCAAAUUACUCGAAUUUCGAGAUUUUGCAUCUUGUUAUGACCCCUGAAUGAUCUGAUAUUGGACUUGUUGUUAUUGCAAACAAGUGCAAGCUUUUGCGAAAGCUGCCUUUCAUAAAACCCCAUUUCUUCUCUCUCUGCAAAGCUCCAAGCUUUUUCCUUUCCGGCUUGCAGCAUUUUCAGCGUCAGAGAGAUCUCAAUGUCUCCCUACCAUGGCAAGCAAGUGGAAGAAUGUCAGUUGUCCCGCCUGAGCGACUUCAAAGAAAUUCAAUGGUUGGGUGAUAGCUGUCGUUUUGCUGUCAAAUUAAUAUGAUUCUAGCGUAGACUUGUCUAACACUAGAGAGAUGAUAGUAUAAUUGUGGCCAGAUGACCCCAAGUCGUCUCCCAACGAAUCCAAUAGUAAAAUCAGUUGAUCAGGGUUUAAAAUCUAUCUGCAGACAAUACAAGUUAGCAAUAACAAUAAAGAUAAAAAGGGGGUUUGAGAUAGUUGUGCAGAAAAUAUAAAAAAAAAUUAAAAUAACAAAUAAAAAGCGGUUGAUCCCAAGUUCUUCCACCAUUGAAUUCUUCACAGGUUCUCUAAAGAUUAAUCUUUUCUCAAUCCUCCAACAGAGCUAAACCAGAUUGAACAUGCGCCGAUCUGAUUCAACUGAAACUCACCAGUAAAGCAUGCCUCUACUAGUUUAAUCAAUACCCACUUUGUUCCAUGCGUAUACUCCAUAGGAAUUCUUACCUCCUCUCCCUUGAAUCAUGCGCCCAAGAAAUUAAUUAGAACUAUGCGAACUAACUAAGAAACCAAAGUUUAAGACAAGGAAGACUCUCAAUCAUGCGUUCAAGUACAACCUCUCACAAAAACUAGUUUUCCAGGAGAUUAGACAAUAAAAACAACUGCUAUAGAGAAUUAAAAAUCGAAACUUUUAUUGGAACAAAACCUCAGAACUCGAUGGGGAAUUACAAAAGAAUCAACCAAAAAGGUUUAGCCUUCCAUGCGGAGGCAAAACAAAAGAAUUACUAAGAAGAAAAUAAACUAAGAAAAUCCUAUGCAGCUCUCCCUUUUCUCCUUGAUGCUUGUGUCCUUUUAUAGGCUUUUCACCUCCAAGGAUCUUGAGAGAAUAUUGUAGUUUAUAUUUUGUUAACCGUUUCCAAGUUUCUAUCUUUCCAUAAUUCUUGUAUUUUGCAGAAGAUUCGCUUCCAAUUCUGUUUCUGAGAUAUUGUAGAUUUUAUUUUCUCUUUCUUCUCCUCAGAAUUUGUUUCCUGUUUUGGUUCAAGAAGCAACUUGGACUUUUGCAUAUUUGGCCCAUUCACAAAGGUAGAUGCUUCCUCUGGAUAAUUUACUCUAAAAACACAAAAUUAACAAUAAUAAUAGUUAAGGCCCAAAUAAACCCAAUUAUAAGAAUAUUAAUUAAAACAAUGGAUUUAUUUAUUAUUAUAGUCCAAUAAUCUAUGAAUAAGGCUAGUGAGUGUGAAUAAAUAUAUGCUCAUCAUUGGGGCAAAGUGGUACAGAGUUUCGCGUUGAGGAAUUUCAAGGGAGAGAGAAGCGCAUCAGGCUGAGGUCUCCUCACAUCACAUCUCUCAAUUCACCUCUCUCUGUCACAUAUGCAAUACUUAACACAUCUCUUCGUUACAUAAGAAUCAAUUGACGCUGUAAGGUGUGUUAGAAUGGAUGACUUGAAACUAGAGGGGGGUGAAUUGUUUAAAGAGGAUUUUCGCAAACUUUUAAAACAAGAAUGAAAUUAUCUCAAGAAACAAUUGAUAAGAAAUUUAGUUUGCCAAAACAGCAAUAAAAAACAGCAGAACCAGAAAAACAAUUGGUUGUUUAUACCAGCAAACAACAAACAAAACUGAAUUUAAAGAGUUAGGGAUAGAGAGAUUGCACACGGAUGUUUAUACUGGUUCACUCCAAAUCCAGAGCUACAUCCAGUCUUCUCAAAAACCCUGAGGAAAUCCACUAAGCAAUCACACCUUGAUCACUUACACCACAACCAAGAAAGUGACCUUGAACACCUCAAGACACACACUCUUCUUGGCCAACACACCAACACUAAGAUUGCUGAUCUUGAUCCCUUCAAGAACACACAGCCAAUCUCAGCAAACACAGAAACGAAACUUGUUUCACAGAGUACAAGGAUUACACUUGUUACAAAAGAUAAUCUGAAAUCAAUACAAGCAAAAUCCUAUUCCACACACUUUGAUUAAUCACAAACUCUAAGCAAUCUUAGCUCUUUGAAAAACUCAAAAACUCUUUUCAAAAUCUUGUAAAAGAUUAUUACUCAAAUCUGUUUUUCUGAAUUUAUUCAAAGAUGUUGUUUGUUAUCAAAUCUUAACAAACUCUUAUAUUGCAUUAAAAGAUUGGUCAAAGCAUUUUAAUGACUGGAGCGUAAGCAGUUAAAUCAUUUAAAGCUCAGUCAAAGAUAAAACAGUUUUUCUGUUAUGGUCCAAAAACAAACAAUCGGUUGUUUCCUCGAAUCAAUCGGUUGUUUUGGUUCUAACAGUUCAACCAUUUGAAAAACAGUUUUCAAUCUUUUCUCAAAGCAUCUAAGUAUAAACAAUCGGUUGUUUCGACAAAACAAUCGGUUGUUUUAACUUAGUUUGAAAACAUUUUACUUUCACAAAGAUUGAGAAUGCCUAUGCUUUAGAUUCGAUCAAGGGGUGGAUUACAACACUCAAACUACCCCAGAACUAAACUAAACUAACACAGCAACAGCAAGCACAGCCAAGGCUUCAACAUCCUUCAAAGGGUUUGGAUUCUUCAAAGCUUGAACACCACAUGGUUCAACAAGGUGCCACUUGACGGAAAGGACCGAUUUGAGUACAUUUUAAAAAACAUAGAAACCAAAUUAAUUUUUUUAAAAACCAUUAUACUAAAUUGAAUAUUGUCCAAAAUGUAGGUAUAAAUAAGAUAAUUAUACCAAAACAAUAAUAAUAUUAAAUGAAAAUUAUUUUAUUUUAUUUUUAUUUUAUAAAAAUAUUUAUGGAUAUUUAGAAAUAUCAACAGUGUUACCUUAAUGGGCCUUCGUUGGUGGGUCGGAUUAAGAGGUUGGUUCAUAUUUAGGGUUGUGCUAAUCAACUCUUAAUUGGAUUAACCUUGCUGACUUGGUCAACCCAUGGCUCAUCGUCAUGUGUCGGUCGACCAUGUGUCGUCACGUGACCUUCUUAUCUUGGUCGAGUGGUUCGAGUCACUGAGUCGUUUGGUCAUGCCAGUACACUUGCCCCCAAGGCUCGAGGGCUGAUGACGCCGAAGAGUCUGAAAAUUGGGUGUCGUUCAGUGGUGUGAUGAUGGGUGAUGUGACUAGAGGCGACACCUGAACGAGUGAUGUGACGCGCAUUUAUGAGGGGAUUUUUGGGCACCAAACGACGUGGACCGCUGGAUCCAGCAGAUCCAACGAUUGAGAAUUUUGUGAUGUUUGGGCUUUCGAGACGUCUUCGGACAACAAAUAGAGGUUGUCAAUAGUGGCUUCUCACGCUUCCUGAUUCACAUUGUGCUCUAAGACCGAAACGGUUGUUAUCGAUUUGUGUUGCUUUCUUCGUUCGUCCAAGGUUAGUGAUGUCUUCUCAUUCUCGUCCUACAUCUUCUUCUUGGCUCUCUCUCUCCUCUUCCCGAACCCGCUUCGUCCUCAUUUUCUUCGUCUUCUUCAUCCACUUCCUCCUCCAACAAAAUUCAUUCGGUCGGAGCAAUUCAAACUGUUGCCCCCAAGAUGGAGGAAGUGAGGGGUGAUGACGCGGGCAAUACGUCUGACCGAUCGAACUAAUCUGAGCGGUCGCGCCGUCAUGAGGGCCCUAACUGGGUUGAUUCCAAAGUGUUUGGGAUCACGUUUGUCUUCCAUACAGACGUCUCUGUUUUGAUUUUUUUUAAAGAGGGUCCCUAUUUUGAAGGCUUCUGCCAGGGGAUCCCUCUUAUCAAUCAGUCCUUGCUCGUUGACCGAUCGCGUAUAUAGGGAACGAUCAUCCACCGAACUCCCUUUCUUCUUCAUGCUUAAUUGUCUUUUUUCUGACUUGCAUGUGUCGCUUCCUUUUGACACAUUCAUGGUGGGCAUCCUUCAGGCGGUCAACAUGGCGCCAAGUCAGUUGCACCCGAAUAUGUGAGUGUCCAUGCAGGCCUUUCGUGUGGUAUGUCAAAUGUUUGGUGUGCGUCCUGCCACGUCUUGCUUCUUGCACUUCUAUACUUCUCACCCGUCCGACCCUGUUGGCUGACAUUCGUUGGUCAGGCGGGCAGGUAGCAUUUUGUUCAAAACCUUCACGGCUUCCUAUAAGAACUUUAAAGAAAGGUUCUUUAAAGUGUUUGUGGAGCCUGCGGUAUGCCACACUUCUUCGACGCAGCUGGCCAGCCUAGGUUUCCUUUGUCUUGGACUAGGAAUCCUACAAAGAUAAAGGAUUGGCCUCGUCCGGUCAACCCGAUUACUGGUGAACGGGUGAAUUUUUUCCUCUUUGAUAGCCUCCCUAGAAAUCUCCCUGCUCGACCACUGAUGUCCCUGUACACCGAGUCCGAUCGAGAGGCGACCUUUGAGGGUAUGUUAACACCUUAGACCUUCGGUCGUUUAUUUUAAAUUUUAACUAACGCUAUGUUUUUUGGUUGCAGCGAUAGCAAAAAGAGAAGUUCCACAAGUGAUCAGCAUGUUGAAGGCAUUCAAAGAUACCCCCUGAGGCUCCUCAGGCCGAGGCCUGAGCGUGGCCAUCCUAGAAGAACCCCAAGAAGAGGGCAAAGGAGGGCGACAACACUACCCGAACAUAUCGCUCUCCAGGCAAGAUACCCAUUCCUCCUCCGAGCCGAGCCCCUAUCAACCUCGACUCCCCGCCGACUGAUGAAUUCAACCAACCAAUCCCAACUGCGGUCACGAUGCCAGUGGCGAUCGUCCAGGAGUCACCCCUAUCAAUGUUGGGGGGUGACCUGCAAUUUGCUAGGGGUAAGUUUUAAUUUGCCCCCCAAUAAUGAAGAACUGAUCUGGGCGGUCCCUAAAGACGACCUGCUCAAGGGCGGCAUAGAGAUUAUAUGCCGAGGGUUGAUCCUGACCCGCCAAGGGGCCACGGUGCGCGAUCGGCGUGUGGAGGAGAUCUCCCGCUUGGAGCAAAAGCUCCUUGAGGUGUCGGGCAGCUUGAAGCAAGUUGUUGACGCGAACACAACCUAUGAGAAGCGUCUGUGUGACCACCCUGUUGAGCGCGAGCUGGACGCCGCUCAGAUAACCGAGUUGGAGCGGCUUCAAGUUGAUACCACAGCUAAGAACACUCGAAUGAAGAAGACCCUGGAGGAGGUCGGCCAUAGAGUGGCGUCACUGGAGGAGGACGUUGCCUCGCUGAAGCAAAGGAAGGAGGCGGUGGAGGCCGAGCUAGAAAAGACCAUAGAUAACACCAUGGCUUUGAUCAUCCAGAGCUUCGACUUGGUUGUUCAGUAGGCUGGGGUACUAUAUGGUGGCCCUCCCCCUUCUGGUCGAUUUGACAAAGAGAUAGAGGUAUAUGAUGGUCGCUUUGUUCCCACAGACAAGGUUUAGACUCUACAGACCGCCACCCAACCAGCACCAAGCGAAGACGCUGAAGACUAUAGUUUAGGUUUUUAGCUUUUGUUGUCUUUGUUUGUUUUGUUACCUUCAAGCUGGGGUGUGGCCUCCUUCUUUGCUUAUUAUGAAUUCAAUCAACUUCUUCUUUUGAAAAUUUGCACAAGUUACUGCUUUCGGUCGAUGUGUGUGGCGUGAGUUAAAAAUGACCAAUUUAAUUAACGCAACUGGUGUAAGUUAACCCUCUCGGUCGUAGAUGCAUAGCAAAUAUUUUGACAAGUUAUAUCACAUGAUCGGUGUAGUGCUUCAUUCAGUUAUAGCCAGUGGUAUCUGGAUAGACCAAUACAUUUGAGUGGGUAUCGGGAGGGAAUGUCGGUUAAGGCUACAACCUGGCCGAACCGUGGGGAUGAAGUGUUGGGAGGGUAUGUCGUUUAAGGCUUCGUCUUGGCCAACACUUAUCUAGAGGGUAUGUCGGUUAAGGCUUCAUCCUAGCCAACACUUGUGUUUAGGUCACGAGAGGGUAUGCUGGUUAAAGCUUCAUCCUGACCGAACCGUGCCUCUUAGGUUGAUUUUAUAGUUUGCACAUUGUUUGAUGAAAACGCCUCGUUAAAACCUUUCCGACCGCUGGUGCUUCUGGGCGAGGAAAGAGUGCAUGGAUUUUAUUCAUUGUUCAACUGAAAUAAAAUUUGAGGUGCAAGGCAUUCCACGUCCUUGGUACAACUUUGCCUGACAACCACUCUAGGUAGUACGCUCCCCCUUCACCUACUUCUCGGAUUCGAAAUGGUCCUUCCCAAUUUGACGAGAACUUGUCGUCCGACUUCCUAGCGUCGCUGCGGAUUCUCCAGACGAGGUCUCCUUUGUGGAAGCUUCUUGGUCGAACCUUCGUGUUGGAUCUUCUUGUCGCUCGAAGCUUGCACCCGGCCUCGCGAAUUUUUCUCUUUUCGUGGAGCUCGUUGAUGAGGUCAAGUCCGACCGCCAGGCUUUCCUAAUUUAGGAAUAAAUCAAACAACUUCCACCUAAUGGACGGCUCGCCCACUUCGACUGGGAUAAUGGCUUCAGUGUCGUACGUGAGGCUAUAUGGCGUCUCUUGUGUCGUCGUCUGAGGCGUGCACCGAUAUGCUUAUAGGAUCUCGAGCAGUUCCUCUGUCCACCUUCCCUUUGUUGCGCCAAGUCUUUUCUUCAACUCGUUCAAGAGGACUUUGUUAGCCGCUUCGGCUUGACCAUUCGUCUGGGGUGUUCGACCGAGCUGGUCACAGAUUUGAUGCCGCAAUCAUCAUAGAAAGUAUGAAGCCCUCGGUCGAUGAACUGUCGUCUAUUAUCUAAUACAAUUGUGAUCGGUACCUCGAAACGACACACGAUAUUCUUCCAAAUAAAUUUUUAGACAUUUUUAGCUGAUAUAGAGGCUAGAGGCUCAGCUUCUAUCCACUUUGUGAAGUAGUCCACCGCGACCAAUAGAUGUCUAUUUCCCAUAUGGCAAACGGCCAGGGCGAUGUCAUGCUGUGGAGCUCUUCUGGUUUCGAGUGGUGCAGUGGACCGAACUCUUGGCAUUUCAGACAUUUCUUCACGUAUUCUACACAAUCUCCCUGAACGGUCGGCCAAUAGUACCCUGUCCGGAUGACUUUGGCCGCCAUUAUUCGUGCUCCAGAAUGGCUGCCUCACGCUCCAUCAUGCAUUUCUUGUAGCACAUAUUAUGCUUGUCAUUUGGUGAGGCACUUCAGGAGUGGUGUUGAGUAACCCCUAUGGUACAGGUCCUGACCGAUCAUAGUGUAUCGGGUGCAUUGCAGUCUGAUUGUCUUCUCGUCUCCUGAUUUGCACGUUCCAUGCUCAAAGUAUUGGACGAUUCGACUCAUCCAUGUGACGGCCUCAGUAAUGGCCAAGCAUUUGGUAUCUUCAACGCUUGGUUGCUCCAAAUGGAUCUAAACGACUGACCAAAGAUGGCUUUACUUUUUUGUGGAAGCGAGGCGAGGCAGUGCGUCCGCUCGUUCAUUGUCUUGUCGGCGUAUGUGUUCGAUAACGACCUUAUCGAAUUUGGAAAUUGAAUUGCCGAUCGUGUGAUAGUACCGUUGGAGUAGGGGCUCCUUAACCUCAAAUUCACCUUUGAUCUGGCUGACGACCAGUUGGGAGUCACUCUUGCAUACAACUUCACGGGCUCCGAGGUCAUGGGCGAGGUUGAGGUCGGCCAGGAUGGCUUCAUACUCGGCCUGAUUGUUCGUUGCUUUGAAGGCAAGUUGCAACGCUUGUUCAACCAGUAGGUCGUCUGGUCCUUUUAGGACGACCCCUGCGCCACAGGCGGUCUUAUUGGACGAUCCAUCCACAUAUAACAUCCAUUUGGUCGAGCCCUUUGGUUGUGGUGCUAGCUCUACCAAGAAGUCCGCCAAACACUGGGAUUUGAUGGCACUUCUCGGUUCGUACCCGAUGUCAAAUUCUGACAGCUCGAUCGACCACCCUAUCAUUCACCCUGCAAGAUCGGGUUUAGACAAUAUUUUAUAUAUAUGGCAGUUGUUCUUUACCGUUAUGGCGUAGUUUUGGAAGUACGGUCGCAUCCUCCUUGUGGUCAGAACUAGCGUUAGCACUAACUUUUCUAUCAUCUGGUACUUUUGUCUCGAUUGCGUGAAGUGUGCGACUGACAAAGUACACCGAACCUUCCUCUUUGUUGAUCUCAUGUACCAAGGCGGCGCUGAUCGCUUCUUCUGAUAUUGCCAGGUAUACUACGAUCGACAGGUUCUGCCUUGGCUUUUGAAAGACAUCCGGAGACGACAAAAAUUCCUUGAGAUGGCUGAAAAUGUUUUCCCAUGUCUCAUUCCAACUGAACUUUGUUGUUUUUCGAAGCAUUUGUGUCAUCGGUCAAUUGUUGUACCUCCUUCAGGUUCUUCGGGCUCCUCAUUUCAGUUAUUGCUUUACACUUGUCAGGGUUGGCCUCGAUUCCCCUGUGGGUCAGCAUGAAACCCAAGAAUUUCCCCGAACGCGCACUUCUCGGGGUUGAGGCGCACAUUGGUCCUUCUUAGAGUGCCAAAGACUUCCUACAAGUCUUUGAUGUGUUGGUCGCACGAGUUGGAUUUGACCUUUAUGUCAUCCACGUAGACCUCCACGCUUCUAACGAUCAUCCCCUUGAAGAUCUUAUCCAUCAGCCGCUGGUAUGUUGCUCCUGCAUUCUUUAUGCCAAACGACAUUACCUCAUAGAAGUAGUUUGCACCGUCGAUCGUAAAAGUCGUCUUCUCCUUAUCCCUGGGAUGCAUGCUUAUCUAGUUGUAGCUAGAGGAAGCGUCCAGGAAGCUCAAUACCUUGUACCCGACUGUCCCAUCAACCAGCCGGUCAAUGUUUGGCAGGGGUUAGGAGUCCUUUGGGCAGGCUUUGUUGAAGUCCUUAUAGGCCACGCACAUCUGCAACUUGCCAUUGGACUUGGUGACCAUGACCACAUUGGCCAACCAGGUUGUAUAUCGGGCUUCUCGGAUGAACCCGUUAGGAGCUUCUCAGCCUCUGCUUUGGUCGCGAGCCUUUUUCUUCUCCAUGGUUUCUCUUCUUUUGCGCGACCGGACGUGCUUCUUUGUAGAUUGAGAGUCUGUGGGUUAUGACUUUAGGGUUCACGCCUGACACCUCGACGGUUGUUCAGGCAAAAAGAUCAACAUUUUUCCUCAAAGCUUGAUGUAUGAGCUCGGCGUCAGCGACUACCAUUGUUGUGCCGAUACUCGUGUAGUGUUCUUCAUCGAUGAGUGGGUCGUGACGCAGCUCAUCCUUCGCUUCAAGCCUUGGUUCGACCUCUCGUGGGUCAAGAUCGAUCAUAGCGACCGCAUGUUCCGUCGGUCGCAUGUUUAUUUGGGGAGACCUUCCUCGUCCAGGCAUCUUACGCCUGGGUGAUCGACUGCCGACCACCUUCUGACAAGUGAGUUCCACUCUCAAGCUUUAUGCGUAACACUCCCUUGCAAUCUUCUGAUCUACAUGGAUCGUCAAAAUGUCACCCGACAGAGACGGGAACUUCAUCACCAGAUGCAGGGUGGAGACUAUCACUCCAAGCUUGUUUAACAACGACCGUCCGAGCAGAAUGUUGUAUGAAGUAUUGGCAUCAAUAACCAAGUACCUGAUCUUCAUGGUUUUACUCAUCUUUUCUAAGCCGAAGGUGGUGUACAGCUCCAUGUACCCCUUCGUACUUACUCGCUCCCUUGAGAAGCCAACUAUGUUGUUGUCAUAGAGUCUCAUUUCCUCUAUAGGAAUCUUCAUAGCUUUGAAGGUCUUCUAGUAGAGGAUGUCGACUGAGCUCCCCUGGUCUACUAGGGUCUUCAUGAUGGUGAAAUUGUCGAUGUUGACCGAUAUCAUCAUUGGGUCAUCCUAGGAGGGGUCUACCCCUUUGAAGUCUUCAUCCGUAAACGUGAUAGGUGGCAUCCUCGGCCGAACGGCCACAAAGUUGACUUGGUGUACUGCGCGUAGAUGCUUCUUCCUAGCGUUGUUCGAGCUGCCUCCUCCAGCAAAUCCACCAGCAAUGGUGUUUAUGACUUCGCGGUCCCUCCUUCAAUCAUCUUUUGGAGGGUCGUCCCUUUUCGUGUGGCGUUUCUGUCACCGAUUGUCCUCCCUCGCCCUUGGAAGUGUGUGGUCUCUCUUCCUUGAUAUUUCUUCCCGACGUGGGGCCUUGUACAAAGCGGCGCAAGUGUCCGGCCUGUAUCAGUUCUUCUAUCUUAUCUUUCAAGGCUUGGCACUCUUCGGUCGAAUGACCGGUGUUCUGGUGAUACCGACACUUCUUGUUGCGGUCAGCAUUGUCGGGACUUAGGGCCCUUUUGGGCGAUGGCAUCAAUUCCGCACUAAGAGCUUCUUGCAGAAUCUUCCCUCGAUCGGCGUUGAGGGGUGUAUCAUGAGAAUCGGGGACCACGAUUAUCCCGCCUGGGGUCUCCUCGUCCGGACCCGAACUUCCCUUGUCGCUCUUUGUCAUCCUUCUUCUCACCACUCGCUUUUGCCCGAGCUUGGUUUGUAAACUCACACAACUCCUCCAGUUGCAUGAACUUGGCGGCUCGGCGCCUAAGUUCGUCCAAGCUUGCAGCAGGUUGCACGCACAAGCCAUCUGCGAAAGGACUCGGUCGGAGGGUCGUGAGCAUGUUGUGCAUCGCCACAUCAAGACUAAGAUUUCGGAAGCUCGUGGCGACCUUCCCAAACCAGUCGAUGAACUUCCUCAAUGAUUCCACCUUCUCCUGGCAGAUGUUGACCAGGCGAUGGACAUCAGGUGAUGGGGCCGAUUGGUAGCCUACUGGGCGUCGAACUUGGCCACCAGCAUCUCAAAGAAGUGGGGAAGACCCGGCAUAGAACCGCGUCAUCCGUGGUAUACAGAAUCAUGUGAGUGGUAUACGCGUCCAUGUGCUCAUCAGGGUCGGUCGUUCCAUCGUAACGGUCCCUGUUGACCCUCUUCCACUUGUCCGGUAGGGGAGCUUCGAUGACAAAAUCAGUGAAAGGGUGUCGGCGACCAGUCAUCGCAGUCUCGGUCGUGUUCAGCGACUUAUUGAGAUGGGACUCACCAUCCAUCUCCAAGGUGAGGACUUUGUUCUUCGGUUCUCUCUCAGUUUGAGGACCGAUAGCGGUGGCAAAGGACCUACCGACCUGAUUGGUCGGGUCCACGGACGGUCCUCCUUCUACGAGCUUCUUCAUUUCCUGAUUCUCCUUUCGGAGGUGCCUGAUCUCACCUUCAUUCCUCCUGGUGGUUUCCUCGUGCACCUUCUUCAUCUCAGCCAACUCUUUUUGUAGAGCCAUCAACAUUGUCGUUUGGUUUGCCUCUGACAUCCUCUCGCUUGUCAUGUUUUGGGUUGAUACCAUCUACUAUUUCUUCUUCACACUUAUCCUCUCGGCCCCACGGUGGACGCCAAUUGUUCUCGAACGGGUGUUGGGCCUAGAGAACGAUUACUUUGUUCCUCCCUUCGGGCAGUCGCUAUCACUCUCAGCUUCCUGCUUCGCCUUUCUCCUCUCGGUCGUCUAAUCUCACAGGUUGUGAUGGUACCUACAGAAGGCACUCCAACAAUCAAGUCAGUCAGGGUGUCGACACUCGGUUGUCAGAGUACUGUAGAUAAUGACGUACCUGAUUCUUGGAAUCUGUGCUAUUUAUAUUACCUUAAUGGGUCUUUGUUGGUGAGCCGGAUUAGGAGGUUGGUUCAUGUUUAGGGUUAUGCUAAUCAGCUCUUAAUUAUGGAUUAACCUUGCUGACUUAGUAAACCCAUGGGUCGGUCGACCAUGUGUCGUCACAUAACCUUCUUAUCGUGGUUGAGUGGUUCGAGUUCCUGACCGAGCCGGUUCGAGUCACUGAGUUGUUCGAUCGUGCCAGUACAAAAUAUAAACACAAUCAUAAUAAAUUUGCACAUUCCUUUAAUUUUAUUUUAUAUUAUUAAAAAUAAGAAUAUAAUUAAUAAAAAAUAAUUAAUGCAGUUUUAAACUUUACUCUAUAUAAAGGAAUAAUUUGUUUUCUAUUAGAACAACCGUUAGAGAGGAAUAGUGGGAGUAGUAUUUUAAUAUAGAAAGUUGUGUAAAUUUUAUUGAGAAAAUUUGGGUGCCAACCCUUUUUAAAGCUUUUUUACGCUCUUUCAUCAUAGUACUCCAUCAUUAGUCAUAUUUAUAUUUAGUUAAUGUUGAUUAACGAAAUAGAUACUACUUAAAAUAAUUAAAGAUAUUAAAAAUAAAAAUAAAAUUAAUUUCAUUGAACAAAAUCUCACAAGACAAAUAUCACAAAAUAAGAAAAACAAGUGUCAGAGUAAAAUAACCCAUCUAAUAAAACAUCUUAUCUUGAGGAAAAUAAAUGACAUGACAAACUACCUGGUUUUAAGAAAACUUUAUUGCAAUAAUUAAAUCAUAAGAUGAUAAAAUUUACAUAUAUCGAAGAAAAGUACUUUUAAAAUAAUGAUGGGAUGUGAAAACCUCCCUUACAUAUGUUUGUGAUUUUUUAUUUUUAUUUUUGUCUAUUUAAGUACAAGUAAAUUAAAUAAAUAAAUAAAAAAUGUAAAUUAAAAAAUAAUUUGGAACUAGCCGACAAAAGCAGUGUUGGAGAUCCUCCUUGAGCGUGCUAUGGUAUCUGCACUGCUACUGCAGUUAAACCCUAAUAAUCAUGCAGUGUGGGCAUGUUUCUCUUUCAUCACUAAAAAAAAGUGUAAAAGAAUUAAACAUUGGUAACAUCAGAUGAAUCCUUGGACUGACAGAAGUAAACACAUAAUUGUGGCAGUUUGUGGAGUGUGGUUGUUGAUAAAGAUAAGAAGAUAAUAGAGAAUUAUUGUACUUGUAAAGUUGAUUUUGUAUGUGAUUUUCCUAAGUUAUGGGAUUAUUUUCUCACUAUGGCCCAUUCCUUAUGUGAUGUUAUGAAGCCGCAUUGUCUAAACUUUAUUUUACUCUUUCUCUCAUUGGCAUUAGGAAGUACAGAAUUGAACAGUUGGCUCAGAAUAAAACUACAGCAUACAUAGCAUAGGAUGCUUGGUUCUACUGAUGGGUCUAAAUCUACCAGAGUUGGACCUAUGGCCCAGGGGCCCACUCCUGCCAAAUCCAACCAUUUCCUGUGUUCUGGCCCACUUUUACUGCCCACUCCACAAUCUAAGGCCCAUAACAAACUUGUGAGAAAAAGAAACCAACCAUUCUCCUGCCUCUCAUCAAUAAUGAGUAGUGCAUUUAAAAGAUGGCAGUUUUGCAGGCACAGUUACCUUCACGCUUAAAGUGAGUGAAGGAAGCGUGACCGGGCUGGGCCCAAGGCCCGUGCUGGUUGAUUCAGAAAUGGUAUUGAGGUGAUAACACGACAGGUGGCACCGAUGUGGGUCCCACACGGAGGCCGAACGAAAUUGUGGACCGCUGAACGUGGGUCUCUCACGGAGCUUGAUUUUGUUUGAAGAAGAUGGCAUGGUAGUGAAAUUUGAUUAGUGUACUGGCACGACCGAAUCAUCCAGUAAGUUCGUCAUUAAUUCCAUCAUUCAAUCACUCGGUCAAAAAUGAGAAAAUCACAUAAUAAUACGUGGUCGAUCGAUCGAUAGCGACGAUUUAUGGAUUGAUCAAGUUAGUAGGGUUAAUUCAUAAUUAAGAGUUAUUUAGUACAAUCUUAAAAACGAAUCAAUUUCUUAAUCCGAUCAACCAACAAAGGUCCAGGUAAUUUAAAUAGCACAGAUUUCAAGAAUCAGGUACAUUAUUUAUAGUACUCUAACAAUUGAGUAUUGACAUCUUUACUAACUUGAUCGUUAGAGUGUCUUUUGCAUGUAUUAUCUCAACCUAUAAAAUUAGACGACUAAGAGAAAGAAAGAGAAACAGAAAGUUAAUAACGAACAAUCGACCGAAAGAGUAGAAAAACAAUCCUUCUCAAGAACAAUCCGGUAAAUAUUAGUUUAGCUCCAAAUUGGGUUGUUGGGUAAGUGAUUGAUUAUCUUGAACCUUAUUUUGCAAUAAAUUAGAACCUGUGAUUGUGAAGCCACGUGGAGGAGAUUGAGAGAUGAUCGAGGGGCCCUGGUCUUCCAGAAUCUUACACGUGGUGGGUAGUAAGAGGUGGCACACACAAUAACAUGUGGACCCUCCAUCUUUAUUGCAUUUGGCAACUGUAAUUAUAUUUUAUAGUAAUGUUGUUAUAUUUGUUGCAAACAGUAUAAUAGUGUCUGGUUUAAAAAUUAGAAUGAAGUGUGGUGUGGUUGACUAGAAUGAUGCCUUUCCAAAUAUUGUAAUCCACUAAUUGAAUUCCCAUUUGGUUUUAAAAUAAGGCACCUUGCAUUGGAUGCCACAUAACUGCCCUUUCACUCAUUCCUAUUCCAGACCAACUUGUUCAUUUCUUUUCAAAAUUAAGGGCAGUGGAAGAAAUAUGUGAAUCCUCACUACUCACUACCACUCACCCAAGUACAAAACAUAAAUCUCUUUAUGCCAAUUAUAUAGCCACCAACAACAAUACUGCAAAUUUCAAUCUGCCUUUCUCUUCUUUUCUUACACAUCCAAUUUCUCCUAUGUAACUACCUCAAUUAUCAAUCACAAACUAAUUUUCAUCGUCAUUUUGUUUGGUUAGGAUGGGAGUGGGAAGAAAGAAAAUAAGAGGAAAAUAAGUGGAAAGUUUACUUGUUUUGAUCUAGGUAAAGUGAGUUAAAAAAAAUAAUAUUAUAGAUGAUUUGAUUAUUGUCACCAAAAUGUAAAAAAAAAAUAACUUUUACGAAAUACAUUUGUCUAAACUAAAAUUAGGUAAGUUGUUGUUUUAAAAUAGAUAUAAAAGUUUAUAUAAAGGUUUGUAGUAUUUAUAUAUUUGUGAAAAAAAAUUAAUUAAAUAAAAUAUUGGGAAAAUUAAUUUUUACAACUAAUAUUAUUAUGUAAAUGAAAAAGUAUUUGUAACUAUAAUUUUUGUAGCCUAAAAUUAAUUAAAAACUCAUAAUCAAUUAUAUUCAAAAGUUUAAUUGAUAUGAUAGGCUACUAAUCGAUUAAGUGGUUAACCUAAAUUUGAUUAAAUAUUGAAACUUAAUUUAUAAUAAAUUGUUUAAUCUAUUGUUUAAUAUAUUGUAACUGUGCAACAUUUACGAAUUUAAUUUAUUGUUUUGUUGGAAUUAAUAUAUUUACAAUUGUAACAUUUAUCGUGAUUUUCAUUUAAAAUGUUUUUAAAUUUUUUCUCAUUAUACGUAAUAUUAAAAUAAUACAAUAUAUCUAAAAAAAAGUGUUAAUAGAUAUUUGUGAACACUUAAAAUUAUUAUAUAUGACCAUUUGAACCACUGUCACAUGGUGAUUUUCACGCAGUGUGUCCAUUUGUCAUAAAAAAAAUAGAAUAAUCCAUGCAAAAUGUUUGUAGUAUGUCUAUUUGCCAAAAUUAAAAUCAACAAUUCAUACACAUACACGUAAAAGAAUCACCCUUAUACAGAGACAACAUGGUAAAAUCAUAUUUAAUCUUUAAAUUUCAUCUAAAUCAUCUCAUAUUAGAAGAGUGUUUCUCCCUUCCCACUACAUUUUCUUUCCACACAAAUCAGUCCAAAUAUAUUCAAUCAAAUUGUUAUACGAACUUAUCUUUUUCAUUCCAAAAUCAGUGCAAACAGUAAAUAACCCCAAACAAACACAAUAUUAUAUUUCAAUUUAUUUUUUAAUAUUAUAUUUCAAUUUAUUUUUUAAUAUUAUAAUAAAAUUUAUUUUAACAAGAUUUGUUUAAUAUAUAUAACAUUUUUUGUUUAAUGUUGAUUGAAAUCAAAAUUAACAAUUUCAUUGUUACACUAAAUUAACAUUUAUAUUCCCUAUUUUUUUCUAAUUGUUUUAGUUUGUUGUUAUUUUGACGGUUAGAUUUUGUAAUGAAUAUAAUAAAUAAUUAGGAUUUAUUAAACAAGGUUCUUAUGUUUGAAUGAGAGAGAAUACAAAUUCAAUAAUUUCAUUGAAGACAAAGUCAGAGUCUAAAAAUCUAAAAACGUGACUGUGUUUGGUGUUUGUUGAAAUAAAAAAACUUAUAAUUAGAGAUAUUUCUUUAAAAAAGUAUUAGUACAUAAACAUUUUAAACCGAGUCCUCUCAAAAGUGAUAGAAUGAUCAAUAUUAUGAGUGUUUUGUGUAUGACCCCUAGUUAAUGGUAUGAAUAAUGGAUGUACGGAAUGAUUAAUAUUAUCAGUGUACUUUGAAUAGGACCCCUAGUUAAUGGUCUGAAUAAUUGAUGUACGAAAUUUUAUCAAAAUUGUGUUAUAAAACAGUGAUAAUUUGUAAGAAAAUGAAGGUGGCAUACUCAAUUUGUCUGGUGCACUUCAAUAAUUUUAAAAAUUCAUUUAUCCAGAAUGGCAUAUUUUUUUUAUAAAAUUCUCAACUAAAAAUAUAGUUAGUGAAAAGAUUGUAACAUUAGUUAGUAAUAUUUUGGACAAAGAAGUUGAAAGGAACUGUUGAAGAAGAGUAACAGGCAAAGGCAAUGUUUUGUUUUGGUAUGUAUUUUGAAUAAUGAUUACAUUAGUUACUUUGGUAGUUUCAGUUUUAACUAGCCCCACGCAAAUAAAAUUCAUCUUACUCUACUACAGAAAAUUCCAAGUACAAUCCGUUAUGAAUAGAUAAUAUUGAAUAAAAAAACUUAGCUAAAACAAAUAAUAAUGAUAAAAUGUGAAUAACAAAUUAAAAAUUUGUAAAUAUCUCAUUCCAUCUAAAAAAAAUGUUUUAAUAUUUAUAAAGUUGUAAAUAUAUUUAAUAUUUAAAUUUUGGAAUGAUACUUUUUAAAAUUUAAUAAAUAACUAAAAUUAUAGUUUAUUUUAAAGCAGUUAUUAAAAUUGUAUAUAUGAUUUUUUUAAGGUUUAGUAUAUUUAUUUUAAUUGAGAUAUACUGAAUUAGUCUAAGCAACCGGACCUAUAGAGGCGAACCGAACAGGAUGGGAAGAAAUGCAGAGAAAAUGAAGUUGAAACUCAAAUUGAAAUGAAAUUUGAGAGAGAAAAAGAGGCUAUAUAAACACCUCGACCGCUACGCUCAAAGCUUAUGCCAAAGCAAAAGCAGGUUCCAAAGAAGAACAAGAAGAAGCGCAAAUGGCCAAGGGUCGAAAAUUCCCCACCACGGCCCGAAGCGAGCGCUUCUUGGGAACAACCUACUCAUCCCAGGGCUCCGCCGCCGUCGAACCCUCCGAGUUCCGGGAAGAGGACGUGUGGUCCACGCCGGAAGACCGCGAAGGAGACUUCAAGGCCUCGCCGGGCCAGUGGGAGCCACGCGAGUGGCCGCGGCGACGGAACAGCAGGGAGCAGCAGGUGCACCGGCACGUUGGGGGUUUGUCGUUGGCGUUCGAGAAUCCGAAUGGGUCGGGUGGUGGUGGUGCCACGAGAAUCGUGCACCACCAGUACCGCGCACAGCACGACACCGUUUCGUCGUCGCCACGUGGACGCCAUCACCAAAUGGCCACGUCAGCACCCGUGAACGUGCCCGACUGGAGUAAGAUCCUCCGGGCCGACUCGGUCGAGUCGCUUCACGAGAUGGACGUCGCCUUCGACGACAACGACUCCGAGAUGGUUCCGCCGCACGAGUACCUGGCGCGCAGCCGCCAGAUGGCGGCGAACUCCGUAUUCGAGGGCGUGGGGCGCACGUUAAAGGGCCGCGACAUGAGACGGGUUCGCGACGCCGUUUGGAGCCAGACCGGGUUCGACGGCUGAGUUGUUUGCUCCGGUUUGGUUUUUGCAACAUUGGAUCCUUUUAGUUAUUAUGAGGUGGUGGUUAAUUUAAAAGUUUUGGGGAAAUUUUAAAAAGUUAAACAGAUAGAUUUAGGUUUAUUUUUUUGGAUUAUUAUUAUUAUUAUUAUUAUUAUUAUUAUAAAAUUGAAUGAGAUGAUGAGAGGUGAUGAGUUUAAGCAUAUAUUUGAGAAAGGAAUGUGAAGUGAUGGGAUGAUGAAGGAUAUUAUGUUAUAAAAUCUGAACAGGAAUUCACUGUUCUCUGUUCUGUUUUCUCAUUAUUUUCUAUUCUAUACCAUUUUUUAAUUCACUUACUUCAGAUAGACUCAAAUUUAAGUUUUUUUUUUAAGUUGGAUUCUAAUCAAAAUUGAAUGUUGGAGUGUUCAAUCAAUUUUUUUAAAGAAGUUUUUCCUUAAGAGUUGCUUAACAAAUUUUAAAUAAUAAAAACAUAUUUUCACAUUCAUAAUUAAUAGGAAGGAAGAAAGAUGAGUGUUUAUGGCAUUAAAAUUUUAGUGAGACUUUAUGUAAUUAAUUAUUUUAAAAAUAAAUAAUGAUUUAUUUUUUUUCUUUUCUCCAAUUAAUUUACAUACACAAGUUACUUAAAUCAUUUAAGCAGUGAGCAGAAUUAACCUCUUAAGUAGUGAGCAUUAAUGAUACAUUUUGAUGAAUGGCACUAACAUCAAUUUAUAUUUUGGGUUUAAUACUUCACAACAAAUUAUAAUAAAUAAAUAUUUAAGGAUCAAAUAGCUAAUUACAAAUAUAUUUAACUAGUCUCAAUAGAAGUAAUUGAUAUCCACCAUUCAUUAUUAUAAUAACAUAUCUAACCAUACACAUGUACGAUCCAUGGGUGGGCCAUUUAUAAGCUAAACCACCGUGGACUUCACCAAAUUCGGAACCACAAAAUAUAUAAAUAAUACCUCAUAUUUCAACUUUUUUUAGUAACUUUUUCAUGUUUUUGUGUACUCAAGAUGCUCAUACCCGAAUAUUUUCAGUUAUAGAAUUCUCAAUGAAUAAAAAACUAUAUAUAUUAAAUGUAUGCAUUCUACACUGCUUAUGGAAGUAUCAUAAUAUGAUUUAUGUAUAAACACAUAUUAGUUAAGCUGGUACACUAGUGGUAGCAAUUUAAAGAAUUAAAUUAAAAAAAUUUAAAAUCUUAAUAUUAAAGUGGAAAAAUUGUUGUUGCUAAAAAUAUUUAUCUCCAACAAAAAGCAUUCAAUUCAAUGUGUAUCAUUAUUGUAUUGACGUAAGAGAAUCUUUUUUAUUAUUAAAAAUACAGAAAUGGUUAAUGAAGAUCUCCAUCUUCAAUAGUGGACUGUGUUGAUGAAGGUAAUAUCGAUAUGUUGAAGCUAUGAUUAGAUCCUACACAGUACAAUGAACCAUGAGACCAAAAACCCUUCAACUAAGAUUUGAAGUCCAAACAGUACAACAAUUAGUUAAUAUUUUAAUUCAAAUAUUAAAAGAAAGUGUUUAAUUAAUGGAUGGCUUUUUAAUUUCAAUUUUAAAAGGAAGAAAAAAAAGGUAAUAUGAAUGCAUUAUUUGAGACCAUAAAAUACUAACUCGUCUAACCUAUAUACUAGGGUUAAACAUCAAGCCUUGCAAUAUUUGUUUUAUUAUUCAAGUUUUACCAUAUGCUUUUGACAUUAGGAUGCUGUUUUUUUCCUCUAAAUUUUGUUUGUAGCUCUCCACUUGUUACAAGAUUUGAAAAUAAAAAAAUGUGAAAUGUAAAUAUAUACACGCCAUUGAGAUGAAUUAAUUAAGAAAUUUAUAAAUAUAUAUAGAAAAGAGAAGAAACUGAUACUCAAUUUUUUUUAUGAAAGUGGGAUAAUUUUUUCUCCUUUUUAUCAAAAUUAGGGUUAUUUCUUGAAAAAAAAAUAUGGAUAUAGAAAAAUCGUGUCAUGUUGAUGCGAUUUUACUGUGAAAAAGUCAUAUUAAGGUGAUUAAAUUUUUGACAUGUCAAGAUGAAAUUGUAUCACAUUUCACACUGAACAUUUAGCAAGACAUACUCAUAAACAUCAUGUGUGAAAUAGGGUGCAAUUUAUGUUAGAGUGACAUAUUCGGAGCAUAAAAUCUGAAAGGUUUAUUUUAUUAUUGAUAAUAAUGUUUAAAGAAAAGAGUUGAAUAGGUGUGUGAAAUGGAAAUGAGUAUAUUCCAUUAGAAUGGGUAGUGAGAGAGGGACAGGAAAUGCUUUUAAUGGAAAGAGAUGGACUGGUAGAGGUUAAAUAGGGUCCAAUAGUGGAAGAGUGAGGCACAUGAGGACUAAAAUGACUGAAUGACAACUUAAUGGUGCCACCCUUCUUUUGCAUGACAAUGACGCUACUUAUACAUGUUGGGCUCACAACUCAGGUGCCUUUAUCACCACUAGUUUUCCACUCUUGCUGCCAAAGUUUCACACAGAUUUUCCUCUAGAUUUACUUUCUUUCUGCCUUUCUUCCAUCCUAAAAAAUCUACACCACAAUCUCCCAUCACUCAACCUUUCACCAAUGGAACAAAACCUUACCACUCCAACUUUCUUUCUUUUAUAAGCUGGAACCACACUUUAACAACUGCAAAACCUUUAUUACACACCCCAAAUCUUAUAUUACAGAAUCAAAUAAGGGAUGUGAGUACUUAAGUAUCAGGAAUCCCCUUCUAAACUAAAACUUUUUCUACUUCUUCAAUUUCUACUUCAACCAAGUUUUUCAUCUUCACAGCUAUCUGAACUAUCAAUUUCAGAAUCUUAUAUAUCACAUAAUCUCUCUUCCUUUUGCGUAUUAUAUAUCAUAAUCAUUUUAUACUUUCAAAUGUAUAUCACUCAACCAUAUAAAUACUUUUUAUUUUUUUAAUAUUUUUAACAAAAUUACCAUUUUAACAAAACCAUAUGUACCCUUUUUAACAAAACCAUAUUGUUGGAGUAACUUUUGCAUGAUGUUCUCUUGAUCGGAAGCCUACGAAGAAAGAAGGAGUUGGACUCAAGUGAAGGAUCGAGGGUUGAUCAAGGUGAGAUGGAGUUGCUAAAUUGAGAAGAAGGAGGACAAAUUACCAAUUGACUGCCUGAAGAUAGGAGAUAAAAGUGUAGUCAAUGAGGCUUCAAAAUACGAACAAAAUUGAUUUUUCCAAGGCAUGAACGAUCACUGUUCGUAAGAACUUAUCCGCAGUGCAUUGUGCAAGUCUUCUAGGAUACAACAGGAACUUCUUGGAAAUUUUUGAGGAUCAGGACUAACAAGUUACUCUUAAAAGUAAGAACCCAAUAAAACCCAGAAAAAUAUUUAUAAUAAAAUAAAUGAAUAAAUAGUGAAGGGGAAGAGAGAAGGUGAGGAAGAAAGGAAAUGUAAAGUUGUGUGUGAAAGUGAGAAUUGAACCCCUCUUUAUAUAGGGAGAGAAAUCAAAGAUAUUUUGCAUCUCCACAACAAAAUUCACUUUGUUGUUGCACUUUUAAAACCGAAUUUGAUAUUUCUUUGGCAACAUUCUCCAUAUUUCCGUAAGACCAGGACCAAGCAACGUGAUUUACAAACUGUUUUUUUUUUUUUGUUUCUUUUACAAUAUCUGCUUACGGUUUUACAACAAUCCCCCACAUAUUGCAAAAGAUAAAACAUAGAGAUAAAGAAAGAAAAAAUAAUUAUGGGUUCAUCUAAGAUGUAUUGCAUCAGAGCUGGUAUAGCAAGCUAUAUGAACCAAUCUUAGAUUGAUGAACUUAACACAUAAUGUAGUUGGAAUAGCAAAUUAUAUGAACCAAGACAUUUAGUAUGUGUUAGAGGUUUAUCAAUCACAAUAGACCCCCACAUUACUUGCGGUUAUCGUUGUGUUGCGCUAGGCCAUGCGCGUGCCCGAUAUUCAUGAGUGUAGUAGAGAUCUUGCCAAGAUCUCAUACAAGAGGCCCCACUUGACACUCAUAUAGGUGAUUUCAUCAAGUAUAUGUUGCAAAUCAUACACCACCCAUAAGGGAUAUGAAAAUCAUUAAAAACUUUGUAAAUCGUUAAAGCUCUUUUACCUCAAAAUUUUAACCACAAAGUUUAUCCUCUCGAUAAUGCAGUAUCUAGCACUUUCACACACACCAUAGGAAUGGACAAAUUCAUUUUAAAUCAAUAUUAGUGCUAGCAGAACUAACAAGUGACUUAUUUUUACCCAUAUGAACCUUAUUCAUGGGAUCUCCAAUCACAAAGGUUGGGUUUCCAUCACUUGUUUGUUUGCAAGUGGCUUAAGUCUCAUUCCCCUCGAUGUUAUUAAAAUCAUUUUUCUCCCUAGAGGUUUAGUUAGAGGAGCUGCCAAAUUCCGUUUUGACUUGACAUAGUCAAUAGAAAAUCGUUCCACUCUUUAACAGUUGUUUCACCAAAUUAUGUCUCAAUUGUAUAUGUCUAUUCUUUCCAUUGUAACUUUUAUUUUUAGCUAUAGCUAUUGCCGAUUGGAAAUCACAACGCAUUGAUACAAACGGGGUUGGUUUCAUUCCUAACGGAAUGUUUGCUAAGAAGUUUUUCAAUCACUCAACUUCACUACCAGCCAUCUCAAGAGCAGCAAACUCAUAUUCCAUUGUUGAUCUUGCAAUAAUAGUUUGUCUGGUUGAUCUCCAUGUAACUACACCACCCCCAAGUGUAAAUACAUAACCACUAGUGGAUUUUGUCUCAUCUGAAUCAAAGAUCCAAUUAGCAUCAUUGUACCCUUCUAUCACAAUGGGAAAUCCACUAUAUUCAAUGGCAUAAUCCAUUGUACCUCUAAGUAUUUCAUGAGUCUCGCAAGCGCAUCCCAAUGAUCCUGACUAGGACAUUGAGUGUACCUACUCAGUCUACCUAGUGCAUAAGCAAUAUCUGGUCUAUAAAAGCUCAUUAAAUGCAAUAAGCUCCCAAUUAUCUAGGCAUACUUAGUUUGAGAAAUAGAUUCUCCUCUGCUCUUCUUUAAUUUAGAGUUAACAUCAUAAGAUGUGCUCACUGACUUAAAGUCAUAAUAACCAAACUUCUUAAGAAGUUUCUCAGUGUAUUUUUCUUGGGAUAGUAAUAUACUAUCUCCCUUCCUUAUGAUUUUAAUCACACUUGCUUCACCCAUGUCUUAUCUGAAACUUAGAUCCAAGAAACAAUUUUGUUUUAAAAACAAUAUCAUUGCAUGUACCACAAAUUAACAUGUCAUCCACAUACAAACAUAUAAUGACACAUUCACCAUUUUCAGUUCUAGAAUACACACAUUUAUCAGCAUCAUUGGUAGAAAAACCUUCACAAAGUAAAAUAUUAUCAAGUUUUUCAUGUCAUUGUUUUGGUACUUGUUUCAAACCAUAUAAAGAUUUUAAAAGCUUACAUACUUUUUCCUUUUGACUUGGAACUACACAUCCUUCAGGUUGAGUCAUAUAAAUUUCCUCUUCUAGUUCACCAUUCAGAAAGGUUGUUUUAACAUCCAUUUGGUGAAUUACUAACUUAUGGAUAGAUGUUAAGGCUAGCAACACACGGAUAGAUGAAAUCCUAGUAACAGGUGCAAAAGUAUCAAAGUAAUAUAUGUUAUGUUUUUUAGUAAAACCUUUAGCUACUAAUCUUGCCUUAUAUUUCUCUAUGGAUCCAUUGAGAUGGUACUUCUUCUUAAAGAUCCACUUACAACCAAUGGAUUUUGCUCCUUUAGGCAGAUCUACUAAGGUCCACAUAUUAUUUUUCUUAAUUGAAUCAAGCUCAUUUUUAAUGGCCUUAUCCCAAUGUUUAGCAUCAGGAGCACUAAUAGCUUCUAAAAAACUUAUUGGAUCAUUUUCAAUUAUAUCACUAUUAAGAACUAAAAACCUAUAGGCAACACUAUGUUCCGCAUAUCCUAAGAACAUGCAAUCAGAUGUUUUAGAGUCUAUUUUCCUUUUCUUAGGAUCAGGUAACAUCAAUUUAGCUAAACACCCUCACACUCUUAGGUAUUUCAGAUUAGGUUGAUAACCUUUCCACAACUCAUAGGGUGUUUUACUAGUUUUCAUAUGUUUUGCAAAAAAACUUGCGGUAAGCAGAGAUUCACCCCAUAAAUUAUCAGGAGCAUUAGAACUAAUAAGCAUGAGAUUCAUCAUUUCUUUAAGAGUCAUAUUUUUUCUUUCAGCUACUCCAUUAGAUUUAGGUGAAUAUGGUGGGGUUACUUCAUGAAUAAUGCCUUAUUUAACACAAUAAUCAUUAAAUAAAACAUAUUCCCCACCUCUAUCUGAUUUAAUUCUUUUAAUUUUCUUAUUCAAUUGAUUUUCGUACUUCUGCUUUAUAAGUUAAGAACAUGUCAAAAGUUUCAUCUUUAUGUUUAAUUAAAUACACUUUGGUGUAUCUAGAAAAAUCAUCUGUAAAAGUUACAAAAUAAUUUUUAUCACCUCUAGACAUGAUUUGUUUUAAGUCUAUGAGAUCGGUAUGAAUUAAACUAAGAAGUUUAGUUUGACAUUCUACAAAAUGACAUGUUUUCUUCGUUAUUUUAGAUUCUACACAUAUAUCACAUUUACUAUUUUGUUUGUCAUGCAUGUUGAUUAAUCAUAGUCGUUGCAAUUUCAUAACAUACGAAAAAUUCACAUGUCAUAAUCUAGCAUGCCAUAUAUCAUACGAAUCAACAAUAUAAGCAGAAGAUUCAUAUUCAUUAAUAACUUCAGAAAUGUUCAAUACAAAAAGACCUUGAUCACAAUAUCCCUUCCCCACAAAACAUUGUUUUUUUGUCAUAACAAUCUUGUCAGAUUCAAAUGACACUUUAACCCCAACUUUGCUUAGCAUUGCCACAGAGAUCAAAUUAACUCUAAUUGAUGACACAUGUACCACAUCACUCAAAGCCAGAGUUUUACCAUAUGUGAGCUUCAGAAGAACCUUUCCUUUUCCUAGGAUAGGAGUUGUCCUGGAGUCACCGAGAUAAACUUGUUCUUCUCCAUCCCCCAUACUUGUGUAGGAGGUAAACACAUUUUUGUUUGCACAGAUGUGUCUGGUAGCCCCAGAGUCUAUCACCCAUUUGCUCACAUUUGUCACAAGAUUUACUUGUGAAACGAAUGCCACAAUUGUAUCUUCCCCUUCAACUAUAUUUGUCUUAGGAGGAUAGUCGUUUUUGGUCCUAUGUCUACCCUGAGGUGCAUGAUGACCUAGCUUUCCAUAGACAAAGCAGUUACCAUUUUUCUUGAAAGUGGGGUUAGUUUCAUUGGGACAAGAGAAUUUAUUAUUAUAUUUCUUUUUGUGAUCAGAUUUUUUCUUGUACCUUUUUGGAGCUGGUUUGUCUUCUAUCACGUUUGCUUUAGCAGACAAAGCUUUGGCCUUUGCAACAACACACUCCUUCUUGUUUGUGUCUUCGAUGAUGAUGUGGGUGAUCAGAUCUGAUAGUGACAUCUGUUUGUGUCAAUGCUUCAGUUGUUGUUUGUAAUUCGUCCAAGAUUGUGGAAGCUUUUCGAUCAAGAGUUCAGACACGAAUUCAUUCGGCACGGCUAUGUUUUCAGCUUUGAUAUCUUCAAGCAGCUUGUGAUAUUCGUUUAUCUAGAUUUUGAUGUCUUUGCCUUCGAUCAUCUCCCAGCGGUAGUAGUUUCAGAAUCACGAAUUUUUAUCUGAUGACGUCUUCGACAAUAUAUUUGAGGAUAAGGAAUCCCAAAUAUCUUUUGCUUCCUUGUAAGAAGCAUAGACAUCGAACAAAUCAUUAAAUAACGCACUGAGUAGGGUGUGACGACAUACCUUAUUUGCAUGAAUCCAAUCAUCAACUUGUUUCGCAGCUGUGCUUGAGUCUGGUUUAGAAGUUGUAAGUGCAAAAACGACUUCGUACAUGUCCAAAAAGGGUGGACACACGUUCUUGCCAACGUUGGAAAUUUUGAGCGGUGAAGACUUCAAUUUUUGAGACAUACGGAAAUGGUUUCACACGUUCUUUUGUCCGUCUUGUCAGCCAUAAGUCCUUACGAUUGUAGUCAAUGAGGCUUCAAAAGACUAACAAAAUUGAUUUUCCCGAGGCAUGAGCGAUCACUGUCCGUAAGAACUUAUCCACGGUGUAUUGCGCAAGUCCCUCAAGAUACAACAGGAACUCCCCGAAAAAUUCUGAGGAUCAGAACUAGCAAGUUACUCUUAAAAGAGUAAGAACCCAAUAAAACCCAGAAAAAUAUUUAUAAUAAAAUAAAUGAAUAAAGAGUGAAGGGGAAGAGAGAAAGUGAGGAAGAAAGGAAGCGUAAAGUUGUGUGUGAAAGUGAGAAUGAAACCCCUCUUUAUAUAGGGAGAGGAAUCAAAGAUAUUUUGCAUCUCCACAACAAAAUUCACUUUGUUGUUGCACUUUCAAAACUGAAUUUGAUUUUUCUUUGACAACGUUCUCCAUAUUUCCGUAAGACCAGGAUCAAGCAACAUGAGUUUACAAACUGUUUUUCUGUUUAUUUUGCAAUAUCCGUUUAUGGUUUUACAAUAAAUAGUUCUCUCAAUCUCUUUUCAGACAAGAACACCAUACAAUAUAAUAGUCUUUGUUUUUAAUCUAUAAACACCUUCUAAAUGAAUUUCAACCGAAGGUUUAUAAUUUUGAAUGAAAAUGUAUUCGUAAAAGACUAUCCAAUAAUUAAAUUAGUAAAACUUUUAUGGUAUAAUCCAUGCUUUUUAAAAGAUACUACUUUCUCUCUAUCAUUUAAAAAUUUAAAAAUCAUAAGUAAUUUUUACUUGCUUGACAUGGUUGGUAAAUUUUUUCCUGCUUGAUAUAUUUUUUAUUUCCUUAAUCAAUUUUCCUAAAAUACUAACCAGAAAAUUGACAAUAAGUCCUAGUGAACAUCUUACAUCAAUAACUGUUCAACCAAAGUAAGAAAUGUCAUAAAGUAUUAACCCGUGAAAUUUUACAAACAUGAAAUGUUUAAGGAUUUUCCAAUUUAAAAUCGGUUGAUUUCAUAUGCCACCGAAAAUUAUUUGGGCUUUUUCUUUUGAUCCAAUUGUUUUACCCUUAGCAUUCAGAAAGACGCGAAAAUUAAGCAUAAAUUUAAAAAGUUAAUACAAAAUAUCAAUUGAUUAUAUAUAUAAACUCAUUUUUUAUUAUUUAAUAUUUUAAUUACUUUUUAUCUCAAGUCUCAUCAUUCAAUGAAUUUAUUUUAUAUAUAAAUGACAUUUGCAAGAUAAUUAUAAAAUAAAAUUAUAGAUAACACUAUUGAUAACUAUACCUGUGUGGAUGUCAGGGCCAGAGUAAUACUGAUCCACGUUGAUACACAAUUGUUGUCGUGUCAGCAGCUACCUAAUCCUUCAAGUCCUUCCUCCUUCGCGUGCGUGCUCGUCCGGUCGGCGGGGUACCUGCAAUUGCACUCUGACGCUCAAGUUAGUUAGUGCUAGUGUUUUGUCUAGUCUCUCAGGAUAUCAUAAAAAAACAUACAUUUUCCCCCUUUCAGAAGUCCCUUUAAUAAGUUGACUUGGGCUUUUUCUUGUGGGCCAGGUAACCGGUUGUCAAAGACAUGCGUAGUGGUCCUUAGGUCAUGUGUAGUGGUUUCCUGAUAUUAAGGAAGUGCUUCUCGAAGUGUCUCUGACUUAUUCAACGCUAGUUGUAACCGUUUCCUUACUACGUAUUUACUAUAUUAUAUUAUUUAAUGUGUAGCCUCGGUCGUCCGGGGUCGACCGGUACAAUAACAAAUGUUAGAGCCAAGUUAUGAAGAAGGAGAAUAAUAAGCCCAAUUUAGUGGAAACGAAACUUUAAGAUUAGGGGAUUUCUUUUAGCAACCCAUGGUUUUUUCCUGCACCUCCAUCGAAUGUCCCUUCAAUUGUGUCUUUUUAUGCUCCUAUCUUGAAUGAAUUUUUUUUUUAUCCUUAAGAGUAAUUUAUGAAUUCUGUAAUCUAAAAGUCAAUCUUAAAUUAUAUAAUUUAUUUUUUUUCAUAUAAAAAUAUUAAAUUAUGUAAUUUAAAAGUAAAAAAUAACUUUAAGAUUGUACAAUCCAAAAUAAAAAAUAACUUUAAAAUUAUGUAAUCUAAAAGUUUUUUUUUAAAUACAAAAUAACUUUUAAAUUAUGUAAUUUAUAAGUUAAAAGUACAUUGAAGAUUAGCCAAUCUAAAAGCUUUUUGCACAAAAAAUAUGACUUUCAGAUUGUGCAGAGAGGAAGCUUUUGACUUUUGGAUUUCACAAUCCAAAAAGUUCUUAAACUACAAAAUUAAAAAAAGAAAAUUGAACAAAAAGAUAAAGUGAUGACUUUUAUAUUUAUAGGGUGCAAAAAGAUAUCUCUUAAGAACAACAUCCCUACAACACAACAAAAGAUAAAGGCCCAAAUUUAAUGAAAAUGACAUUAUCGUGACUCUUUCUUCCUGCACCUCCAUAGGUUCUUCUGCCACCCCAUACCCAAUACGAAAAUACUUUUUCAAUCUUCUUGUGCCACCCUCAUAGAGUAGCUUCCGGAUUAUGUAAUCUGGACACACAUUUGAAAAAAGACUUCUGGAUUAUGUAAUCCAUAAGCUAAAAAAGACUUCCGGAUUACAUAAUUUAGAAACUAAUCAUGCAUAUGAAAAAAAGCUUUCGAAUUAUUUAAUCUGGAAACUAAUUACAAAUUUAAAAAAAGACUUUCUGAUUACAUAAUCCAGAUUAUUUUUAAAAGUAUAAAAAUGUAUGGAGGUGGGAGAAGAAUAUAUGGAGUUGCAGGAAGAAACAGCCCAUUAUCGUAUUAUCGUUGAGUUCCCUCACUUGAAAGGAAUUGACGGUGAUGAAAAUAGACCAUUGGUGGAAUUGAAAUGGUGAUGAAGGAACACGAGAAAGUGUGGAAGGAGGUACGCGAGAAAGAGAAAGUGUUAAUCUUAACAUAGUUUUGUGAUUUUUUUUUACUUUUCCAAUUGUUUAAUCUGAAAAAUUUCCGGAUCGCUCAAUUCUUGAUGUUUCUAGAUUAGAAAUUCAAAAGUGAGAAAUUGUUGUUUAUGCACUAUUUUGGACAGGUCAUCUCAAAACACCUUUUUGUUUUAUUUUAAAAUUUGUAACAUGUUUUUGAAUUACAAAUUCUAGAAACAUACUUAAGAUUGGAUAAUCCACAAAAACAUAUCAUAUGUUCUGAAACACUUAUACUAAAAAACUCUUUCCAAAUUUUUUUUUUGUAAUAGAUAAUUCUAAAGUUACCAUUGAAAUAUUAUGAAAGGCAGGAAGAAGCUCAUUACUUAUCCUUAGAAGGCUACACCACUUGUGUGUAUUUUUGUGAUUGCUUUAACCAAAGUCUCGAAAGACUUGUUUAAUGCUCAUCCUAUGUUAUUCAAUAGUUUUUUUUUUUAAUAUAAGAAUAAAAAACGUGAAUAUUGUACAUGAGGAUGAGGAGCUUGGGAGAGUUGUAUGAAAUUAAGGUUGGAAAAAAUUUAAAUUGUGAAAUUUAAUUCAUAAUUAUCCAAACUCAUAUUAUUUUUAAGUUAUUUAAAUAGAUUUAUUUCAAAUCUAAAUUUAUAUUUUUGAAUUUUAAGUUCAAUCCAUUUAAUUGGAAUAUGGCUUAGAUAUAUAUUUGAUAUAUUUUUGGAUUAUCCAAAGUUGGAUUUUGAGUUGGUUUGGACCUAAGUUUAGCUAAGUUAACCCAGGCCAUGGUCGAGCUAAGUCGACCCGAACCAAGGUCCAGCUGAGUUUAUCCGGGCCUAGGUUGAGUCGAAUCGCUCGAACCUUGAUCGAGCCAAGAUGACACGGGACCAGAUCAAGUCGAGUCGACCCGAACUCAAGUCGAGUUGAGUUGACCCAAGCCGGGAUCAAGCCCAAAUUGAGUUAAGUCGACUUGAGCCCGAAUCGAGACCAGUCGAUCUGAGCCCAUGUCGAGUGGAGUUGGCCUGAACUCAAGUUGAUUGAAUUCACCCGAACCCAGGAAGCGACUUGUCGGCCUGUGCAUAGUUUGAGCCGAGUCGAGUCGGCCCGAACUAAAGUCAAGUCAAGUCAAGCCAGCCCAGGCUAGUCGAACUGAGUCAGCCUGGUACCUGGUCGAGUCAGCCCAGAUCCAAACAGAGUGAGUUGACCAAGGUCCAGGUUGAGCUGAGUCGGCUUGGUACCUGGUCCAGUCGGCCCAAGUUCAGGCAGAGCGAGUUGGCCAAGGUUCAGGUCAAGCCGAGUCGGCCCGGGCCAAGGUCGAGCCGAGUCAGCUUGGACCCAUGUUGAGCCAAGUUGUUCCAAGCCCAGGUCGAGCUGGAUCGACCCGAGUCAGCUUGGCCCAAGUCAGCCUAAACCCAUAUCGAGCCAAGUCGACUCAAGCCCAUGUCGAGUCGAGCCGUCCUAGGUCUAUGUCGAGCCGAGUUGACCCAAACCCAUGUCGGGCUGAGUUGACCCAAACCCAGAUCAGGCUAAGUUGACCCGAGCCCAUGUCGAGCCGACACCAUCCGAGUCCAUGUCGAGUUGGCCUGGGUCAUGUCGAGCCGAAUUGGUUUGGGACCAUGUCGAGCCAAAUGGGUCCUGGGCGAUGUCAAGUCGAGUGGGCCCGGGGCUAUAUUGAGUCGAGUGGGUACGGGGCCAUGUCGAGCCGAGUCGGCCUGAGUCAGGUCGAGCUCAGUCGACCCAGACCCAGGUCGAGCUCAGUCGACCCAGACCCAAGUCGAGCUCAGUCGCCUGAUACUUGGUCAAUUCGGCCUGAGCUUAAGCGAAGUCUGCUUGAGCUUAGGUCAAGCUAAGUCAGCCUGAGCUUAGGUUGAUACAAAUCGGCCCUAGCCCAUAUCAAGCUGAUUGCCCUAGGGUCCAUGUGGAGUCGAGGGACUAGGUCGAGCCGAGUUGGUCUGGGCUCAGGUCGAGUCGAUUCGGUCUGAAGCCAGGUCGAGUUGAGUGAGCUCGAGCCCUGGUCGAGUCAAGUGGGCUCAGGGCCAUGUUGAGUUGAGUGGGCUCGGGGCCAUGUCAAGUUGAGGGGGCUUGGGGCCAUGUCGAGCGAGUGGGUCUGGGACCCUGUUGAGCUGAGUGGUCCUGGGGCCAUGUUAAGUCGAGUGGGCUCGAGCCCAUGUUGAGCUGAGUCGGCCUGGUACCAGGUCGAGUUGACCCCGACCCAUAUCGAGUCCAGUCAGCCUGGUACUAGGUCGAGCAUACUCGAAUCGGGUGCAGGUCGAGCCGAGACGGUCUGAAUCCAAGUCGAGCCGAGUUGGUUUGGGUUUGGGUCUAGCCAAGUCGGUCUGGGUCCAGGUCGGCUAAGUCAAUCCAUGUUUAGAUUAAGAUGGAUUUAAUCUAUUUAAAUGGAUUUGAAAAAUUCAAAUAAAUAUGAUUUAGUUAAAAUUGAUAAGGAUUUUCAAUCCAAUCCAUUUUAUUGAAUGUGGAUUAGAUCUAGAUUGUAUUUUGAAAAAUUCAAUCCAUGACCACCCAUACAUGGAAUGUAAGGAUGACAAUUUGGCGUGGUUGGGCUGACCCACGACGUGAUAAAAAAACGUGGAGCCAGCUAUUUUAACUCGCAUGCUGAUACGCAACUCGCACGAGCUAGGUAUGGGACAUAUCAACCCACACAAUCUGCAUACCUUAACAUUUCAUUUUAAUCCCUAAAAAUAACACGUAGUUAGCUAGCCAACCCUAAAUGUCAUUCUUCCUCCUACGUACAACUCUUACCUCCAUUGUCAGGAUACUUGCUGCAUGGAUCCUUGAAAAAGCUAGUCAAAAUAAUCCAAUUGUUCAGCAAUAUUUUUUUUAUGUUUAAUAAAUUUUUUACUAAGAUACAUUUGUGUCUAUAAUAUUUUUUUAAAAAAAUUCCUUAUACAAGAUAGUUUACAGGUUCGCGAGCUAACCUUUAUACAGAGCGAGUCAACAAAAUCAAUUUAUAUUUCUUAUGUGGAAUGUGGACCAACUUGACUCACAUUUUAUAGACUAAUGUGGGGCGAACCGCAUUUGAAUCCUUAAUGAAGGGAAAAUUCUUCUUGCAUCUCCUUACUUUUUUUAAUUUCAACAAUACCCUUUUUAGUAUGUUGAGUGUGACGUCUUCUUCAUUUUCAAGUGGUGGCGGCUGGUGGUGAUUGGUGGUGAACAUUGGUAGUUGAGGUAAAUUUUAUGGUGUUUUUACUGAUGAUGAUUGUUUCUUCGUUUACUUAUUUUUUUUUUCAUUUUUUUGAAAGCCACAAAACCCAGAAAAACAAAACAGCGAGAUGUAAAGAUGAGUACAAAACUAAAAAAAGUCUAUCUUCAUGUUGAAAAAUGUCAAAAACAACAAAUCUUCUUGUCAACUUUUUCACACAUAUCCAGAUGAUAUCAUUGUUCUGUUGAAUGCUACUAAUAGAGAAUAAUAAAAGUAUUGCAAUGAAAAAAAAUAUUAAAAAAAAAAUAUAUGAGAUACGAAUGUACACUGAAAUUAUUUAAAAUUAUACUUUAUUUAGGAUUAUUUGAAAUUUUGAAAAAUAUUAAAAUCGAUAUAUUAGUAUGAAUACAAAGUUGGAUAUUUUAGUAUGAAUAUAAAUGUGGAUAAUGGGGGGGGGGGGGAAGGAUAAGGAGGUGUUAGGGAAAAAUUUGCCCAAAUGGAGAGAUUUGCUGGAGUGGUCUGUAAUCAAAUAAAACUAAAUUCCAAAUCAAAACAUAAUUAUUUUCACGAGCCUUUCUUUUUCUUGGGUGCCAUCAUCAACCUAUUUAUUGGCUAAUUUACUUAAGAUUAUAUUUUUUUAGAAAAGAUAAUUGGUCGGAUUCGAAAAUAUUCAAUGUUUUUUACAGCGAGUGUUGACAGUGUCACCAUCGCUUUGGACUUUGGACACUAGCUGCCUUUUAUCCCUCUUUUCUACUUUCUGCCCACAUCACUGCAAACUAUCUCCUUCCAUCUCCGAAUCUUCUCCCAAAUCCUUCAAAAGAGAAAAUGGGUUGUCACGGCAGCAAGGAGAAAAAAUCAAACGCAGAAUUCAGCAGUGCCUAUGGAUCAGGCAGUGCUGGUCACAAUACUGUUCAACAACCAUCUACCACCACUGUUGCACAGGUUCAAACAUCACCACCACCCAAACCACAACCACAUUCAGAGGCGGUAGCGAGUCCACCAAAACCGAAACUUUCUCCGACCCAGAAUGCCAGGGCGGUGCAGAAACCCGACGCCACGAUUCUGGGGAAACCCUUUGAGGAUAUAAAGAAGUACUACAGUCUGGGGAAGGAACUGGGAAGAGGGCAAUUCGGUAUAACGUAUCUGUGCACGGAGAAUGCGACCGGAAUGACUUACGCUUGCAAGUCGAUUCUGAAGAGGAAGCUGGUGUCGAGAGCGGACAGGGAGGACAUGAAGAGGGAGAUUCAGAUCAUGCAGCAUUUGUCUGGGCAGAACAACAUUGUGGAGUUCAAGGGGGCGUUCGAGGACAGGAUGUCGGUCCACCUUGUAAUGGAACUCUGCGCCGGCGGGGAGCUCUUCGACCGGAUCAUCGCCCAAGGCCACUACUCCGAGAGAGCCGCCGCCUCACUCUGCCGCGCCAUGGUCAACGUUGUUAACAUUUGCCAUUUCAUGGGAGUCUUACACCGCGAUCUCAAGCCCGAAAAUUUUCUGCUCUCUACUAAGGAUGACGAUGCUACGCUCAAGGCUACUGAUUUUGGACUCUCUGUCUUCAUUGAAGAAGGUUCCCAUCACUUUCACUUUCAACCCUCCUACUCUCUGUCACUACUCUUUGCUUUAGAUAUUCAGGGGGCAGUGAGCGGUGAACCACGAUAGAAAUUUUGUUCCUUUUUCGCUUUGAUGUUAUCUAUUUCUGAUUGGUUUAUCUGUUGCUUGCAUUGUUGUGCUACUUCUGAUUCUGAUUUUUUUUGUUCCCUACUUCACUGGUGAACCAUUUGGGCAUGAAGAUUAAGUUGACUCAUCAACUCAUAAGAACAUUGAUAGGAUAGGUUUUCAGAGUUCUAUCGCCUGGUUAAACUUAUGUCUAAGGUGACCAUUGACAUUUGGGAACUUUAAAGGCCAACACACUCCGUGGAUUGUGAGAUGCUUGAUUAUUAUAUAGAUAUCACCUUGAUAUGGCUACCUUGUCAAUGAUUCGUGGAGAUGAUUCUAUACUAAGGAAUUAUCGGAGUGAGAUUGAUUUCAGAUGUAGGUAUCUGAUCAGGACAGCGAUUGUAAAAAUAAUAUUUGAUUUUGUGAUGUAGGUGAUAUUUUAAGCAAAUUUAAGAUCCGAUGCUACAUUGAUUUCUAAUUCCUUUUCAGCAGGUGCAUUGAAGUGUAUCCACAGGAUUGAAUGGUCAUUUUAGUUACAGCUUAUGUUGAAUUCUAAUUGCAUUCUAUGUCGUUCUAAAGGACCUAACACGGCCAUUACUUUCACAAUUUGCAUUUGAUAAUUCAUUGUAUUUUCUGAAUUCUUUCAGGGAAGGUAUAUCAUGAUAUGGUUGGCAGUGCUUACUAUGUUGCUCCCGAGGUAUUGCGUCGUAGUUAUGGAAAGGAAAUAGAUAUUUGGAGUGCAGGCGUCAUAUUGUAUAUUCUUCUCAGUGGUGUACCACCUUUUUGGGCUGGUAAGAUCUAAUUGUAGUUUGACAAUGUUGAAUAUCCAUUGUUUAUUGUUGAGUUUCUUAUUUAAAAAUUAACUCUUCAACAUACAAUAGGUGUGAGAAUAUGUUUCUAUUAUCUUCUGCAGAAACUGAAAAGGGAAUAUUUAACGCCAUAUUGGAAGGUGAACUUGAUUUUGUAAGUGAACCAUGGCCAUCCAUAUCAGACAGUGCUAAAGAUCUAGUCAGGAAGAUGUUGACACAAGAUCCAAAGAAGCGGAUUACUUCUGCGCAAGUCCUUGGUAUUAGACUACCGUUACUAAUUUGACUCAAGUAACUGUCAUAAAUGCAGUACUUAUUUAUUUAAAUUAAAACUGCUAUUAUUUGUGUUAGUAUUAGUUUAGCAGUUUACUUGUCCUCCUUUCAGUUUUUAUUACAAAUUUUUUGAGUGCUUCUAUUUGCUGCAUCUACUUUCCCAAGUUACAUAUAUGUAGGCAGCGAGAAUAGUUUGCUCAUGCGUUGAACUGUAAAAAUAAGAACCAGCAAGCAAAAUCCUAUCCAGAGAAAUGUUAAUAGCCUACCAACUAUAAGUUACGAUCAAAAUAUCAUCAACUAAGUAAAUUUUUCUCAUUAGUCAUUUGAGUUGCCACUGUUUUGUCUAGUUUUUUCUUUUCCAAACAAAACCUGAUUAAGAUUGAUGAUUUUGUUUGGUAAGAACACCCAUGGAUGAGAGAAGGCGGAGAGGCAUCCGAUAAACCAAUUGACAGUGCAGUUCUAUCCAGAAUGAAACAAUUCAGGGCAAUGAAUAAGCUCAAGAAGCUAGCAUUGAAGGUAUGACAUCAAACUUGAAUUAAACAUCCACCGUCAAUGUCCAUUUCUGAUAGUUCUUGAUAUUGUUGAGGGAUGAUGAUUCUCUUUUGAUUGCAGUUGUUAUUUUGUGUACACAAAAAUUUUAAAUUUACCCAUUAUGGAAUAUGACUACCACAAUAUUAUUAAAGUCCUCCUGUUUGUUCUGUCUGGUAUAUGAACCUUUGUUUCUUUCACCUGAAACAAGUUAAUAAUCUCUUUUCAACUGGCCCUUGCAAUUUCUUUUCAUCAUAUUUAACACAACAAUGUUAUGGGAUGAGAGAAUUGCGUUCUAAAACUGACAUAUUGUCUAUGUUAUUGACAUAAAUUAUUUUACAGGAAAACUGGUGUCCUGAAGUUUUCAACUUUUCGACAAGGAAGUACAAACACUUGAGAAUUACUCCUUAUCUCAUGUUAUUUUUAAAAACUUUUGUACCUAUAGUCUUAUUCCGAUAGUAAUUAGAUAAAUCAAAGCAUGUUAAUAAGACUACACCUACAAUGACUUGAGCUCAUAUUUAGAAGUUUAAUUCUCUCUCUUGAUUAAAGAUUUGUGUUUUAUAAAUUAUACUGUUAUACGUUAUAUUAUGUAUUUGCAUUGUAUCUGUGCUUCUAGGUUUCUAGAUACUGCUUUUAUUCUUGAAGUUGUCCUCUCAAUUCAUGGGAUGCCGCUGAGAAGCAUUUUAUGAGUUACGUGUUCCAGUCUACUUUUUUCUCUAAAUAUUUCUCCAUCACUGACAUUGGUGCAAAUUUCUCAAGGUUAUUGCUGAAAAUCUAUCAGAAGAGGAGAUUAAAGGUCUGAAAGCAAUGUUUGCAAAUAUGGACACUGACAACAGUGGCACAAUUACCUACGAAGAAUUGAAGACUGGCUUGGCUCGAAUUGGAUCAAGGUUGUCCGAGGCUGAAGUGAAGCAACUCAUGGAGGCUGUAAGUUGUCAGUUGUUACAUACCCUUGUGAAGAGCACAACUAGUUGGACAUUUGUGCAUUCACUGUAUCUUGAACUCAGCGUUGUUUUUCUUAUGUAUAAUUUUUCUCAGGCUGAUGUUGAUGGAAAUGGGUCAAUUGACUAUCUUGAAUUCAUUUCGGCUACAAUGCAUAGGCACAGACUUGAACGUGAUGAACAUCUUUACAAAGCAUUCCAGUAUUUUGAUAAGGAUAACAGUGGGUGAGUUUUACAAGACUGGUAUUUAGGUGAUUUCCAUAUUACAAUUUCUUUCUAAUCAUCUGUGUUCAGACAACUAUCAUCCACUGGUUUGAUUCUUGUCGAGUUCUUCAUUGUUGUUAUGAGAAUUUGAAUUUUGUUUUUUUUAGUCUCCAUGUUCCAUAUUAGACAGUACUUUUUAUCAGUAACAUUUCUCUGUUAAACUGCAUUAGUUCACUUUAAGACUAUAUCAAUAACCUGAGACUUGAGGGUCACGCAAGGUUGAUGGAUAAGAAUGGGCUUUAAAUUCAUGUCCAGGUACAUUACUAGAGAUGAAUUGGAGACUGCUAUGACCCAACAUGGAAUGGGUGAUGAAGCAACAAUAAAGGAAAUAAUAUCUGAGGUGGAUACAGAUAAUGUAAGUUGGUUCUAGUUUGUUUAAUGGCGGUACAGAACAAUGAUGCUGUAACUAACAAUUCUUGAACUAACAGGAUGGAAGAAUAAACUAUGAGGAAUUUUGUGCAAUGAUGAGAAGUGGAAUGCCACACCAGGGAGGGUCAACCACUUUAAAUCCACUGAUGGGUUGAGCAGUGACUUGUUACUGUUGGGAAAAAGCAGUAUCUCCGGGAAUGUGUGACAGUACACUUCAUGCAAUGAUGAUAUUUCUUUGCAAUCCCAAUUUAUUACAAGGUUCCUGUGGUGUCUGUCGGAUUGCUUGGUCUGUACUUUUUUUAUCUGUUCAGCUGUCACAUUUUACAAGUGACAUGGAAAACAGAAUUUUUAUAUUAAGAUACUUUUGUACCAUAUAGAGUUAUCAUUUUUAUUGUGGCUAAGUAACAAGUAAUCAAGGGAGGGAACUAUUUUCCUUAACCUUUAUAUUGAAGUGCAAACUUGAACUUUUUUUCGAAUAAUGUUUUGGCAAUUUAAUCUAGUGUGUCAAUGCUAUGUUUUCUUCUUUUUUAUCCCUAUUGAUUAGAGCUAUUAGAGAUAUAAUAAGAGGUAAAUCACCUCUUGUUUUAAUCAGCUAUAUGUUGUGGCCUAUCUUAUAUUUAUGUCUAUUACUUUAUUCUAGGUAGUUAUCUCAGUGCUUAAAUGCAAUUAAUCUCAAUUACUUAAAUGGUCUGAGUAUUCGUAGUUGUAUUUUGUAUAUUUUCAUUUUUUAAUUUGACUGUUUGACAAAAAGUAAUAAAUAGUGGGUUAGAUGGUUACUCUAUACCUAAUAGUAGAUUAGUUAAUGUAAGAUAUUUGAUAAGCUAGUUGAUUACAUUUGAAGUACUGGUAAAAAUAGCCUUUAAAUUAGUUGAUAAAUAUGAAAUUAUGUAAAAGGACAUGUGAUGCUUUUUUUUAUACAUAAGUUCUAUUUAUUUACCUAAAUAAGAUUUUAAAAUAUUUAUAUAUUUAUAUGCUUUGAUUUGUUUUCAAUUAAUUUUAUCUAAAAUCUUAAAAUUUUAAUUUUAAUAGAAAAAGCAAAAUGAGAACAAAAAACUGAAAUGAAUUGUGUUUUAUUUUUGUUAAUAGUUAAUGCUUUACUUUACAAGUGGUCCUUAGACAUGAAAUUUUGACUAAAAUAGCAUAAUUAAGAUAAUUUAUUUCCUCCAAUGGCAUACUAUACUAAAUAUUUUAUUAAAAAUAAAAGAAAGGGAAUUGAUAAUUUGGAGUUUUUUUAAAAAUUAACUAUUUAAAAAAUUGGUAUGCUUAAAAAAUUAUGUAGAAAAAUAAUUAUAUAAAAUAUAAUAAUUUUGGAAAAUAAUUAUUUGAAGAAAUAAGUAUUUACAAAAAAACAUAUAUUUUAAGCAAUAAUUAUUUAGAAAAGUAUGUAAAUAAGAAAAGAUUGUUAACAAAAUUAGCAUUCAUAAAUUUUGAAAUAAUUUAUUUUUUAAAUUUGGUUUGAAAAUUUCACAGAAAAUUGUAAAAAAUAGUGAAAGGUGAAACCAAACUAUGAACUACUGUAGUAAAUCGUACUAUUUAAAUAAUUAUUUGGUAUAAUAUGUAAUUUGAGUAAAUAUAUGAUAUGAGAAAACAUAAAUAGUUAAACUAUACUAUUUUGGUUAAAAUUUCUGUAGAGAUGUUGGAGCUGGAGACUCUUAUCUUUUAUCAAGACACGCCACAACAUAUAGUAGAGUGAACUUUUAAUUUUGUAUGUGAGAUAUGUAUAAUACUUUUUGGCUUUUAUUUGGGACAUGAUAAAAUAGGACUUUAAUUAAAAUAGGUAAGAAUAAAGUUGAGAGGAAAAACAGUAUGGUAUACAUCAUAAGCUCAAACAUUACUACUUAAAAGGAUCAAAUGGUUUUCUCUAUCAAAUGUUCAAAAGUUAACUUAACUAAUGUCAAAUUUAUUGAGCAUCUGCCAAAAGGAUGACCUUGAUGACAAGAAAGUGCAGUAGUCCACACAGAGAACAGCUGCAGUUUAUGGUCUGUCAUAGUAGUAAACUAUACACAGAAUGAGGCAAAAGAAACUAGAAAUGCAGUGAUCAUGAAGUUUUUGUUUCUUUGUUUUUUUUUGUAUUUUAUAAGGAAUCCUGAGAAGUCAGUAGAAUCGUGGGUCCGAAGUUUCAUAUAUUUGAUUUCUUGGGGUAACCUCAAAGUAAACUGGCCACAGCUCCUAAGAAUAAUCAAAGGGCGUUGCAAUUGUUGCAAAAGGAGAAAUGCCUGACGCUAAUAAACUUUGUUUAAUAUUAAUAAGAUGGUAUCCAAGGUUUUAGCUUCAUAUUCUCCUGACAAAAAUUGUAUUAAGAGACAACCAUUUAAGUUACUCAUCCACGUGAGCUUGUUUUUAAUACUGCAUAUUAUGCACCCCACUAACUAUAAUAUUAUAUAUAUAUGCACGUGUGCACCCCUUUCUUUGUUGCUAUAAAUGUCUGGGAAAGAGAAAUCAUUAUUAUAUAGUAAUCAUUUUACAACAAACAGAGAAAUAUGAGUUAAGAGAAAAAGGCCUCUCACAGACGCUAAAAUUACUAAAAAUUAUGAAAACUUCAAAGAUGAGAAGCUUUUUCAUUCUUUUGUGGCCGAAGGGUGGAAGUGGAAUUGUAACAUUUGACAUUGUAAGUUUGAAAGAGCAACGCAGUAGACAGAGUUGAAUAAAUAAUAGAAUAAUAUAUGUGAAUGGUGCCUCGGAUGCUCCAAACUGUUAACAUGGUAACAGCCUCAGACUUUAAAGAAAAGACAACGCAAUGCAACUCUAAUUAAAACAUGACGCUGAGUUGUCAUGACCAGUAGCAGAGAAGAUUCAUGCAUUGUCCAAAAAAAAAAUUUGAGGCCACCAAGCUAUGUAUGCUGCAGGUUUAUUAAACCUUAACAAGCACCAAAGCUGCACAUUCUCUUCAAUGGUCUACUAAUAUCCCAAAAUUAAUAACUAACUACUAAUAUGUACUCACAGUACAUGGCUUAAUAAUAUAUAACUUGUAUUGUAGCAAGCGCACUUCGAUUUUGGAACAAGAAAAAUCGCAAAUCAAAUACGGUUAAAGAUACACAACUAUUCUUCUGAUGCGAAUUUUUUAAUUUAGAUACAUGUAAUUUGCACACCCUUUAAGCCUAAGAGGCUACAAUAUGAUUUGAGCUUCUGGGAUGGUGAAUUGGUGAGACAAACCCGUUAAAGAUUUCGCUUUUCUGCGAUCUGAAGAUAAUACCAGAAGUGUGGCUCGGAAUACAAUGAUAUAGAGAGAGGAGCGCACGUGGUGAUGCUAAUGCAUGCCUCUCUUCUCGCUGUGCUCUUUUUCUUUUACCAAACUCAGAAAUCAUAUUAAGCAAAACUCAAAACAAAAAGGACUCCGUUCUUGCUUUGCAUUGAGAUCACUAUCAUGCCAUUUGCCUCUGUCUAUUGGCAUUGACUAAUGAGUUUAACUUUUCUUCUUGGCCUCCACUGAGAGUGAAACCUCUUCUCUUCUUUAUAACCGUUUUGUUUCCAUCCAAGUAUUGUUUUACGUAUCAUUGCUGAUAUUAGUUUUGCUUUGGAAGUACAAUUUUCUUAUUUACUACUAUUAAUCAGGGGUUAUAGGGUAUCUAUCUGUCACUUUACGUAAUCAUUUAACUUAAUUCCCAAUGGUACAACUCCAAUCUUGUGCUACUUUGGUCAAUGCCUCAUCAUUGUGUGCUAUAGAACAAGAAGUGAGAGGAGAUAGCGUCAAUGUGGUUGCUGAGAUUUCGGCCGAGUUGGAGAGGGAAAGAAAGAAGAAUGCAGAGCUCAUGGAGAGAAUAUCAAUGCUCGAAGCUCAGUUAAGAGAAAGAAACAAAGAAUCUCAAGUACGGUUAGUCAUUAAACAAUUAGUGACUACUUUUUCUUGUUUGUCAUUGUAUUUUUGCUUAAAUAAGCACUUGCUUGUUUAAAGUUAGUGUUAUGCAUGAAAAUUCAUUUUCUAACUUGAUGAACCGGCUGCAAACCAUUGUUAUAUUAUAUCAUAUAGCAUAUAUGAGUAUCUGCUCAUUGCAUGAUGAAAUCUAAGUAUAGUUGGUCGGAGUGUGGGGGAAUGAUGUACAUGUUAUAUUUGACACUGAUAUCAACUGUAUAUGAUGAUCAAGAUUUAUUGACACAUUAGAAACAUGAUCAGCAUGAUGCCCCUUUUAAUUAUUAUUCAUGUUCCUUGUCUGUUGAAGUUUUCAUCCGUUUUAUCAUUGAUGAAAAUGUCUCCCUUGGUAUCAGGAAAAUCAUCAGCGUGCAGUUGCAAGAAGCUUGAAGAAUUUCAAGAGGCAGAAGAUAGAAAUGGUAGAUGAUGAAAAAAAUAGGAAUACUGUGAAAAGUGAAACGGCCUCAGAGUACACGCCUGAUACAGAAGGCAUUGUUCCUAAGCAGAUUGAUCUAGAAAAGCGCUUAGUUAAUUGGAUGAGCAUGGACAAUGGUCAAAAUUUGUACGCUGAAAAAUUUAAAGACUGGAACUCUGUUGCAGAUUUCAGUGAAACGGAUAGUGAUGAUGCUUGUGAUGAAAUUUUUGAUGAUGAUAUGGAAAAUAGCCAAAGACAUGAGGAGGUUGAUGACACAAAUGAAGCCGUUAGUGCAGAAAAAGGUUACCGUGCUGAUCAUGUUGACGAGGAAUCAAAUACAACAUGCAUGGGAAAUUUUUCUGGUGAUCCAGCCAGUAAUGUGAGACAAGAAGAUCAUGAAAAUCAAAAGACGAGUUGCAUAUUAAUCACUCCAUUAUCCGAGAAGAGUGAAGUCAAAACACUCCAAGGGAAAGAAAUUAAGGAGAGAGCAGCAUUUACAGCAGCAGCUGAGGUUCCUUCUUCAGGAUCGGCUCGCAUAUCACAUAAUAGAAAGCCUCCGAAGGUACCUUUCUGCCCAAAAGAAGUGAAAAGAAUAAUUGAGUCAGAAGCCCUUCUGCAAAAAAAUGCUCAGUCCCACACUGUAAGGAAAAUCAUAGUUUUUGCAUCACUUGGCAUAAGGCAUGGAUGUGAGGAUAUGUACGAACUGGACUUCAAUCAUUUUAGCAUUUUGAACAAAGGAGAACCAUACGUGUCUCCAAAAAGCCCUGGGGUAAGAGCAAUCCUUAGAAUGCUAUUUCUCUGAUGGAGCAAAUCAAUUAAAAUAAGAGAUAUUUUUUGUCAUGAUGCAUUUAAACUAGUAACUAGUUGUGUGCCAAAAUGGAAGAAUGCAACCAUUAGCCAAAUACUAUCUGGAACCAAGUCACUACUUUGCAUUCAAGCAUGAAUUUAGACCUAGAAAAGUUAGGCUCAGGUAUUUCUAUUUUAUAAAUGUAACGAUUGAGGUUUCAAUCUAUGUAGGAGCAUGUUUUGUACGAGAAUCCUGGUGUUCGGAGGAAAAUAUUUUAUCCAAAUCAACAAAACCCUGUAUUAUGUCCUGUUCAGAUAAUAGAAGAAGAAAGAGUCAUGCGUCCAUCAGAUCCUAGCUGUCCAUCAUACUUAUUCUUGUGCAUUAAAUAUGGUGGAAGGACAAGAAAUCUUCCUCAAAAUGAGUAAGUUUUGGAAUGAUAAUGGUUCACUGCUGCUUCCUUUUCUCAUAGUACUUUCCUUUAUUAUAAAUGGCAUUGGCUCUGAUGAAUAUUUCACUUCAAAAUAUUUGUAUGCAGUCUAAUAUGGAGUAAUUUUUCGAUUGCAUAAUACAGAUAUGUGAGACAGAGGAUGGGAAGAAACAAACUGAAGUCUUUUGGUCCACUCCUGUGCCGAAUGGCAGUGUUGGUUCAUAGUCGCAGUGGAAGCUUUUUCUUCAAGGCUUUGGGCAUCACACUCCUGUUUAUGGCAGGAUUUCCUGAUUAUCUAGUUCAAAGGGAAACCAAAUACCGGAACUUAGACUUGCUUCAGAAAUAUUACAGGUCUAUCUAAUUAUAUGCAACAACCAAUCUAAGCAUAAAUGAAACAGAAAGAUACAUAUAUUUCUAGUUAAAGAACAGCACAAUCUAUUAGGAGCAUUGCUCGAAAUCAAUGUCAUCACAGAAAACAAAUCAGUAGAUGCUAUCUAAAUAGGAAAAUAUUUAAUGUAAUUCAAUCUAACACAUAAUUUUCCCUUUGCAGGAGUGAUGAGGAUGCUGAAGGCGAGGAGUUGUUUCUUCCACAUUCAAUCGCAUGUGACAAUGUAAGAAUACGAAUCUCAUAAUGCACUGUUCUUUGUAUGAGCCACUUGCCUGUUCUUUUUCUUUGAAAAUCUCAAGCAACAAUUUCUAAAAUCAAAUUGAGUGAGUAAACUCAACUAUCAAAAUUUAUUUCUAUACAUGGAACAGAAGAGUACAAGUUCUCACAUAAUAGACGCAAUUUAUAACGUUUCUAUUGGUUUUGGUGGCUUCAAAAUAGCUCCUGUUUUUGGUGUCACAUAUUUGAUAGCUCUUUUAAGCUUUUACAUUGUAUUGUUGUAGCAGGGUACUCCUGAACCCCACAACUUAACCAAAAAGACACUUCCUGCAAAAUCCAAGGGAAAAAAGCACCCUAAUGCCAUCAUCAAGUCUCAGAAUUCACAGAAGACCCCAUCUCAACAGGCAGCACCAACAAGUUCAGCAGCUACUCAAUUUGGUUUAACAGGCUAUUCCUCAGCUUACACGUAUGCAAUGGCAGCAUUUCAUUCAAUGCCAUCUCAGGUUUCUUCCCAAGACAAUUCUCACAUCCUAAAUCCAGCUCCUGCCAAUUCCAUUACCAAUGUCUCUGGUAAUCAUGGUAUACUGCUACCGCAGCCAGCAAGUUCAUUUCUGCCAGUGAUGUAUUGGCCUCCACCAAAUGCAUUUCUUCCUGUACCCUAUACUUCCACAUAUGGAUACCAUUCUUUUCCUACUGCUGCAAACUACGUGUCAAUCCAAACACAGCCUUAUCUCAAUCAUCCAAAGUCGUUAGAAGGUAGUGGAAAGAAUGAUUUAGCCUCAGAUGAAACUGACAGUGACACUGAUAGCAGCACUUCAGGCUGUAGUGAGCACAAGAAGAGUCCUGCAGUCCACAAAUGAUGGACUCAGCACUACUAUGGCACGCCAUAAAUGAUAUACUUGGAAUGUAUUAAUUUAUGUAAUAAUGUUGUUGAUGCUUGAAGUGAAAUGAUGCAUAGCAUAGCUUUUCUGUGCAGUUUGUAACAAACUUUAUGUUCUUACCGUCUUCUAUAUUUUUUUUUGGGAUUGCUGUACAAUUAAGCAAUUCUUUAAUUACAUUAUAAGCACACAUAACACUGCAUCUUUGUAUUAGAUUAGUAUGAAUAUUUAUUAAAUUGAGCAAUAAUCUUAAACAUCAACAAAUUAGGAACUGAGCCAUGGUGGACAGAACAAUAAUUGCAGUGCUUCUCUCUGAAGUAUGCAACAGCAUUAUGGACUUGGUUUCAAAGGUGUAUCAUAUUAAUAUUGUGACCGUAUUUUAUCUUAUUUCUUUUUGCAUAGUUCUAGAUCUUCUUAACAUUUUUUUAAAUUUCUUUUGUACUAUUGCAACUAAGCUUUCAUCGUAGUUAAAUAAACGCAAUAUAUUAUUGUAUUGAUAAUUAUAAGCAUGGACGAUUAGGCAGAGGAAAAUUGAGUUCUUUUAAACAAAAAUUUGAUGUUACUGAAAAUGUAUAGUUAGGAUAAAAUCAGUAAAAGGGUAAAAUUUGUUUAGUUUUAAGAAUAAAAAAAUACAGUUUCAAAAAUAAAACAAAUGUAUGGUUUAAGAAUAAAAAAAAACUUAAUUACUUAAGAAAAAUUUAAAAGCCAAAAUCAAACCAUCCAAAUUAAUAAUAUUAGAAGUUGUAAUAGUCAUUGCUUUCUUGUUUGACAAUUUAUUAGAUCCAAAUUUAAUUAUUAUUACUAUUAUUAGAUAAAAAAAAAUAUUAAAAGGUUUGUUGUUAGAAUUUCUUUAUAAAAGUUUUUUUUAAAAAAAAGUUAUUGUUUUUUUAGAAACAUAAAUGGUCAUAUUUUGGUUGUUAUAUCUUAUGAUUAAACUUGUACCAUAUAUAAGAGCACUAUGUUACUAGUUAUUCUUCUUCUGGUCCACAUACUCUCUUGUAUAGCAGAUUGCCUUAUCUUAACCACGUCCAUUUUUAGGAAAGACCCAUUUUCUUCAAUCUUAUUGUUCUGUGGGCUCAAUCAAUUUCAAUUUUAGUCUCAGUGGGAAACAACACUAAUAUUUAACUAACCAAUCUCAUUAGUCAAUUUGCCAAGACUUACCAACAAGAAUCUGCACACUUUUUUGUUGAUAUUCCACUGCUUAAUUCAGAAUUCUAUUCUGUCAUUUCUCAGUGUUGAUUUGCACUGCAACACAGGAACAUGCCAUCUGAAUGAUGAUUUUCUUUUUGGCUUUUCUGCAUAACAUUACCAGUGGUCAAAAAAUUAUUUAUCUGUCAUUUAUCACAUAUAUUUACAAGUAAAUUCAUAUAUUUUAUCCAUUUUAUUUUAGGAAUGGUUCUUACAAGUUCUGGUUAUUCUUAGAUGGAAUUCUUCCGGUUUUCUUGAUUUUUAGGUUUUGUGGUUUUUCAGUCAACCCUUCUACUUAAGCAAAAUGACUAAGGGAGAACCUGCAGAGAUAUUCUGACAUUAAGUUAGUCUGUAUGUAACUUAACCUUUGAUUGUCUCAUAUUCUGACAUUAAGUUAGUCUGUAUGUAACUUAACCUUUGAUUGUCUCUAUUGUUUCUAUUUAUACUUUUUGGUUGGAUUAAAGGAGGUCAAGGUAGUACAAGAAUAAUUAAUAAUUUAUCUAUUAUUUCUCAAUCCAUCAAAUAAAAAUUAAUCCAAUUUUUUUUUUCAUAAUUAGGUUGUUUUUUGUUUUUAUCUUUUAUUUAUCUAUUAUUUAUCUUUAUUGUUUUUAAUUUUUUUACAAUUUUUUUCAAAAUUUUAUUUAAAAGGAUGAUUUUAAUUUUAAAUACUAUUUUCAUGGAUGAAUAAGAUAUGCACUCAUAAAAAAAAUAUGAAUGGAUAUAUUGGACUGAAUUUUUAUCAAAUAGAUUUUUUAAUUAAAUUUUUAAUAAAUUAUGGAUUAAUGAAUUGUUUUCAUCUGCUGGUCAUUAUUUGAAUUAAAAUUUAAUAAGUUUCCCACCUGUACCUAACCACAUUCCUAUUCAUCAGUAAUUACUUUUGUCCCAAUUCUACAUAUUGAUUGCUUAAUCAGUUUGCUAACCUUCAAUUAAAAUCACAUAAGAUUAAUAUAAAAAAUUGUUAGUAACUUGUUUGUUCUGACUUGUAUAGUUGUGAUCAUAUUUAAAACUAUUACUCUGAUCUCUCAUCUGAAUUGGUGUGGUAGGUGCUUGUGUGCUUUGCUAUGAAGUUCUUACAAUCCUGGAGUAGUGCUUGAGGUGGGGAUAAUGGAUUGUUCAUGUAGAGUCUGAAUCCUAGACAUUGAUAACAAUACUUUUCUAAAACACUUUAUCUUUUUAGCUUUGACAAAAGUAAAAUAUUUUACUUUUUUAAUAAUGGCAAUGCUGGGUGGCUAGUUUAACAAGUGGUCCAUCAUAAACCAUAACUUUAAACUCACAGGCCCUUUUCAAUAUCCUAUCUACUUAGUCAUCAAAUACCAUUCUCUUGCUAUGCUAUUUACAAAGUAGCUUACAAAGAACCAACAAGAAAAGAAUCUAGAUUUCUCAUCCACGUCAAUGGACCACUUUUGUUUUACUUCAUCUUUGUUUUUGGACCACUUACAUGUACUAUAAUAUCUGUAUCUGUGACUGUGAGCAAUUAUUGUAGUCUGCAAUUAUACAUAUUUUGUUUCCUCUAUCCUGGGGCCUCCCAUGGGCCAUGGUUUAUGUUGAAAGAAAGAACAAGAUUUAGAGUAUGGAUAUGGAUAUGGAUACCAUAAACAUUUUUGUCAAUGCCAUCGAUAACAGAACUCACAUGCAUACAUUGUUGAUAUCAUAAUUAACACUGUAACAUACACUUCUACACAACUCUAAGCUACUUGCAUACUAAAUAUAAUAUCCUUAUUGAAAUAAAAAAAACAACAACAGUCACAUCUCAGUCCUCACAUAUCCCAUGAACCUGCCGACAAGGUUCAAACAUUGAGAAAGCGGUGGUCUGGAUCGGUUCACAUCACAUCACUCCACUCAACCAAACCAACUCAGUUAAAAUAAAACAUAGCAUGUUAUUUUUGCAUAAUAUUUUACAGAUUUCUUCUUCCUCAUAUACAGGAGAAGAAAGUUCAAGGCUCCUCAUGGUGCUUGUUGGCAACAUUGCACUGCUUUCUGAUCUCCCCCUUUGUGCCAGUGAGAGGAUUGUUUUCAGAGAGCAAAGCAAUGGCUCUAGAAAACUCCUUGAAGAAAUAGUCUUGGCUCUUGGCCAUUUUCUUCACAUAAGGCUUGGUCCUCUUGUCAUUGGCUAGUUGGUGAUCCACUAUCAACAACCCCUUGUUGUCCAAUAUGUUCCUGUAGUAGUUGUUGUCUAGAAUCAUAGGGGUGCCACGGUCGUUUCUCACGUACUGCACGGCCUUGGGGUCUGGGAUGGCAUCAGGGCACUUCUUCAGCAUGUGAGGGACAUGGUCAGGGUUCAGCGCUGAAUCAAUCUCUGGGUACAAACGGUGCACCAACUUCACACAAUGGGUUCUACCAACACUGUGUGCUCCUGUUCAACAAAAUAUCUCAAUAAUUAAAGCUUAAAUCUGCAACCAAUAACGCCACGUGUUGCUUUUUUUAAUAUUGCAUCAAGUUUCAUACUGAGCCCACAUACAUUUAUGAAACAAUAAAUAUGACUCAUACAGUUUCCUGUGCUAAUUUAUGUAUGCAUUAUGAAUAUGUUUAUGCAGAGAAAUUAUUGCAUAUAUUAUGAAUGAAAGAACAAGUAUGGUGGCACAAGAUUUGCAUAAUGGGGCUUGUCUUUUUGAUGAACGUGUGUAUGUAGAAGAUGGAUUAUGGGAGGAUGUAGAGUAGUUCAUACCAAGCAAUGCAACCACCCCGGGAGUGUCAAUUCCCAUGGCACCAAACUUGUCAAGAACUGAAGAAAUGGACUCAUUGUGGUCUGGGAGGAACUCUUCCACCACAUCAGCUCUGCUCCUUCUACCAUCCCUUCUUCCAGUUUUAAGAGGGAUAUGGGGGCCUCCUAGCUGUAACACAUUCAAUUUGGAGGCUUCCAUCAAAAUAAUUAACUAUAAGAAUGAUAAUGGAAAAACAAUGAAAGCAGUUGCCAAAACGACUCUGGACUAAAUAAGUCUCCAAAUACUACUUCCUUCACACUAAAAAUAGAGUGAUCUGGUAGAAUUAGUUGAUAUCUUUAGCUCUCAAAAGUGAACUUCCUUAAAAGACGAAAAAAAGUAGCAAAUGACAGAUCUAAUGAGGGUGAGCAAAAGUGAGAAAUGGAAGAAAACAAAAGGAAAGGACAAGGAGUUAGUUACCGAAACAAUGCCAUCUCUGGCAGAGAGAACGAGUAUAUCAGCACAGGAAACAACUCCUGGGCACUCCCUUUCCACAGCUUCUUUGAUGGUCUCAAUGUACCUGAAAUUCCUCAAACCAAAGCUUCUGUCUGUCUCCUUCUCAGACAAGCUCCUUCUUGUGGAGUCCAGCAAGAGUGAAGCAUCACAACUCUGCCCUCACAAACAAAACAAAACAAAAGAUCAAACUCCUUCAUUAAAGAUUAACUAACAAAAAUAAAACAAAAUGGGCAACAACAUGCAACUUGCAAACCAAUAAGAAAAAGCAAGAAAGCAAGGAGUUGCAUAAAAAAAACCAAGAUUAAUCACCUGAACAGCACAGUCAUGGAAGAUGUUUCUGAGCCAGGAGAAAGCAGUGUUCUUGUGGCGUUUGUAGAGAAGCUUGACUUGUUCUUUGAUGAUAUCUUCAGCCUGAGGACAUGUUUCCUUGUAGAAGUUCAUGACAAGGCCAUUAUCUUGGCCUUCCUCUGCAAGAGAGGGAGUCAGCAGUGAAAGUGCUGAAAAGGAUAAGACAGCCAAAAGGGUUAAAAGCUUGGGAGCCAUUCUCACUCACUCUCCUGCUUACACUCCUCUCUGCUUCUGCUUAAAUAAAGUUCAAGUGCAAAUAAAAAACUACUGUGAGAGAGAAUGGUUUGGUAAAUAAAAUGAAAAUUGGUUUUUGAGUGAUGAUGGUGAUGGCUUCAUGAUGAUCCAAGGCCACUCAACCA
rnacentral:lncRNA from 1 species